AAGUCUUUCAUCAUGACAUUGUUCGAAGUCAUUUUGAUGGAUACGCGUGGAUCUGCGUUUCGCAAGAUUUUAAGCGGAAGGAUAUUUGGCAAAAGUUAUUGCAAGACCUUAGACCACAUGAUAAGGGCAUCGAACAUAUGAAUGAGAAUACACUCCAGGCUGAGCUCUUUCACUUGUUGGAGACGUCUAAAUAUUUAAUUGUCAUGGAUGAUGUAUGGAAAAAAGAAGAUUGGGAUGCAAUAAAAGACGUUUUCCCCCAAGAAAGAAGAGGUGAGCUCUCUUAUUGUACAUACAUUACUUAAGAACUCCCCAUAACCACAUUUCAUAAAUGCCUUUUGAGUCCCUGAGAUGAAAGGAAAUACAAUUGCAGGUUGGAAGAUGAUUCUUACUUCACGCGAUGAAGGUGUUGGUUUGCAUGCAGACCCAACAUGUUUUCCUUUUAGACCAAAACCACUUACUCCCGAAGAAAGUUGGAAGCUAUGUGAGAGCAUAGCAUUCCCUAGAAAAGAGAUAACGGGUAAUGUUUUUAUAUAAGAAUCAUAUGAAUCCAGAAUCCUUAAGGCCAGUAAUUUCUUACGGCCGGGACAUCUUAUCAAAAAUCUUGUGUAUUAAUUCCUAAAUCCGCAUGACAUAUAUUAUUACAUAUACCUUUGAGAAACAAUAUACCAUCAAUACUAUUAAAACAGAAGACCUUUUUUUGAGGUGCUCUUCUGUUUCAACAAUAUUUUCAGAUCUUUGCCACUGAAAUAUUUAAAACUUAUGAUUUUAAUUAAAUUCUGAAUUUUCUUUUAUUUAUACAACAGAAAAUCUAAUAAUGAAUCAACACGUUAUUAAAGUAAACCGACUUAUUUAAUAUUUUACCAAAAAAAAAAAGUAAACCGACUUACCCAACGAACGUAAACCAACCAACAUACUUAACAAUAAAAUAAAGUGUUAUGCUGGUUCAAUCCAUCGAAGUAUAAAUUAUAAACUACAUGAUUCUAUAUACUUAACACGUCUUUAACUUGAUAUCAAGUAUAUAAACAAACAAUUUACAGCAUUUCAAUUCCUAUAGGAUACCGGUUCAAAUGUUCUAUAGAAAACUAAAUCGACGUUGGUAUGAAUUAAAUCAUCCAAUAUAUCACACUUAAAGAAACGAAUAUAUAAACAAUAAAUAUUAAAUAUAUGAACAAAAUAGGUGUGGGAAUAUUCAUUAAGAACAGUUAAUAUUUUCCUAAUUGAAUGGUCGAUAAGAUAUUUAUAAUAAUCAUAUUUUUCAUAGCAAUCAAUUAAAUGCAUCAGUUUCGGAAUGCUAAAUAACAAUACCUUUCUUUUUAAAAAUAAAAUUAGAAAGAUCUUCCUAACUAAAUAAUUAAGUCGACAGCAAAAAAAAAUUAUACAUGAACAAAAUGACUAAUCCUAUUAGAAAAAAUAAAUGAAUUUAUAAGGGUUUGAGAUUUAAAAAGUGUCGGUUAAAAAAGAGACGGGUUCAAAUACAUGACAGAUUUAUUUAUUGUAAAAUAUUAUUUUUAAAAACAAUUAAUUAUAAACUUUCUGAAUAUUUUUUUUUUAAAUUCACCUUUCGUAUUGAAAUAUAAAUAUUCUAAAAAAAAUUGUUUUAUCAUGUAAUCUAAGAAAUAUGUCAUUACAAAUAUGUUCUUUACAAUUUCAUUUAUGAUAAUAAUGUGAAAUCUUUUUUUUCAAUAAUGUAUUUUUUCCUAUUAUAAAAAAUAUUAAUAAAAUAUUUUAAUAUUUUUAAUAAUAUAGUUAUUUGAAUUCAGAAUUAUUAUUAACAAUAUUAAAAUUAUUAUGAUCUAUAUACAUAUUUUUAUUUUAUAAUAUUAUGUCCGGAAAUUUAACAAAAAAUGAUUAAUCCUUGCGGACUAACAUUUUUAUGUGUAAGCAUUCAGUAAAAAAAAAUUAUUUAGAACUAAAUUACAAACAAUUAAAAAAAUGAUCUAAACGGAUUUGAAAUUUAAAAGGUCAAGAAAAGGUUUAAACAUGAUAAAUUUAUCUAUUUUAAAUUUUAUGACAAAGUGGUAUAGACAUUUUUAGAAGUGGGUGUUCGGACUACCAUUCGGGUUUGGUUCGGGUCUAUUCGGAUUUUGGGUUUUCAGGGUACGAUAUUUAAGCCCCAUUUGGAUUUUUAUAAAUUUUGUUUCGGGUUCGGUUUAGAUCUUUGCGGGUUCGGAUAACCCGUUUAAAUUAUUUUAAAUUUUUUAAAAUUGUAUAUACUUUAAAUUUCUUAAAAUCUAAAAAAUAAAAUAAUAUAUAACAUAAAAUUUUGAGUAAUGUAUGCCAAGAUACCUAAACCUAACAUAAAAAUUGGUUUGCAUUGCUUAUUUGGUUAGGUAAUCAAUAUAUAUUAAGUUGGUGUUUUAAGUAUAGUUUAGCUACAUUAGAUAUUUACUGACUAUUUCUUUAAAUUUUCAAACAUUUUGGACAACUUCAAAAUAUUCUAUACAUUUUGGAAGUUAAAUAUAAAAUAGCUAAUAUAUUCAAGUAUAUAAAUCUAAUUCGGAUAUAUUCGGAUACUCGAAAUAUUUUUGUUCCGGUUCUUUAGAUACCAAAAUUUUAAACAUGUUCACAUAUCUAACAAGUUUCGACUCAGGUUCAGUACUACUUUCUCGUAUCAUAUUCAUUUCAGUUCUUCGGAUUCGAAUUUUUUGCCCAACCCUAAAAUUUUUAAGAAUUUUGACAACAUAAAAUGUUCCAGGCUUCAAAACGUGUCGGUAAAAAAGGAGACGGGUUUAAACAUGACAGAUUUAUCUACAUGAAAUAAUAUUUAUUAAAAUUUUAAUUAUAAACUUUCUGUAUUUUUUAAUUAAAAUCCAUCUUUCUUGUUGAAACGUAAAUAUUAUAUUAAACCUUUUUAUCAUGUAAUAUAUGUCAUUUCGAAUAUUUCUCUUUAGAAUUUCAUUUAUGCGAAUAAUGUGAAAUCUAUUUCUAACCAAUUUAGUUAUACCAUUUUUAUAUUUUUAAUAAUAUAUGUUUUUCCUAUUAUAAAAUUAAAUCUUAAUACUUUUAAUAAUAUAUUUAUUUGCAUUUGAAAUUAUUAUUAAUAAUAUUUCAAUUAUUAUAAUCUAUAUGCGUCUUUCAUUUUAUAAUAUUAUUUUUGAUAAAUAAACAAAAAUGAUCAAUCUUUGUUUACUAACAUUUUUAUACAUAUUUUUUCAGUAAAACAUAUUUUUAUACAGAACUAAAUAGUUAAUUCUAUUAAAAAAAAGGAUCAAAACGGGUCUGAAAUUUAAAACGAAUCGGUCAAAAAUGAGACGAAUCUAAAUAUGAGAAAUUAACCUAUUUGAACUCCCGAAAAAAAGAUUUAUCUAUUUUAACAUUUGUGACUAAGUGACAUAGAUAUUUUCUUGGUUUUUCACGACGUAAAAAUCCUGCGCUUUAAAAGCGCGGGUCAAAAUCUAGUCUAAACUAUUAAAACAGAAGUACAAAAUUAAACUAACCCUUAAACUUACACAAUAUUUACAAUAGAAUGCCACUGCAGUAUUUAAUAAACCUAACAAUAGAUAUUCUUUGUCUUUCAUGUUUUAUUAAUGCAUUUUCCUAAAUUAAUUUUUAACUAAAAACAUGGCAACAAUAAUUUAAGCAAAUCUAAACAAUAAGGAAUAUCAAAACAUGAAUCAGUUGAGACAAUUUUUUUCACGAAAAAGAUGAUUAAUUAGUUUGUACUUUUAUUAUCAUAUCAUGAAUCAGUUGUAAUUUAAAAUCCAAUUUUUAUAUAUAUAUUUAUACUAUAAUGUAAAAAAAAUGACGUAAUAAGUGAAAAAAUCAUUUUAACCACACGAGAUCAACAUAUGAACAAUAAGAAAACAUAUACAAACAUCGUCCAUUUGUUCAAUGAAUAUUAUAUCUUUUUAAUGCUCUUCAUAUACUCAAUAUAAUCAAAAUAUCUAUUUUAAUAUAUCUAUAUUAUUAAAACUGAGGUAAGUAUUAGAAUUUUUUUUUUCAUUCUAAUAACUACAUGCGCUACCUAAUUAAUAAUUAUUAAUUAAUUGACAACAAAUCAUUUAUUUUGUUAGAUUUUUUGCUAUCCAAACUUCAAACUUAAUUCAUUAACUACAAAUCAUUUAUUUUUUUAAAUUCUUUUCUAACCAAACGUACGAAACUUACGAUUAUUUUCUAACUGGAUUAUUCUGUAACCAAAUUUUACAAUAAAACUAAAAAAAUUUAUUUAAAAUGUAUCUACAAACUUUAAAUGUUAUAGAUAUAUUCAUAUAUAUCAUUAUUUUAUUUCACAUGCAAAAUAUAAACUAUAGAUAUUUUUAUAAAGUUAUUUUCAAAAUAUAUAUUAAAUAAUUUGAUGAUUAAUACAAUUCACAAAUAUAAAUUUAAUUAUAAGAAUACAAUAAAUAAAUUUCAAUUUAAUAUUUUCUCAAAAAUGAAAAUAAAAGUGAAAUUUAUUUGGCAUAUAAAAAAAAUUUAGAGACAUAUAUAUCUAUGUUAUUAAAACAUGAUACAUUUAAUUUUUAAAAUAUAAAUUUAUUAAUAUAUAUAUAAACAUAAUAAUUGGUACUCUAAUUUAGAAAUAAAUACAUCAAAAUGGUUACUGUAGUCAAAAAUAUAAAUCGACAAAUAUAUUAUAUAAUAUAUUUUUAAUUUGUUUUGUAUUCUACCAUAAUAUGAGAAAUCAACAAAUUACACACAGUAAAAAUAGUCCAUUUAUCACAAUUACAAAUCGAAUAAAUACCAUAUGAAUGUAUAUAUCUACAACUAUUAUAUUUUGUAUUGUAAAAAAAAUUAUAUUUCUAUUUUGUUAAUUAAACACCCGUGCGGAUGCACGGGUCAAACUCUAGUUUGAUUUAUUUCAUAUGUCAUCACCAAUGUUUUAAAAACCAGAUCGGACAUUGACUCGGCAUUGUACCUGGGUAAACGGUCGGCUCGGUCCAACCCGGUUCAAGCGGCUUUUAAAUUUUAAUCAAAUUUUAAAUUAAAUAACUAUAUAUAUAUAUAUAUAUAUAUGUAUAAUCAAUUUAAUUUUAUAAACCUUUCUAUCAUUGUUAAUAUAAAAAAUCAUAUGAAAAUAAAAUGCAACUUCAAAAAUAAUAUAAAACUAUAGUUAAAGUAAUUUAUUUAGAUAAAUAUUAAAAAAAAUAUGAAUUUUUAUGAAAUCUUUUUUAAAAUUGCAAAUUUUAUUUUUAAACUUGAAUUUGAGAAAAUCUCAUAAUUUCAUAAUUGAAAAAUAUUGUUUAAAAUCAGUUUAAAAUUGCAUUAUUUAAACAUAACUUAACAUUUAAAAGUUUUACGUAAACACAAGUUCAAUUAAAGCUACUUAAUUUUUUAUAAAACUUUAUUGUAAAUAACAUGUUUGGUUUUCUGUUGUGAAAGCAACACUAAGUAUAAAUUGCAUGCACCAUUAAAUAUUGAUUCUGGCAGAGUAACAAACGUUACAGAUACUAAAGUUUUAGCUAGCUCUAUUCAAAUAUGAAAGAAUUUCUAUACCAAAAACGAUGUGUGUUUUUUACUGAGAAAAACAUAAUUUUUUUUACUGAGAAAAACAUAAUUUUCUUGAAUAAAGUAGAAUCUUAAAUAUUGAAAUAUUUAUGUUGAUAGUUCAAAUUUCUUCUUAUAUUAAAUUACAUAUAAAUCUGAUAUUGAUAUAUUUAUAUUAAAGAUAUUGUCUUUUUAUAUUAAAUUUAUUUUUUAGUUAUAUAAAAAGAAAAUCGUUUUUAUUAAAUUACAUGUUUUAUAUUUAUUAAAGAUAUUUCCUUUUUGAUGAUAAAGUGAUUUUGAAACAAAUAUUUAAAUGUUUAUUAAAAUAUUGAUAGUGGUAUUUUAACAAUAAAAUUUAUUUAUUAAGGUUAUCACUGUAAUUAACCAUUCUAAGAAUCAACGUGAGUGCGACACGUAGAAAACUGACUUAUCAUAUACUAUUAUAGAGAUAAAGUACUAUUAUGGAGAUAAAGUACUAUUAUGUUCUACACAACUUUAUAUAAUUUUGCUUAUUUGUCAUAUUUUUAAUGAUUUUGACUGAUGAAUCAUCAAUUUAGAUUUAUACUAUUAUUUAAAAUUUUAUCUUAUUUAGUCAUCAAUUAUUUAUUUAAUCUUAAUUUUAAAAUAGAAUUAAACUAAUAUUUAAAAUUAAUUAAUGUAAUCAAAUAAUAAAAUCUAAAAACUGACAAAAAUUUAUUUUAAAUAAAAUUUAAAUUUAAAAAAAUAUUACUCUAAACAUAGUGCAGAAAAAUACCUAAUACAAACUUCAUAUUGUAAGUGAACAUAAAUGUUCAAGACAAAAAAAAAGUGGUAGUAAUAGCAAAAAGUAUAAAUACAAAGUAAACUAUAAAAGGGGCCAUCAUAAAAACUAACAAUUCUUCAAUAGUUAUAAGUUAGAAAAUAUAUAUAGAUUCUUUUAACUUAUAAAAUUAAUUAUUUAUUAAUGGUAUCAACGUUUUUAACCGAUCUGACUUUUAAGGUGAGAGCUAAUAAAAAAAAUUAAAUCAUUUUGCAAAUAAUAAUAUAGAUAUAUUAUAUUUUAACAUUUAAAAGACACACAUAUUAUUUCGAGGCUCUAAUCUUAUAGUACGGUUUUCAGAAUUAAAUGUUGAUGAAGAACUAGAAGCCAUGGGUAAGAAAAUGGUCACAUAUUGUGGAGGACUACCAUUAGCCGUUAAAGUGCUGGGAGGCUUGUUAGCUAAUAAAAACAUGGUUGAAGAGUGGAAAAGAGUAGAUGACAAUAUUCAAACUCAGAUAGUUCGCAUAGAUGACAACAGUCAAGAUUCGGUUUACCGAGUAUUGUCUAUGAGCUAUGAAGAUUUGCCCAUGCAGUUAAAGCAUUGCUUCCUAUACCUAGCUCAUUUUCCCGAAGAUGACAAGAUACAAGUACGGAUAUUGUAUAAUCUUUGGGAAGCAGAAGGAAUAAUAACGUCAAGUUGCGAUGGAGAAACCACUAGGAAAAUUGGAGAAGAAUACAUAGACGAGCUAGUAAGGAGAAAUAUGGUUAUUGCAGUAAAAGAUGAUUUGAGUUGCAAAUGGAAGUAUUGUCAAAUGCAUGACAUGAUGAGAGAAGUAUGUUUAUAUAAAGCCAAAGAAGAGAACUUUCUUCAGUUUAUCGAAGUACCUACUUCUUCCACCUCUACCAUCAAUGCGCAUACUCCUACCAGAGCUCGCAGACUCGUAGUACACGGUGAUGGUAAUGCAUUUGAUAUGCUGGGACGUAAAAACAAUCAAAAAGCUAGAUCUGUUUUGGGUUUUGGACUCGACAGCAACUUGUGGAAGCAGUCAGGUCAAGGAUUACGAAAUUUACAACUACUUAGGGUCUUAGAUCUGAAUUUACAAACACAUGAUAGCGACUCUAGAGGAGGGAGAAUACCAUCCAGCAUUGGAAAGCUCAUUCAUUUGAGAUAUUUGAGCUUACACAUGGGUCGUGCAACUCAUGUACCUUCUUCUUUACGGAAUCUAAAGCUUCUAAUCUGUUUGAGCAUUUACUCCGAGGGAAGAGUUCAUCUGCCAAGUAUCUUUAAAGAGAUGGUAGAGUUAAGGUCCCUGAUGCUUCCCCGUUAUAUUGACGCUAAAACAAAGUUGGAAUUGGGUAAUCUACUGAACCUAGAGUACUUGGUCGGCUUCCGACUUGAAUACGGUAGCAUCACAGACUUCCUCCGAAUGAAAAAGCUCAGGACUCUCGAGAUAUUUCUCAAAGGCAGGUAUACUUCUGAAAUUCUUGCGUCAUCUCUCUGUGAAUUAACAAACCUGGAGACGCUUAAAUUGAUCAAUGUGAACGGAUACGAUGAGGCUUAUGAUUUGGAUUUCGUUUGGAAUUUCAUUCAUCUAAGGCAUUUAGAGCUGGACAUACAUAUAACAAGGCUUCCUGAUCACUCUCGAUUUCCUCCCCACCUUGCACACAUAUCUCUAUGUGACUGUAAAAUGGAGGAGGAUCCACUGCAGAUUCUGCAAAAGUUGCUUCAUUUAAAGUCGGUUGAAUUAUCAUAUAGUACUUUCGUGGGGAGGAAGAUGGUGUGUUCAAAAGGUGGAUUCCCUCAGUUAUGUAAGCUACAAAUACGGUUCCUGCACAACUUGGAAGAGUGGAUAGUCGAAGAAGGGUCGAUGCCAUGUCUUCGUACCUUGUCUAUUCGGUAUUGUAAGAAGUUGAAGGAGCUACCGGAAGGGCUCAAGUAUAUAACUUAUUUAAAGGAACUGGAUAUCAGACAUAACAACAAGGAGUGGAAGAAGAAACUCGCACCAGGUGGGGAAAGUUAUCACAAAGUCAAACACAUUCCUAGUGUUCAAUUAAACUAUCGUGGCAAUUAAUAAGGAGAAUAAAACUGUCUCAGGUAUAUAUUCUUUUUGGUAUAAUGUCAAUAUUGUUCAUUUUGUUGGUUAUGUAUCCUCCUUGAAGUUUAGUGUGAGUCUCAACUCUCUGUUAUUCGGUUUUCAGGUGAACCUACUCAGGAUCAGUACCCACCACUAUCGAUUGUGUGAUAUGAUAAUAAGUCGUUUUUGUUGUAUGAAGUUUACAUAUCUUGUUUGUGAUAUAUUUCGUUUAUCUGUUUGCAUGCUCAUUCACUGUAAUACUAAGUUUGAAAUAUAUUUUGUAUGUUGAACCAUAUCUUCUUCGAUGUCUCCGUUGUGUGUGCUUAGUUGAUUUUCAUAGUCGGAACUGGAGAUAGAACGAUGGUUUUAUCAUGACAAAACGCAAGAACAACAACACAUAUAAAUUAGAUAUGUUGUAACAACUAUUUAAAAAAUUGAAUGAUGGAAACCCCAAAUUUGUUUAAAGAAAAUGAUGUUGAUAGUGGUUUUUGAAAAAAAAAAAGGGAUUAUGAUGAACAAUAACAAUGAAAACUCAUUGUAAACACGCUUUAGAGAGCCAAACAAAUAAAUCAAUUCUAAGAUUUUUGGUGGAAAGGUAAUUUAAGAGGAGAUGGAAAACGAUAACAGGAAUGAGUCUUUAAAAACACACAUAUAUAUAGAUUGAUAAAGGAUGCUUCAUCUAAGAGUUGUAUUGUUUUGAGAUGGAGACUAUUCGGUGAAAAGAUGCAACGCACCGCAGUUUUGUUUUUUUAUAUCAUUAAAUUCAAUCAAAUAUGACUGUUGGACUUAAAACCUUUUUUCUUUUAAAAAGUGACGAUAUCACCAGUUUUGGUAUGCUAUUAUAUAUAUAAUUUUUUUAUAAUGAAAAUAUACAAUUUUAAAAAUUAAUAAUAUUCAGAUUGUUAUGAAAAUAUACAAUUUAUAUAAUGAACAGACACAAUUUUUCAAACUAAUACAUUUCAGUUUUUUUUUAUGAAACAACACAACCAAAGUAGUUAUUUUGAAAAGACACAACUAUUUCGAUUUUUAGAAAAGAUACAACUUUUCAACAUAAGUAAGAUUCAUAACCUUUGAAAUUAAUCAGGAUUGCUAUUAUUAGUAGAUAAAAUAUUUGAUUUUAUCAUAUAUAUAUAUAUAUUAACAGUGGCGGUUCUACUAAGCUCAAGAAGGUGGCACUUGCCCCCUAUAAAAUCAUUAAAUUCUUUUUAACUUACCCAAAAUUUUGUUACAUACGUUUACUGAAAAUCAUGUUUUAUUUAUAUAGUUGUAUUUACAUAUGAUUUGCCCCCAGUAAAAUUUUGUUCUACAUCCGCCCCUGUAUAUUAAUUAACUUUUAGAAAUCCGACAUUUAUAUUUUUUUGUUACACUAUUUGGUGUAUACAAAAUAUGUUUUAUAGAAUUUAAAAUGUAUUUUUAUAUAUAAUUUUACGAAAUAUUAUCAAAAUAUAUUGAAAUGUUAAGAAAAAAUAGAAAUGAACUUCAUUUGUGAAUAUAAAACAAAUAAUACAAUGUUUAAUGUUUGUACUUUAUGUGUUUAUUAAUUAUAGAAUUUUUACUGCAUAUUGUUAUAAAUAUAUAUAUAUAUUUUAAAAACAUUUGAAAAGACUAAACACACUAUUAUUUCAAGACUCUGAUCUUAUAACGUGUGUUACUAUUUUCAGAAUUUGAUGUUGAUGAGGAACUAGAAGCCAUGGGUAAGGAAAUGGUGGCAUAUUGUGGAGGACUACCAUUAGCCAUUAAAGUGUUGGGAGGCUUGUUAGCUAAUAAAACCAUGGUUGAAGAGUGGAAAAGAGUAGAUGACAAUAUUCAAACUCAGAUAGUUCGCAUAGAUGACAAAAGUCAAGAUUCUGUUUACCGAGUAUUGUCUAUGAGCUAUGAAGAUUUGCCAAUGCAGUUAAAGCAUUGCUUCCUAUACCUAGCUCAUUUUCCCGAAGAUGACAAGAUACAAGUACGGAUAUUGUAUAAUCUUUGGGAAGCAGAAGGAAUAAUAACGUCAAGUUGCGAUGGAGAAACCACUAGGAAAAUUGGAGAAGAAUACAAUAGACGAGCUAGUAAGGAGAAAUAUGGUUAUUGCAGUAAAAGAUGAUUUGAGUUGCAAAUGGAAGUAUUGUCAAAUGCAUGACAUGAUGAGAGAAGUAUGUUUAUAUAAAGCCAAAGAAGAGAACUUUCUUCAGUUUAUCGAAGUCCCUACUUCUUCCAUCUCCACCAUCAAUGCUCAUACUCCUACCAGAUAUCGCAGACUCGUAGUACACGGUGGUGGUAAUGCAUUUGAUAUGCUGGGAAGUAAAAACAAUCAAAAAGCUAGAUCUGUUUUGGGGUUUGGACUCGACAGCAACUUGUGGAAGCAGUCAGCUCAAGGACUCAGAAAUUUACAAUCACUUAGGGUCUUAGAUCUGAGUUUAGAUUAUAAAAACGACUCUAAAGGAGGGAGAAUACCUUCGAGCAUUGGAAAACUCAUUCAUUUGAGAUAUUUGAGCUUAGACAUGGGUUGGGCAACUCAUGUACCUUCUUCUUUACGGAAUCUAAAGCUUCUAAUCUAUUUGAGAAUUUCCUCCUGGGGACUGGAAAGAGUUCAUCUGCCAAGUAUCUUUAACGAGAUGGUACAGUUGAGGGUCCUGAUUCUUCCCCGUUCUUUUGAGGCUAAAACAAAGUUGGAAUUGGGUAAUCUCGUGAACCUGGAGUACCUGAUCGGCUUCCGAUCAGAAUACGGUAGCAUCACAGACUUCCUCCGGAUGAAAAAGCUCAGGACUCUCGAGACCUGGAGAAGCUUACAUUGAUCAAUGAGAACAACAAAUCCGAUGGGGUUUAUGAUUUGGAUUUCGUUUGGAAUUUCAUUAAGCUAAGGCAUUUAGUGAUAUGGAUGCAUAUGCCAAGGCUUCCUGAUCACUCUCGAUUGCCUCCCAACCUUGCACACAUAUCUCUAACUAACUGUGAAAUGGAGGAGGAUCCACUGCAGAUUCUGCAAAAGUUGCUUCAUUUAAAGUCGGUUGAAUUACAUCAAAGAUCUUUCGUGGGGAGGAAGGUGGAUUCCCUCAAUUAUGUAAGCUAGACAUAUGGUACCUAGACGACUGGGAAGAGUGGAUAGUCGAAGAAGGGUCGAUGCCAUGUCUUCGUACCUUGUCUAUUCGGUUCUGUGACAAGUUGAAGGAGCUACCGGAAGGGCUCAAGUAUAUCACUUCUUUAAAGGAACUGGUUAUCACACAUCAGAACAAGGAGUGGAAGACAAAACUCGUACCAGGUGGGGAAAGUUAUUACAAAGUCCAACACAUUCCAAGUGUUCAAUUAAACUAUCUUGGCCACGAAUAAGGAGAACAAAACUGUCUCAGGUAUAUAUUAUUUUUGGUAUAAUGUCAAUAUUGUUCAUUUUGUUUGUUAUAUAUCCUCCUUGGAGUUUUGUGUGAAAGUAUGAACUCUCUGUUAUUCGGUUUUCAGGUGAACCUACUCAGGAUCAGUACCCACCACUACCGAUUGUGUGAUAUGAUAAUAAGUCGUUUUUGUUGUAUUGGUGUAUGAAGUUUACAUAUCUUGUUUGUGAUAUAUUCCGUUUUAUCUAUUUGCAUGCUCAUUCACUGUAAUGCUAAGUUUGAAAUACAUCUGCAUGUUGAACCAUAUCUUCUUCGCUGUCUCCGUUGUGUGUGCCUAGUUGACUUGUAUUGUAUGGUCGGAAAUGGAGAUAGAACGGUGCUUUGAUAGUGAUCACUUAAUACUAUUCUUAACAUGAUUUUAUCAUUUGGUUUAAGGAAUGUCAAGAGCUUUUAAAUGAAACAUCUAGUUAAUCCGUUUUAACAGAUAUAGAACCUUGGAGUUUAUUGAAACCAAAGUCAAGAGUUUCUCACCACAAUGAGACUAUCCUCACAGUUGAUAUCAAUGGCGCAAUCAAAUCAUAUAUACAACACCUUAGAGGAUUCAAGAAAGUCUCUUGGUUCCAUUCCUUCGCGACCUGGUUCGCUUUUUUCACUACUCAAGUGAUCAGCACUUUUGAUUGAAAACUGAUACCACACAGCAUCCACUUGAAACUAAACAUAAAUAUACAACCAAACAGUUACGCAAUGAUAGCUCAACCAGACAGAACCGAACCGAAUCUUAGUUUUGCUUUCCAAAUUUUAAAUAACGGGAUAAACCGGUUGAUUCUCAUCCAGUUCUGUAAUUUGUCUGACACUACUCAAGUGAUCAGCACUUUUGAUUGAAAACUAAUAACACACAGCACCCACUUGAAAGUUGAAACUAAACGCAACUCAAUGAUAAACCGGGAUAAACCGGUUAGUUCUCAUCGAGUUCUGUAAUUUGUCUUUUACUAUCAAACCGGACAAAUUGAUGGUUUAAAAACAAAACUCAGUCUGGAUUAUAAUAAAAUCAGAUCAUGAAACUCUACCAAACAAGAGUCCUUUCGGUCUCUGCAAAUUUGUUUUCGACUCUAAUUGAGAGGAGGAGAAGUCCAGUACUUGAAACGAAUCCAAAAACGCGGUGAUCCGUGCGUUUUCAGACACCAUCGCGACCGUAUGCAUAACUGGGUUAGAGCUUCCUCAUCCGAUUUCACCGGAACUCCUCCACAGCCCAGGAGGUAAAUUAAUUACUUCUUCUCCAUUCAAUUUCCGAUUUUAAUUUCAGCUGAUGAUUUUUAUUCUUCAUCAGUGGACAUACAGCUGUCAAUGUCGGAAAAUCCAUGGUCGUGGUGUUCGGCGGCCUCGUCGACAAGAAGUUCCUCAACGACAUCAUUGUUUAUGACAUUGGUAAUAUCAUACUUCCUUAGGAUUAUUGUUUCCUUGCUUCAAGAAAGAUGCUUUCUUUCUCACGAGUUACGUUCUUGGCUUGCUCUGCUUGUCUCUAGUAGUUUAUUUGAUAGAACGAUGCUUACAUCAAAGAUAGUUACUUUGCAACAAAAAAAAAAAAAAACUAUAGAAAGCUGAAAACUUCAAGAUGAGAUUAUUCGAUUCGGUGUUGUUGAAGAGGAAUCAGAUGGAUACUCUCUUUUCUUAUUUUGCUAGUUUUGUUUCUGAGCUUCUUUUGACCCCUCCUUGGCCUUGUUUUAAGUAUCAUAUAUGUGCAGCUUUUUUGAUCAUGUGAUAAUCGGUUUGUCUUAUGAUUUGCUUCUUCUUUAUCCUGUCGACUAGAGAACAAACUCUGGUUUGAGCCAGAGUGUACUGGCAGCGUUUCUGAAGGAAAAGUUGGCCCUACACCUCGCGCCUUUCAUGUUGCCAUCACUAUUGAUUGCCAUAUGUUCAUCUUUGGUGGACGUUCUGGUGGCAAGAGGUACUCACUACUAUAUAUUUUCUAGUUAGAAGCGUUUUUACAUUUCUACUUUCACCGGAAUAGCUUAUUUCUAGAAAUAAAUCAAUUUCAGAUUGGGUGACUUCUGGGUUCUAGAUACAGGUAAGUGUACAAUCAUAACAAUGUCAGUGACAUUAUGUCACUGAGACCUGCCUGGGAACUUUUUAAUACCCUGCUGCUGACAUUUUCUGCAGAUAUAUGGCAGUGGUCUGAGCUAACCAGCUUUGGCGACUUACCUACACCUCGUGAUUUUUCUGCUGCCGCUGCUAUUGGCAACCAGAAAAUCGUGUUGUGAGUAUCUGAAAUUUUAGACGUUCCAUCAGCUUGUUUCCUGCAUUGGCUUAGCCUAUGAUCAUUGGCAGGUGUGGCGGCUGGGAUGGUAAAAAAUGGCUGUCAGAUGUGUAUGUUAUGGACACAAGUAUAUCUCUCGUCUACUUCAGUUUUGUAAUAAACUGUUUUUAAGUUUCUGAUAAUGUCAGCUUUCUUGGUGUCUGUUAGUGUCUCUUGAAUGGAUGGAGCUGUCGGUUUCGGGGUCGUUGCCGCCUCCUAGAUGUGGCCAUACAGCCACCAUGGUUGAGAAACGUUUACUUGUUUUUGGUGGCCGAGGUAUAACACCAGAACCAGAAUCUUUGUUCUGCUUGAGCUGAUGACAACUAAACUGAGACUAUGGUUAUCUUUGACAGGAGGUGGUGGCCCUAUCAUGGGUGAUCUGUGGGCUUUGAAGGGUCUAAUAGAUGAAGGUUCAUCCUUACCUAAAUUACUUAAAAAUUGCAUUCUUAUGUUCUGUUUGCUAAUCUUAUUGUGGUUUACCUUUGUUGUGCAAGAAAGAACGUGAAACACCUGGAUGGACCCAACUAAAGCUUCCUGGCCAAGCACCAUCAGCUCGAUGUGGUCACACUGUCACAUCCGGAGGACAUUAUGUAUGUCUAUUUCAGCUUCCGUUUGCUCUUUUGUAUAAAUAGGUCGCAUGACAUACAUCACUCACAUCAUUAAUGUUCAUGUAUGAAGCUUCUGUUAUUUGGGGGACAUGGAACUGGUGGAUGGCUGAGUCGUUAUGAUGUCUAUUAUAAUGACACUAUAAUUUUAGACAGAGGUACAUUCUUGCUUAUGAGAUUCGUCUCCUCUGCUAAAGGAGCACUCUAAAUCCAAAAAUCCACCUCAGUAAUUUACAAUCUAGUGAGAUGAUAAAAUUGUGAUGUGCUUUAUCAUUUUUCUUGCUGAGCAUUGUUUUCUACGCGUUGUUGCUAAAUUUAUAUUUUCGCAUACUAGUAACUGCGCAGUGGAAGCGCUUACCAAUAAGCAAUGAUGAACCUCCUCCUCCUCGAGCUUAUCACACCAUGACAAGUAUUGGAGCUCGUCAUCUUUUAAUUGGUGGUUUUGAUGGAAAAUCAACCUUCGGUGAUCUUUGGUGGCUGGUUCCUGAAGGUAUCUUUCUCUUAUUUAUACUGAUGUUUUAGUCCAACUUAGCUAUCAUUCUGUGUACACGCAUCAUCAGUUACUUAUUGUUGGAAACUCUUUAGACGAACUAAUCCUGGUGUUGGUCGCAGAUUGUAGGCAAUUUUAGAGACACUUAAUUUCUAGCAUAAUCUUUUUUUUCUUCUUUAUCAAGUUUGUAUUGAAAGUUUUGAAGUUUUACUGAACUGUUUAGCCUUCUGAAAAUGUUGUUAUUCGUUUUUUUCUUUUUCUCUUUUCUCAGAUGAUCCCAUAGCCAAGAGGUCUUCUGUACCUCAACUUAGAAACCCUCCUGAGACUAAAGAGUCAGAGAGAGAUUUGGAUACGGUAACUGUAGUUCCUGCUCAUCAUCUUAUGUGUUUCUCGCCAAUGCAGUUAAAUUAGCUUUUCAACGUGUUUUUAACACCAAGAGUUUGGUCACAGCAGGAAAGAGGACAAGAGGGAUUCACUAUCGCCGACUUGCAAAAGAAAAUGGGAAUCUCUGUUUCUUCAGGGUUACGCCUUCAAAUACCCGAGGAGUUAGAAGAUCAAGAGUUCGUUGAGUUAGGAACCAGAUUGAUUGAGGGAGAUGCAGUUGAUAAUGGAGCCUCCAUGAUUCAGGUGAGUUUUUCCUCUUGUCUAUUUUAGAAUGUGUGAUUGUGUUAUUCUUGUACUGAAAAUGCUUCUCAACGAAUAGAUGGCAGUUGAAGCACUUCGUCAACAUUGGAAAGAGUCCACUCCAGAGACUUUGCAAUUAAAGGAGCUUGGUUCCUUGCUUCGAGAUUAUCAGCGACUGGUUACCCGAAAAUACACGUGAGUUCUUAUCCAUGCCUAACUAUUUCAGACUCAGUUCUUGUUUAUGUAGAUUAUCUUUUGUUUCACUAAAAAUGGUUGUUCUUUGAUUGCGCUUGGAAUCACCACAUGGCAUUAGAAUAACUUAGAUAAAUCUCCUGAGAGUUUAGGAGUCAUAUAGAGUUAAUAUGAAUAUAUCAUUUUUGUGUCUUGAAUAGCCCUCGAGACUCUUUAAUCCGAGCAUAUUGUCAAAACUGAUAAUGUUGUGAAUGCAUUGUUUUGUGCCCCUACUAUUACAUGUUAUGAAAUCUCACAUCUGCUUCUUCCUUUCCUUGACACAUGUUUCUUUUCAUUUGUUGUGGCGGGUUUCUAUCAGAGCACAGAGCAGCUUAACAUCUGCUGAUUUUGGAAAGAAGACGUUUACGUUUUAUCAUAUCAAAAAUUCUUCCGAGGUAUUACUCUGCAUACUUUCCUCCCUCGCCUGAAUAUUUGACACCAAUCAAUCAAAACAUCAGGCUUUCCUCCUGACAUGUCAAGUUUACAUUUUGCUAUUCUCAGUUGCGGAUGGAUGACAUUCCGGAGUUGCUGGAAGAAUACAAAACCCUUGUAAUCUGAUUGAGGAGCUCUGCCAUGAAACUCACAAGGAGAAUACAAAACUCAUCAAGUAGCUGCCAAGAAGAUCACCAAGAUUGCUAUCAGCAUUACCAUUGCAAACCACAAAGCUAAAAAGUCUCAAGAGAAUCACAUCUCUGAUAGACAACUAUGUACAACUUCUUUUUAGCAAGAACAAAAAGAUACAACGUAUAUGUAAGACUUCCAUUAUCUCAACUUAAAUCCAUAUCUAAGCCUCUGCUCUUUUAUUUCUUGUUUGGGCUUUGAAAAUAGAUUGUUUUGCCUUGAAGCCAAUGCGAAAGUAAGGAAAAAAGUAGGCAAACUUCAUCUAUUAGACUUUGAAAUGGAUUACAACAACAACGGUACUCUUGAUAACUUAAACCACAGAGUUUCUGUCUGCAUAGACCCGUAUUGUCUUUUCUCUAUCCCCUAAAACAACUCGAACUCAAGAUGAUCUCCCAUGGCUUUACAUUCAAGAUAUCCAUUACCAUUUCCUUUAGGAGAAGUUGCUUCCGUUGCACCAUUCUCAUAUACAUCCGGCAGCUCAGGCGGAAUGGCGCAGCGGAUGAGAGCCCAGUUCAAUCCUUCAAAGAAUGGAUGCCUCUUGAUCUCUGCAGCUCCUUUCUCCCACCCGAGGCGGCUCCCCGGAUCCUUCAUCACCAACCUUCUGAUCAAAUCCUUUGCCUGGAAGCUCACAAGAGGGCUAUCAGGAAACUUGAGGUUCUGAAACACAAACGUCUCCUCAUUGUCAUAACCUUUGAACGGUGUCUUCCCGUAUAAAAGCUCAUAGAGAAGAACCCCAAACGUCCACCAGUCUACUGCAGCACCGUGACCUUCUCCUUUAAUGAUCUCCGGCGCCAAGUACUCGUGCGUUCCUACAAAAGAGUUUGAUCUUGCUUCAGUUGGUUCAGCCACAAGCUGAGGCAAUGAUCUGAACUGUUGGGUCAGAAGAUCAGGCCUUCUCUGUUUUCUUGGUUUUGAGUUUCUAGCUUGCGUUGACAAGAGCCUAGGGCUGAAACAUGGGACACGGCACGAUGGACUCUAUCUAAAUCACAGGUUCUUCAUCUUCUUUGGAAGCUGAGGAGCUUGAUACAAUAAGUGAAGACGAAGACAAACAGCAGUAUCCAGGCGAUGUGCACCGCAGCUACAGCUGGUAAGAAGUCAUGUUCGAACCCGGAUCCAUCUUUGAGCAACUGUUUUAGUUCCGUGUCUAGGAGACCAGUGUUCUGCACUAUCGAAUCUUGGUCUCCUACUUGAGAUGUGAUGCUUCCAUACAAUGUCCAGCCACUGGCGUUGCCUAGUAAUUAAUAUCAUCUCCACCAUAUCAAUAUUUGCUGCAUCCCCUCCUCCAUAAGAAACAUAAAACAUAAAAGUUAGGUAGCUCUAAAACACUUCUGAUCAUAACAAAAAGUAAGAUCUAUAACACACUUGAUGAUUACGUAAGUUGGUUCGUAAUUUUUACCAAUCUUUGGGAUGAGGAACUGGAGAAAAGAUUCCAAAUAGACCGAGGAAGAAAGACAUGCAGAUUCCGGAGAUUUGAUAGUUUGGUGUCAAGGCCACAAAGCAUCAAGCUUGGUAACAUGUCGUAGUAGUAGAAGUAGAACCAGAAGAACUUGACCACAGUACGGUCGUAUCCUAUCAUUGAGUAAAGGAUUAUAGUAUGUAAACUCUAGUUUGUAUGGUGUCAUACUACAUGAUCUAAUAACUUUGUCUAUAUUACCAAUUUUCCCAAUUAAUUAUUUCUAACAAAAGUAUAAUGUAUACAUAUCAAUGAAUAUAUAUUUUGAAAGUUGAAAAUAAGGGAGAAAUUUUUUUUUACCAAAAAGAAUAAUAAGGGAGAACUAUAGUGAAUGCUUCGAGUGGGCCUAAGCAAACGCAUUAUUGCCUUGCGAAAAAAUCAUUAUCGCCAGAGACUAGAAAAAAACUCCUAUUUUCUUUUUAAUUCAAAAUUAGAACCACAAGAUGACUGUCAUAGACUGUCGAUACUCUUUCAUUAUUUCUUCUUCCAAAGAACGUCGCUAAGCAAGUUGCAGAUCUGUUACAUGUAAGGUAAAUCACGUUCUUGUAUCAUUAUUUGUCUGUUUAACUUGCUCUGAUCUGUCUUUUGGGCUCUGUGGUGGUUGAAUCUGAAUUUAAAAACAAAAAUUCGUUGCAUUGUUACAAAUCUUGUUUUACGAAUUUAAAGCAUUUAAUCAUCAAUGCUUGAAUAAAAGUAAGUUAAGUAAAGUUCCUCUGACAGGUAUCAUGUUUUAUUAGAUCAACCAAGGAUUAUCAUAACCGGUUUUAAAUCUUACUAUACAAGUUUGUACUCAUAUGUUGACGGUGGAACAGGAGAAUAGCGAUGGCUGAGGGAAUUGUAUCGUUUGGAGUGCAGAGACUCUGGGAGCUCUUGGCUCGAGAAUCUGAGAGACUGCAGGGAGUUCAUGAGAAAGUUGAUGAUCUAAAAUGUCAGAUGAGAAUGUUACAGUCGUUGUUGAAAGAUGCAGAUGCGAGGAAACAUGAGAAUGAAGUAGUGAGAAACUUCUUGGAAGAUGUCAAAGACAUUGUUUUUGAUGCUGAAGAUAUAAUUGAAUCUUUUCUUUUGAAAGAAUCUAGCGGUGACGAAAAAGGGAUCAAGAGGCGUGUGAAAAGACUUUCGUGUUUCUUAGUGGAUCGCCGAGAUAUUUCUAUGGACAUUGAAGGCAUAACUAAGAGAAUGUCUAAGGUUAUUGCCCAAAUGCAGAGCUUUGGAAUACAACAUAACGUCUACAGAUCACCGUCUCUACAAGAGAGGCAAAGGGAGAUCCGACAAACAUAUCCUAAGAGGUCUCAAAAGGAUCUUGUGGGGGUGGAACAGAGUGUUAACGAAUUGGUUGGUCAUUUGGUGGAGAAUGAUAGCAUCCAAGUAGUUUCCAUAUCUGGGAUGGGUGGUAUUGGGAAAACCACUCUUGCGAGACAAGUUUUUCAUCAUGACAUUGUUCGAAGUCAUUUUGAUGGAUUCGCAUGGAUCUGUGUUUCCCAAGAUUUUAAGCGGAAGGAUAUUUGGCAGAAGUUAUUGCAAGACCUUAGACCACAUGAUACGGGCAUUGAACAAAUGAAUGAGGGUACACUCCAGGCUAAGAUCUUUCACUUGUUGGAAACAUCUAAAUAUUUAAUUGUCAUGGAUGAUGUAUGGAAAAACAAAGACUGGGAUAUAAUAAAAGACGUUUUCCCCCAAGAAAGAGGUGAGUUCUCUUAUUGUACAUACAUUACUUAAUACUCCCCAUAGCUAUUUCAUAAAUGCAUUUGAGUCCCUGAGAUGAAAGGAAAUACAAUUGCAGGUUGGAAGAUGAUUCUUACUUCACGUGAUGAAGGUGUUGGUUUCCAUGCAAACCCAACAUGUUUUCCCUUUAGACCAAAAACUCUUACUCAUGAAGAAAGUUGGAAGCUAUGUGAGAGCAUAGCAUUCCCUAGAAAAGAGAUAACGGGUACGUUUUUCUAUAAGAAUCAUAUGAAUCCUUAAGGCCAGAAAUCUCUUACGGGCAGUGUUUUUAAAACCGGAUCGGCUAGCGAACCGAAAUUUUUUUAGAUCAUGGGUCAUUGUGGUUCAACCGGGUCUGAACCGUGUUCGAUCGGGUUUAAUUAGAUUAAACUAAAUUUAAUGAUAUUUUAUAAAUAAUAUGCAUAUUCUUAAAAAAAAAUAGAUCAUAUCAAAUAAAAUGUUUAAAUAGCCAUAAUGUGUAGAAAAACUUAAAAAUAACAAUUAAAAUUUAAAAUCAAUAUGAAAAGCAUAAUUAAACUUUAUUCGCAAAUCUUAUCACUCUAAAUCUUUAUCAUCUUAUAAAAAAAAUUUAUAGUAAAAUUUAUAUUUUGAAAUACAAAUUUCACAAACAUAAAGGUUUCAAUUAUUAGAAGUCUUCAAAACAAGUGAUCAUGAAAUAAAAUUUAAACAAAGUGAGAAGUAGACAAAAACAACAUCUUGACGUAUUAAACUUUGUGAAUCUUGUAAUUUAUGAGUUGUAGAGACGACAAAAGAAAAAGACGAAAGACGAUAUUUUAUUAAUCUUUAAUAAAACUUAUUUUUUAUUUAAAAAAGAAGAAAAAUUAAUUAUUUCAUUAACAAAAUUUUGGCUUAUAUACUAACCGUAGUUUGGCCGAUUCAUUGGAUCGCCGGUUCCUAGGGUUUUGACGGUUUGAUAGGGGUUUUUAACUGGUUCAAAUUUAGUUGGGUUUUAGUAUUAACCCAACCCAGAUUAUUUUCGGUUGAUAGUUCAACCCGGUCUGACCGCCAGUUCGGUCCAAGUUUAAAAACAUUGCUUACAGGACAUCUUAUCAAAAAUCUUGUGUAUUAAUUCCUAAAUCCGCAUGACAUAUAUUAUUAUAUAUACCUUUGAGAAACAAUAUACCAUUUGAUUUAUUUCAUAUGUCAUCACCAAUGUUUUAAAAACCAGAUCAGACAUUGACUCGACAUUGUACAUGGGUAAAUGGUCGGCUCGGUCCAACCCGGUUCAAGCGGCUUUUAAAUUUUAAUCUAAUUUUAAAUUAAGUAACUAUAUAUAUGUAUAAUCAAUUUAAUUAUAUAAACCUUUCUAUCGUUGUUAAUAUAAAAAAUCAUAUGAAAAUAAAAUGCAACUUCAAAAAUAAUAUAAAAUUAUAGUGAAAGUAAUUUAUUUAGUUAAAUAUUAAAAACAAUAUGAUUUUGUUUUGAAAUCUUUUUUAAAAUUGCAAAUUUUAUUUUUAAACUUGAAUUUGAGAAAACCGGAUUUUAAUAUCGAACCAAAUCACCGGUUUUAACGAGUUUGACAAGUUUUUUGAUAAGGUUUACCAGUUUAAUUCAAAUUUGGUUUUAACACAACUAGGAACCGGCUAAAAGAACGAGUCACGGUCCAAACAGACGGUCCGGUUUUCAAAACGUUGGUCAUCACCAUAAUGACUCUUUAAUUUCUUAGAGCAAUAAGUUAUAAUCUAAACAUAUAAUCUAAUUCUCAUUAGACUAACUAUAAAAUUAAUUAUUAAAAUACAAAACAUAUUAAUUAUCCCUUCUUUGCUUAACACGUGUUAUUAUUUUAUUUAUUUAAAGAAAAUAAAUUUACGUUUUAAUAUUAUUAUAUUUAUAUUUUAAAUUCAUCAGUUUAGAAAAGAGUGAAAUCAUAACUUUUUGUAAUUUUGUUUCAUUUGAUUUGGUUAAUUUAUUUUAAUUUCAAUAGAAGAUAAUUAUGUUUUAUAUAAAUAUGAGUUUAUUUAUAUUUUUUUAGUGAUUAUUUAUUUUAAAUAUGUUUUUUAUCCUUUAAGUGUAUAAAUUUUAAUAAAUUUUGAAUUUCUAUUUAAAUGUAUAGCUAAAAUAUGUUAAAAUCGUAAACUAAAUUUGUUAAUUAAUAAAAUAAACUAAUAGAUCCUAAUAAAAUUUGAAACAUUUAAUCAUAAAAAAUUGAUUAGCAUUGCUUUAGUUUUGUAUUUGUUAAUGCACACUUACAAUUUAUUUUAGUAGGAAAACAAUAUAUAUUUAUAGAAAUAUGAUUAAUAAUUUAAAAAUUAAAAUGUAAUUAUAUUUAGUUUAUUUUUUUAUAAAUAUGAUAUAUAUAUUUUUAUUAUAUUUUAAUGAUGAUAUAUGAAUUAUUGAUUAUUAAUGUAUUUAAAGUCCUGUCAAAAUAAAAAUUUACACAAAAAUGUUAACUUUUAAAUAGUGAUAUAAAAAUUAUUAGUUACUACCAUAUUUAAAAUUUCUUACUAAAAAUAUAAAUUUAUAAAAAUUAUUAUUUAUUACCAUAUUUAUAAAUAUUUACAGAAAUAUAUUUUUAUAUAAUAAAAUUUUACAUAUCAAAAAAAAAAAUUGAUCUCAUAUCACUAUUUUCUAAAGACAGGUUAUCUUUUUUUUGUGAGAAUGUAUGUUGUGAUGACAUGUACAAACCACUUUGCGAAAAUGUUUAGGGAUAUUAGAUUUUGAAUGAUAAAUAUUUGAUAAAUUUGACCCAAAAAAAGAUUUGAUAACAAUUUGUGUAUCUUCUAUCAUUUUUAUUUAAUUUUAUAUUAUUAAAGUAAAUUAGACAAUCUCAUUAAUCAUAUAAUAAAAUUAGAUUUUUUGUAUAUGAUAUAUUUUGAUUUUUUAAAUGACUAUAAAUUACUUAAAUUGUUAAAAAAUUGUUGUCAUCAGUGGUUUAAUUUUGUUUGUUAUAACAAGAUACAAAUGAUCAAAAAAUGGGUAUGAAGUCUCAAUUAAUAGAACUUUAGAUUAAAAUAUAUAUAUCUAUUUUAAUACUGUUUGAAUUAAACUAUCUAUAUUUUUUUCUGAACAUUUGAAAAGACUAGAGACAUUAUUUCGAGGCUCUAAUCUUAUAACAUGUGUUACUGUUUUCAGAAUUUAUUGUUGAUGAAGAACUAGAAGCCAUGGGUAAGAAAAUGGUCACACAUUGUGGAGGACUACCAUUAGCCGUUAAAGUGUUGGGAGGCUUGUUAGCUAAUAAAAACAUGGUUGAAGAGUGGAAAAGAGUAGAUGAGAAUAUUCAAACUCAGAUAGUUCGCAUAGAUGACAAAAGUCAAGAUUCUGUUUACCGAGUAUUGUCUAUGAGCUAUGAAGAUUUGCCAAUGCAAUUAAAGCAUUGCUUCCUCUACCUAGCUCAUUUUCCCGAAGAUUACAAGAUACAAGUGAAGAGAUUGUAUUAUUACUGGGAAGCAGAAGGAAUAAUAACGUCAAGUGGCGAUGGAGAAACCACUAGGAAAAUUGGAGAAGACUACAUAGACGAGCUAGUAAGGAGAAAUAUGGUUAUUGGAGUAAAAGAGGAAUUGAGUUGCAGUUGGGAGUAUUGUCAAAUGCAUGACAUGAUGAGAGAAGUAUGUUUAUAUAAAGCCAAAGAAGAGAACUUUCUUCAGUUUAUCAAAGUCCCUACUACUUCCACCUCCACCAUCAAUGCUCAUACUCCUACCGGAUCUCGAAGACUCGCAGUACACGGUGGUGGUAAUGCAUUUGAUAUGCUGGGAAGUAAAAACAAUCAAAAAGCUAGAUCUGUUUUGGGGUUUGGACUCGACAGCAACUUGUGGAAGCAGUCAGCUCAAGGACUCAGAAAUUUACAAUUACUUAGGGUCUUAGAUCUGAGUUUAGAUUAUAAAAACGACUCUAAAGGAGGGAGAAUACCUUCGAGCAUUGGAAAACUCAUUCAUUUGAGAUAUUUGAGCUUAGCCAUAGGUUGGGCAACUCAUGUACCUUCUUCUUUACGGAAUCUAAAGCUUCUAAUCUAUUUGAAACUUAAGUCCUACGGAAGUGUUCAUCUGCCAAGUAUCUUUAACGAGAUGGUAGAGUUGAGGUUCCUGCUGCUUCCCUUUUUGGUUGACGAUAAAACAAAGUUGGAAUUGGGUAAUCUAGUGAACCUGGAGUACUUGAGCGGCUUCCGAUCAGAAAACGGUAGCAUCACAGACUUACUCCGAAUGAAAAAGCUCAGGAUUCUCCACAUAAAACUCAAAGGCAGGUAUACUUCUGAAACUCUAGCUUCAUCUCUCUGUGAAUUAAGAAACCUGGAGGAGCUUAGCUUGAUCGAUGAGAAGCUUAGCUUGAUCGAUGAGAAGCUUAGAUUGAUCGAAGAGAACAACGAAUCCGAUGGGGCUUAUGAUGUGGAUUUCGUUUGGAAUUUCAUUCAUCUAAGGCGUUUAGCGCUGGGCAUACAUGUGACAAGGCUUCCUGAUCACUCUCGAUUUCCUCCCAACCUUGCACACAUAUUUCUAAGUGACUGUAAAAUGGAGGAGGAUCCACUGCAGAUUCUGCAAAAGUUGCUUCAUUUAAAGUCGGUUGUAUUACAUCUAAGGUCUUUCGUGGGGAGGAAGAUGGUGUGUUCAAAAGGUGGGUUCCCUCAAUUAUGUAAGCUAGAAAUAUGGAACCUAUACGACUUGGAAGAGUGGAUAGUCGAAGAAGGAUCGAUGCCAUGUCUUCGUACCUUGUCUUUAUGGAAUUGUAAAAAGUUGAAGGAGCUACCGGAAGGGCUCAAGUAUAUCACUUCUUUAAAGGAGCUGGAAAUCACACACGAGAACAAGGAGUGGAAGACGAAACUCGUACCAGGUGGGGGAAGUUACCACAAAGUCCAACACAUUCCCAGUGUUCAAUUACACUAUCGUGGCAACGAAUAAGGAGAAUAAAACCGUCUCAGGUAUAUAUUUUUUUGUGUAUAAUGUCAAAAUUGUUCAUUUUGUUGGGUAUAUAUCCUUCUUGAAGUUUAGUGUGAAAAUCUCAACUAUCUGUUAUUCGGUUUUCAGGUGAACCUACUCAGGAUCAGUACCCACCACUAUCGAUUGUGUGAUAUGAUAAUAAGUCGUUUUUGUUGUAUGAAGUUUACAUAUCUUGUUUGUGAUAUAUUCCGUUUAUCUAUUUGCAUGUUCAUUCACUGUAAUGCUAAGUUUGGAAAUACAUUUGUAUGUUGAACCAUAUCUUAUUCGAUGUUCUCCGUUGUGUGUGCUUAGUUGACUUGUAUAGUUACCGAACCGAACCUGAGUUUUCCAAAUUUGUCUUUUACUACCAAACCGGACAAUAUUGAUGGUUUAAAAACAAAACUCGGUCUGGAUUAUAAUAAAAUCAGAUCAUGAGAGACUACCAAACAAGAGAGUUCUUUCGAUCUCUGCAAAUUUGUUUUUGACUCUAAUUGAGAGGAGAAGAAGUGUACUAGUUGAAGCGAAUCCAAAACGCUGUGAUCCGUGCGUUUUCAGACAUCAAUCGCCAAACGUAUGCAUCAUUGGGUUAGAGCUUCCUCUUCCGAUUUCACCGGAACUCCUCCACAGCCUAGGAGGUAAAUUAAUUACUUCUUCUCCAUUCAAUUUUCGAUUUUAAUUUCAGCUGAUUAUUUUUAUUGUUCAUCAGUGGACAUACAGCUGUCAAUGUCGGAAAAUCCAUGGUCGUGGUGUUCGGCGGUCUCGUCGACAAAAAGUUCCUCAACGACAUCAUUGUUUAUGACAUUGGUAAUAUCAUACUUUAGGUAGAAAGAUGCUUUCUUUCUCACGAGUUACGUUCUUGGCUUGCUCUGCUUGUAAUGACUAUUGUCUCUAGUAGUUUAUUUGAUAGAACGAUGCUUACAUCAAAGAUAGUUACUUUGCCAAAAAAAAAAAAAACUAUAGAAAGCUGAAAACUUCAAGAUGAGAUUAUUCGAUUCAGUGUUGUUGAAGAGGAAUCAGAUGGAUACUCUCUUUUCUUAUUUUGCUAGUUUUGUUUCUGAGCUUCUUUUGUCCCCUCCUUGGCCUUGUUUUAAGUAUCAUAUGUUCAGCUUUUUUAAUCAUGUGAUAAUUGGUGGUCUUAUGAUUUGCUUCUUCUUUAAUCCUGUCGACUAGAAAACAAACUCUGGUUUGAGCCAGAAUGUACUGGCAGCGUUUCUGAAGGAAAAGUUGGCCCUACACCUCGCGCGUUUCAUGUUGCCAUCACUAUUGAUUGCCAUAUGUUCAUCUUUGGUGGACGUUCUGGUGGCAAGAGGUACGCACUUCUAUAUAUUUUCUAGUUAUAAGCGUUUUUACAUAAGAGCUCAUUUCUAUAAAUCAAUUACAGGUUGGGUGACUUCUGGGUUCUAGAUACUGGUAAGUGUGCCUCGGAGUUUUAAUUUCUCUGCUUUGGCACUUCUAUGAGACACCUAUUAAUGACAUUUUCUGCAGAUAUAUGGCAGUGGUCUGAGCUAACCAGCUUUGGCGACUUACCUACGCCUCGUGAUUUUUCUGCUGCCGCUGCUAUUGGCAACCAGAAAAUCGUGUUGUGAGUAUCAUAAAUUUUAGACGUUCCAUCAGGUUGUUGCAUGCAUUGGCUUAGCCUAUGAUCAUUGGCAGGUGUGGCGGCUGGGAUGGUAAAAAAUGGCUGUCAGAUGUGUAUGUUAUGGACACAAGUAAAACUUUAUCUCUCUCCUCUACUUCAGUUUUGUACUAGACUGAUUUUAGUAUCUGAUAAUGUCAGCUUUCUUGGUAUCUGUUAGUGUCCCUUGAAUGGAUGGAGCUGUCGGUUUCGGGGUCGUUGCCACCUCCUAGAUGUGGUCAUACAGCCACCAUGGUUGAGAAACGUUUACUUGUUUUUGGUGGCCGAGGUAUAACACCUUGAACCUAAACUUUGUAGCUUCUUGCUCUUGACUUAUCACCAUUCUCUUAAAAAAGUUAAGGUGUUUGCAUAUUAAACCAACUUGGCGGACUCAUAUGAUAGAUAAAAGUAAAAGACCGAAAAUUUAUUUACUGUUCCACCUUUUCAUUCAUCAAACAUGUUAAGGAUGCUGAUGUGUUUGGUUCCACGAAUUACACAUCCAAAUUCAAUAUAAGUCCAUAAAAUGCAAAUAAAGAAAACAAACAAAUUAGAGGAGGGGGGGAACUUGAGUGAAAUAUGAAUCAAAUAUUAAUAAAUAGCAAUUUAUGCAUCGUUGUAAGUUAAUAACUUCCAGUCAUUAAUGAAUUGUCCUGAACGGGAUGGUAUAUGUAAUGUAGAAACCCUCUUCCAAUCUUAAGGAUUCAUACUUUUAAGCAAAUCCACUAGUUUGAUAGUUCUUUGGUUCUGACAUCUGAGGUAUAGGUCAUGAUCACAAUUAUUUUUUGCUUGAUCUGAUAACAACUAAGCUAAAACUAUGGUGUGUGAUAUGUUUAUCUUUGACAGGAGGCGGUGGCCCUAUCAUGGGUGAUCUGUGGGCUUUGAAGGGUUUAAUAGAUGAAGGUACAUCCUUAAUUAAAUUACUUCAAAAUUGCAUUAUAUGUAAUGUUCUGGUUGCUGAUCUUAUUGUGGUUAACCUUUGUUGUGGAAGAAAGAACGUGAAACACCUGGAUGGACGCAACUAAAGCUUCCUGGCCAAGCAUCAUCAGCUCGAUGUGGUCACACUGUCACAUCCGGAGGACAUUAUGUAUGUCUUUUUCAGCUCCUGUUUGUUCUUUUGUGUAAGGAUAGCUUCGCAUGACAUACAUCACUCACAUCAUUAAUUUUCAUGUAUGCAGCUUCUGUUAUUUGGGGGACAUGGAACUGGUGGAUGGCUGAGUCGUUAUGAUGUCUAUUAUAAUGACACUAUAAUUUUAGACAGAGGUAAAUUCUUGCUUAUGAGAUUCGUCUCCUCUGCUAAAGGAGCACUCUAAAUCCAAAAAUCCACCUCAGUAAUUUACAAUCUAGUGAGAUGAUAAAAUUGUGAUGUGCUUUAUCAUUUUUCUUGCUGAGCAUUGCUGUCUACGCGUUGUUGCUAAAUUUAUAUUUUCACAUACUAGUAACUGCACAGUGGAAGCGCUUACCAAUAAACAAUGAUGAACCUCCUCCUCCUCGAGCUUACCAUACCAUGACAAGUAUUGGAGCUCGUCAUCUUUUAAUUGGUGGUUUUGAUGGAAAAUCAACCUUCGGUGAUCUUUGGUGGCUAGUUCCUGAAGGUAUCUUACUCUUAUUUGUACUGAAUGUUUCUUAUCGUUGGAAAGUCUUUAGACGAACUAAUCUUGGUGUUGAUCACAGUUUGUAUUAAAAGUUUUGAAGGUUUACACAUCUGAUUGAAUUUAGUAUACUGUUUAGCCUUCUAAAAAUUAAAGAGAAAAAUGGACGUGGAACUCUAGAUAGGGAUCUCACUCAAUACUUGUGGGCUUCAAAUACCCGAGGAGUCAGAAGAUGAAGAGUUCGUUGAGUUAGGAACCAGAUUGAUUGAAGGAGAUGUAAUUGAUAAUCGAGCCUCCAUGAUGCAGGUUAAUUUUUCCUCUUGUCUUUUUCAGGAUGUGUGAUUGUGUUAUUCUUGUACUGAAAAUGCUUCUCAACGAAUAGAUGGCAGCUGAAGCACUUCGUCAACAUUGGAAAGAGUCCACUCCUGAGACUUUGCAGUUAAAAGAGCUUAAUGCCUUGCUUCGAGAUUAUCAGCGACUUGUUUCCCGAAAAUACACGUGAGUUCUUACAUUAUCUUGUUUAUGUAGAUUAUCUUUUAUUUCAAUAAAAAUGGUUGUUCUUUGAUUGCGCUUGGAAUGGCAUUAGAAUAACUUAGAUAAAUCUCCUGAGAGUUUAGGAGUGUUAUAUAGAGUUAAUAUCAAUAUCAUUUUUUGUGUCUUGAAUAGCCCUUGAGACUUUUUAAUCCAAGAAUUGCCAAAACUGAUUCAUUUCUUAAUGUUGUGCAGUCCUCACAUAAAAGUUGAUUGUAAAUGCAUCGCUUUGUACCCCUUUGAAAAGUAUUAAACAUCAUGAAAUUUCACAUUUGAUUCUUCCUUUCCGUCACACAUGUUUGUUUUCGUUGUUGUGGCGUGAGUCUCAGAGCACAGAGCAGCUUAACAUCUACUGAUUUUGGCCUCCCCGGAAAGCAGACGUUUACGUUUUAUCAUAUCAAAACUUCUUCCGAGGUAAUACCACAUACUUUCCUCCUGUUAUGAGCUCUCUUGAACAUUUGACAGCAAUCAAUCAACACAUCAGGCUCUUGGCACAUGCUCUGACAUGUCAAUUUAACAUUUUGUUAUUCUCAGUUACGGAUGGAUGACAUCCCGAAGUUGCUGGAAGAAUACAAAACCCUUGUAAUCUGAUUGAGGAGCUCUGCCAUGAAACUCACAAGGAGAAUACAAAACUCAUGAAGUAGCUGCCAAGAAGAUCACCAAUAUUGCUAUCAGCACUACCAUUGCAAACAACAAAACUAAAAAAAGUCUCAACAGAAUCAUAUAUCUGAUAGACAACAAGACAUGUACAACUUCUUUUUAGUCAAGAACAAAAACAUGUACCCAUAUGUAAGAUUUUCCAUUAUCUCCACUUAAUCCGUAUCUCAGCGUCUGCUCUUUUUUUUUCUUGUUUAGCCUCUUGCAUUUUACUUUGAAAAUAGAUUGAUUUGCCUUGAAGCUAAUGUUCGAACCCCGAUCCAUCUUUGAGCAACUGUUUUAGUUCCGUGUCUAGGAGACCAGUGUUCUGCACUAUCGCAUCUUGGUCUCCUACUUGAGAUGUGAUGCUUCCAUACAAUGUCCAGCCACUGGCGUUGCCUAGUAAUUAAUAUCAUCUCCACCAUAUCACUAUUUGCUGCAUCCCCUCCUCCAUAAGAAACAUAAAACAUAAAAGUUAGGUAGCUCUAAAACAUUUCUGAUCAUAACAAAAAGUAAGAUCUAAACCACACUUGAUGAUUACGUAAGUUGGUUCGUAAUUUUUACCAAUCUUUGGUAUGAGGAACUGGAGAAAAGAUUCCAAAUAGACUGAGGAAGAAAGACAUGCAGAUUCCGGAGAUUUGAUAGGUUGGUGUCAAGGCCACAAAGCAUCAAGCUUUGUUAACAUGUAGUAGUAGUAGAACCAGAAGAACUUGACCACAGUACGGCCGUAUCCUAUCAUUGAGUAAAGGAUUAUAGUAUGUAAACUCUAGUUUGUAUGGUGUCAUACUACAUGAUCUAAUAACUUUGUCUAUAUUACCAAUUUUCCCAAUUAAUUAUUUCUAACGAAAAUAUAAUGUAAAUAUCAAUGAAUAUAUUUUGAAAGUUGAAAAUGAGGAAGAAAAUUUUUUUUACCAAAAAGAAUAAUAAGGGAGAAGUAUAGUGAAUGUUUCGAGUGGGGCCUAAAGCAAAUGCAUUAUUGCCUUGCGAAAAAAUCAUUAUCGCCAGAGACUAGAAAAAAACUCCUAUUUUCUUUUCUAAUUCAAAAUUAGAACCACAAGAUGACUGUCAUAGACUGUCGAUACUCUUUCAUUAUUUCUUCUUCCAAAGAACGUCGCUAAGCAAGUUGCAGAUCUGUUACAUGUAAGGUAAAUCACGUUCUUGUAUCAUUAUUUGUCUGUUUAACUUGCUCUGAAUCUGAAUUUAAAAACAAAAAUUCGUUGCAUUGUUACAAAUCUUGUUUUACGAAUUUAAAGCAUUUAAUCAUCAAUGCUUGAAUAAAAGUAAGUUAAGUAAAGUUCCUCUGACAGGUAUCAUGUUUUAUUAGAUCAACCAAGGAUUAUCAUAACCGGUUUUAAAUCUUACUAUACAAGUUUGUACUCAUAUGUUGACGGUGGAACAGGAGAAUAGCGAUGGCUGAGGGAAUUGUAUCGUUUGGAGUGCAGAGACUCUGGGAGCUCUUGGCUCGAGAAUCUGAGAGACUGCAGGGAGUUCAUGAGAAAGUUGAUGAUCUAAAAUGUCAGAUGAGAAUGUUACAGUCGUUGUUGAAAGAUGCAGAUGCCAAGAAACAUGGGAGUGAAGUAGUGAGAAACUUCUUGGAAGAUGUCAAAGACAUUGUUUUUGAUGCUGAAGAUAUAAUUGAAUCCUUUCUUUUGAAAGAAUUGAGUGGAAACCAAAAAGGGAUCAAGAGGCAUCUGAAAAGACUUUCUUGUUUCUUAGUGGAUCGCCGAAAUAUUUCUAUGGACAUUGAAGGCAUAACUAAGAGAAUGUCCAAGCUUGUCGAGCAAAUGCAGAGCUUUGGAAUACAACAGAUCGUCUACAGAUCACCGUCUCUACAAGAGAGACAGAGGGAAAUCCAACAAACAUAUCCUGAGAAAUCUCAAAAGGAUCUUGUGGCCGUGGAACAGAGUGUUAAGGAACUGGUUGGUCAGUUGGUGGAGAAUGAUCGCAUCCAAGUAGUUUCCAUAUCCGGGAUGGGUGGUAUUGGAAAAACCACUCUUGCGAGACAAGUCUUUCAUCAUGACAUUGUUCGAAGUCAUUUUGAUGGAUUCGCAUGGGUCUGCGUUUCUCAAUAUUUUAAGAAGAAGGAUAUUUGGCAAAAGUUAUUGCAAGAGCUUAGACCACAUGAUACGAGCAUCGCACAAAUGAGUGAGGGUACACUCCAUGCUGAGAUCUUUCACUUGUUGGAAAGAUCUAAAUACUUAAUUGUCAUGGAUGAUGUAUGGAAAAACGAAGACUGGGAUGUAAUAAAACAUGUUUUUCCCCAAGAAAGAGGUGAGCUCUCUAAUUGUACAUACAUUACUUAAGUACUCCCCAUAGCUAUUUCAUAAAUGCCUUUUGAAAUACAAUUGCAGGUUGGAAGAUGAUUCUUACUUCACGCGAUGAAGGUGUUGGUUUCCAUGCAGAUCCAACAUGUUUUCCCUUUAGACCAAAAAUCCUUACUCCUGAAGAAAGUUGGAUGCUAUGUGAGAGCAUAGCAUUCCCUAGAAGAGAGAUAACGGGUACGUCCAUUUGUCCAUGUUUAUAACCGAGUCCAUUAAAGACCCUUUUUGUGUGUGGACAAACAUUGAUCAUGUUAUUAAGAACCGAGUCCAUUAAAGACCAAACCUAUUAACAUCAGUGUUAACAUGACUUAUCCAUGGAAUCCAUUAGAGACCAUAUAAGUAAACCUACUACAAAAGACAAACCUACAAUAUAUAAGUUCUGAAUUUCAAAUCUAUUAAAGACCACAGCUUCAUAAGUAGGAUACAUAACAUAAAAAAUACUUGUAAAUUCACAUAUUGUAGUUUUAGUUUUAAUUUUAAUUUACGUAUUAAUGUUAACUAGAUUUUUGACAAAAAUUAUAACUUUAUACAUAUUUCAUAUGUUUUUAAGUUUUGUGCAUAAUUUAUAUUUAAUUUGUGUAUCUAAUUUAUUUUUAUGUUAGUAACUAACAUCUAAUAUAAGAUGAACUUAUAAUAUUUUAUUUUAAUGUACAUUAAUUUAUAAUCAUUUACAUUUUACAGAAUUACAUACAUUCAUAUAUAGAGUUUAUUAGUUUUUUUUUAUAAAAAUUAUAUGAAUACUAUUAUAUGAUAAUGAAAAUAUAAUUAUCUGUUUAUUUUUCCCAAGUUUUAAUUUAUGUUUCUAUAAUUUAACACUAAAACGAAGUAAUCACAUAUAUCAUAUUAGUUAAAAUUUGUUUAAUAUUCUUAUAAUACUUUAUGAUUUUAUAUGUAUGUUACAACAAAAAAAUGAUUUUAUAUGUUUACUCAACCAUCUCAUACUAAAUAACCUUUGUAUAUUGAUAAAAUAAUCCGUAAAAAUUACACAUAAAUAUAUGAACCAUAACCCAAUAUUUAUAUAAGUAGGUUUAGUGCUGGUUUUUAGAAUUAACGCAGAAUAUUCUUUAUAGAUUUCAAUCGUGUAAAAUUACGAAAUUUAGAAUAUUUUGAGGAUGCCAGAAUUAUCAAAAUUUAAAAUAUUAAGAUUGAUAUCAUUGAUGUCAAAAAUAUACCAUUUAGCUAGGUCUAAAUUUUUUAUAAGAAAUUGCAUUCAAAGUUUUUGUUUUCAAACGUAAAUAUCUAAGUUUUGAAAUAUUUAAGUCAUUUUCAUUUGAAUGAGUAAAUUUUGACCUACUAAGAUUUAUAAAUGUGAUUUUCUAGAUUGUAAGUUAUUUAGUAAAUAUUAAAAAUACAAAAAAUAUAUUCUCAAAACUGUUAAAGUUUUGUUAUGCUUCCAUAAUUUCAGCUUAUCAAAUAUCUAAUCUAUUAAAAGAAAAGUACCAUUUUUAUCUACUACAAAAUUGUCAUACUAGAAGUCUAGUUCCAUAUAUUUUAUUGUUUACUUAAUGUAUAACAUUUCUAAAUAAUUAUAAGGAUAUUAAUAACAAAUCUAUUUUAACUAUAAAUUUAAAUUUUAGUUUUAGGAAUAACAAAAUCUGUAGAGAAAAAAUCUAACAAAAUCUUUUUAAAAUUUUAAAUAUUAUUUUAAUUAAUGCACUGAUUAAUUUCGUAAUUAGUAGUAUAAUAUUAUUAUAAAUUAAUUUUAAUCAAAAUUUUAUUAUAAACAAAAUAAUGAAAUUAUAUGCUAAUUUUAUAAUUUUUAUUAGUAUAUUCUACAUUAUAUUAAAAUAGAAUUAAUUAAUGAAUUACAUAUUAACAUUAUGUUUUUGUACAAACAUAUUAAAAUUAUGUUGAAUUGGUAAACCAAUAUAUUUUGAAAAAUACUUUCAUUAGAUAAAUAAAUAAAAUGUCAUUCACGCUUAAAGUGACUAAAAUAUCAUUCACAUUUUAAAAUGAUUAAUAUUUAUAAAUUAUGUAAUAAUUUUUACAAAAAUUAAAAUUGUUAACAUAUGUUAAAUUUUAAUAUUUAGAACUAUAUAUCAUCUAUUAAGUUAUUUUUAAAAUGACAGCAAUAUAUUAUCAUAAAUGAUUAUAUACAAAAUAAUAUAAAAUUUUAUAUUUAUAAAUGAAAUGUUACCCACACGGGUGUGCGGGUUACAAUCUAGUUUGAAUUAUAGCAAAUAACUAUGUAUAUGAACAAUACCAAUAAAUUUGAAUGUUAUAAAUUAAAAUAGGUUUGCUAGUAGGCAAUUGAGAAUUUGAACAAAUUCCAUAUUUAUACUAAAAUCUUUUAUGUAGUUUGGAAAAUCAUAAUAAUACUAAAUAUAAUAGUCUUCUGAAUGAUUUAUCAAGUAUAUUCAAUAUUAUAUACUACAAAUAUGUAUAGUUUUACAUCAUGUAUUUUAUAAUUUUAGAAUAAUAUAAAUAUUCUUCUUUGUUAAGUUAGAUGAAUCAUGGGAGGAUGUUUAGCAAUUAAGUAGGAAACUAGAUUAAGAUCCACGCAAAUGAAUAUUAUAUAUAAAAAUAAAUUUUAUUUAUUAUUAUUUAUUUGUAUUCAUUUAUGUAUUAUGUACAUAAUUAAAUUAGAGUAAAUACAUAAAUCAAAACAUUACAUCUUGUUUAUUUACGAUAUUUUUUGGUAAAUAAAUCAAAACAAUUAUAUUCAUACGAUUUAUGAUCAUUUAUAUCUUGUUAUUACCAAAACAAGUUAAACCAUUAAUUACAAAAUUUUAGUGUAAGACAUUUAAUAUUUUUAGUAAUUUAUAGUCGUUUUAAAAAUUCAAAAUAUAACAUAUAAAAAACAUUUUAUUAUAUGGUUGAUGUGGUUGUUUAAUAUAUUUUAAUAAUAUAAAAUUAAACCAAAAAAAGCUAAGAUACAAAAAUUACUAUCAAAUAUUUAUAUUCAUAAUCAUUAAUUAUCAAUUUAAAAGUUAGUUUAAUAAAAAAUAUAAUAUAAAUUAAGAUGGACCGACCUAUUUCUCUAAGAAUUCUGAAUUUCAUUCUUAUGGUGACACGUGGCUACAAAACAAUGUUGUAAUGUUUCUCAAUUAAUAUAUAAGGGAUAUAGUUAAAAUAUUUCUUUUAAUAAAUUUAUUUUAAAAAAAAUAGCUAGUGGCAUGGUAUUGUAAUUAUCAUUGAAAACUAAAGGCAUAAUCUUAUUAGAAAUUCCGGUUUAAUAGUAUAAAUUUCAGUUUUAAGUUUAAUUUCCAUUAUUUUUAACUUGCCAAGGAACCCACGCGAUAACGCGUGGAAACUUAUUUUUAUAAAUAAAUAUAUGAUAUUAUAAUUUAUAUAUUGUAUAAAAAAUAAUUUUAUUAAAAGGAUUCCCAUGUCAAAACGUAGAACAUAUGUGUUUAUAUUUACUUAUUGAUAAUAUUAAAAAUGUAUAUUCUAUAAUUUUAAAUUACAACUAAAAUACAAAUAUAUCAAUCCUAAUAAAAUUAUACAUUUUUUUAUUAUUUUAGGUAAGUUACUCUAAAAUUUUAAAUUAUAUCAAUUUAUAAUAAAUAAAUAAAAUCUCUUUUUAAACAAAAAAAAUCUUUUCAAAUAAAAAAUGUAUCUUUUACGUUAGACGGUUGUGUUAUCAACGAAAAGUACGAACGACUCAUAACCUAAAAGGUACAAACACGUCUUAAACUAAGUGAUACAAACAUGAUGUGAUUCAAGAAGUAUGAACUUGGUCCAUGGGGUGGACGAAUGUACCUUGACCGAAGGUAUGAAUGUGUCAUUACCAAAAAGUGUAAAUGGUGUGAACGAAAUGGUGUAAAUUGAAAUUGAGAUCCAUAAGACAAAAAUUUUGGGCAUGGGUAAAAACAUGCAAAAUCUAAGAAAUAUUAAGAAAAUGAUAAACUCUAAUUUGGAUAGACUAUUUAUGUUGUCGAGAAAAGGUCAUACUCUUAUAUCAUCAGCACCAUGGUUGACCAUAAGACAAAAUAGUUUCCGGAUGGGUAAAAACAGGUAAAAUCUAAGAAAUAUUAAAAAAAAAGAUAUAUUAUAAUCUGGAUAGACUUUUUAUGUUGUCGAGAAAAGGUCAUACUCUAUAUCACCAGCACCAUGGUUGACCUUUAACAUUCUUUCAGUGAUGUCUCGUUCGCACUUUUUCAGUCACGAUCCAUUCUUACCUCUUCGGUCAUGAUUCAUUGACACUCCUUUGGAUACGACUCGUUUGCACCCUUUCAUUCACGAUCCAUUCACGUUCUUUCAGUUACGAUCCGUUCACACUCAUACGGUUAUGAUCCGUUUACUCCUUUUGGUCAUGACACGUUUGCACUUUUUUGUCACAACCCAUUUGCAAUCUUUCGGUCACGACCAUUUGCACCCUUUGGUCACAACCCGUUUGCAAUUUUUUGGCCACGAUUCAUUUGCAAUCUUUCGGUCACGACCAUUUGCAAUCUUUCAAACACGACCAUUUGCACCCUUUCGAUCAUAACCCAUUUGCACGUUUUCGGUCAUAACUCAUUUGCAUGCUUUCGGUCAUAACCCAUUUGUACCCUUUUUGUCAUGGUCAAGAUCCAUUCGCAUCCUUUCGGUCAUGAUUAAUUUCACAUCCUUUCGGUCAAGAACCGUUCGCACGCUUUCAUUUAUGACAGUUCAGAGAGUUUCGGUCACGGUCCUUUUGUACAUUUUCGGUCAUAAUACAUUCACACAUUUUCAGUCACAACACUUUCGCACCCCUUGGAUCAUGAUACAUUUGUAUCUCUUGGAUCAUAGCAUGUUCAUACCUCUUAGAUUAUGAUCCGUUCAUAUCUCUUAAAUUACAAAACAUUUAUACCUCUCUGUUGAUGACACUAUAUAAAUAUUUAUAAUUUUUAAUCAGUGUUAAUAUGAAAGUAAACUUAUAUGGAAUUGUUUUGCAUUUAUUAGUAUUGAGAUGAAAAUUUAUGUGUUUGUUUUUGGUUUUUACUUUACUCAUAUCUAUAUAUUAAUACUUCAUAAAUAUUAGUAUUUGUUUUAAAUAGACUUUUUAUGUUGGCCAAAAAAGAUCAUAUUAUUAUAUCACCAACAUCAUGGUUGACCUUUAGCAAUCUCUUGGUGAUGACUCGUUCGCACCAUUUAAGUCAAGACCCAUUCACACUCUUUCGGUAACAAAUCGUUCACACCCUUUUUUUGUCAUGACCCGUUUACACUUUUUCGGUCACAACCCAUUCGCAAUCUUUCGAUCACGACCAUUUGCACCCUUUGAUCACGACCUGUUUGCAAUUUUUCGGUCACAAUCCAUUUGUAACCUUUCGGUCACGAUCAUUUGCACCCUUUCGGUCAUAACCCAUUUGCACCAUUUUGGUCAUAGUCAAGAUCUGUUCUCACCCUUUCAGUCAAGAUUAAUUUCACAUCCUUUCGGUCUAGAUCCAUUCACACUUUUUCAUUUAUGAUCAUUGGCAGCCUUUCGGUUACGACCAUUUUGUAUAUUUUCGGUCAAAAAACAUUCACAUCCUUUCAGUUACAAAACGUUCAUACUCCUUGGAUCAUGAUAUGUUUGUACCUCUUGGAUCACAACACGUUAUACCUCUUAGAUUAUGAUGCGUUCAUAUCCUUAAAUCACAACACAUUUGUACCUCUUCGUUGAUGACACCACGUAAAUAUUUAUCAUUUUUUUAAUCAUUGUUAAUAUGAAAAUUGUGUCUCUUAAGUUUUUUUAUGAAAAGUUAUUUUUAUUAGUAAUGAAAUGAAAAUUUAUGUCUUUUUGUUUUUACUUUAUUCAUAUAUAUGAAUAGUCACAUCUUUCUAUAUAAAGGUGGUUAUUUUGAAAUGAUACUUAUAUGAAUAGUCACAACUUUUCAAUUUAAAUAGUCACAUCUUUUCAAAUUUAAAUGUAAUUAUUUUGAAAUUAUAGAAAUAUGAAUAGUCAAAACUUUUCAUUUAAAUAAUUACAUAUUUUACAAUUAAAUUCUGACUAAUGCACAACUCUUGAAACAAAUAACGAAAAGACACAACUUUAACAAGAAAUAAAAUUCCUAUAAAUAUACACAACUUUUCAACAUUGUUUGAGUUUUUCAUGUAAGACAUUUAAGAGAUGCAACUUUUAUGUAUAAAACUUAAGAGAUUCCAAUUUUCAUAUUAAUCAAUACACUGAUUUUUAGAAAUAAAACAAUUGCAAAUAUUUAUAAAAUAUUAAUAAACAGAUAUGAGAAAAAUAAAAACGAAAAAACAUAAUUUUCAUCUGAAUACUAAUAAAUACAACUUUUCAUAUAAAAAAUUAAGAGAUGCAACUUUCAUAUAGAUGAAUAGUCACAUUUUUUCCCAGUUUAAAGGUGGUUAUUUUGAAAUAAUACUUAUAUGAAUAGUCACAACUUUUCAAUUUAAAUAGUCACAUCUUUUCAAUUUAAAGGUAGUUAUUUUGAAAUGAUACAUAUAUGAAUAGUCACAAUUUUCAUGUAAAUAAUUAUAUCUUUUUAAUUUAAAUACUAACUAAUAUACAACUCUUGAAACGAAAUGACAUUUCUUAAUAUAUAAUGAAAAGACACAACUUUUAACAAGAAAUAAGAUUCAUAUAAAACACACAACUUUUCAACAUUGUUUGGGUUUGCUAUUAUUAAUUGUUUUUCUUCUUCACCAUUUUAUUUGAUUAGUGAAAAUUAUGCUUUGAGAAGACAUGGACAUUGGACUAUUUAUAGAUUUUUAAAAUUUUGUUUGAAGAGUCACAUCUUUUAAAUUAAAAGUUUGUGUCUUUUUGUAAUAAUACUUAUAUGAAGAGUCACAAAUUUUCAAUAUAAAUUGUCACACUCUUUCAAUAUAAAUAGUUAUUUUUAAAUAAAAAGACACAACUUUUAAUUGUUGAAAAGACACAUACUUUUAACAUAAGUGGAAUUCACAACCUUUUGAAUUAAUUGAGAUUGUUAUUAUUAGUAGAUUUUUAUAUAAACUAUAUAUAUAUAGAUAUUAUUUUUUAUUUGAACAUUUGAAAAGACUAGACAAAUUAAUUCUAGGCCAAUCUUACAAUGUGUUACUGUGUUUCAGAAUUUAAUGUUGAUGAAGAACUAGAAGCCAUGGGUAAGAAAAUGGUCACAUAUUGUGGAGGACUACCAUUAGCCGUUAAAGUGCUGGGAGGCUUGUUAGCUAAUAAAACCAUGGUUGAAGAGUGGAAAAGAGUAGAUGACAAUAUUCAAAGUCAGAUAGUUCGCAUAGAUGACAAAAGUCAAGAUUCUGUUUACCGAGUAUUGUCUAUGAGCUAUGAAGAUUUGCCAAUGCAGUUAAAGCAUUGUUUCCUCUACCUAGCUCAUUUUCCCGAAGAUGACAAGAUACAAGUGGAGAGAUUGUAUUAUUACUGGGAAGCAGAAGGAAUAAUAACGUCAAGUUGCGAUGGAGCAACCACUAGGAAAAUUGGAGAAGAAUACAUAGACGAGCUAGUAAGGAGAAAUAUGGUUAUUGGAGUAAAAGAGGAUUUGAGUUGCAAAUGGGAGUAUUGUCAAAUGCAUGACAUGAUGAGAGAAGUAUGUUUAUAUAAAGCCAAAGAAGAGAACUUUCUUCAGUUUAUCAAAGUCCCUACUACUUCCACCUCCACCAUCAAUGCUCAUACUCCUACCAGAUCUCGCAGACUCGUAGUACACGGUGGUGGUAAUGCAUUUGAUAUGCUGGGACGUAAAAACAAUCAAAAAGCUAGAUCUUUUUUGGGGUUUGGACUCGACAGCAACUUUUGGAAGCAGUCAGGUCAAGGAUUCCAAAAUUUACUGUUACUUAGGGUCUUAGAUUUGAGUUUAGAUUAUAAAAUAGACUCUAAAGGGUGGAGAAUACCUUCGAGCAUUGGAAAACUCAUUCAUUUGAGAUAUUUGAGCUUACAAAUGGGUUGGGCAACUCAUGUACCUUCUUCUUUACGGAAUCUAAAGCUUCUAAUCUAUUUGAGUAUUUACUCCCGGGAAAGAGUUCAUCUGCCAAGUAUCUUUAAAGAGAUGGUACAGUUGAGGUUCCUGCUGCUUCCCCCUUUUGUUGACGCUAAAACAAAGUUGGAAUUGGGUAAUCUAGUGAACCUGGAGUACUUGGGCUGGUUCCGAUCAGAAUACGGUAGCAUCACUGACUUCCUCCGAAUGAAAAAGCUCAGGACUCUCGAGAUAUUUCUCAAAGGCAGGUAUACUUCUGAAAUUCUAGCGUCAUCUCUCGGUGAAUUAACAAACCUGGAGGAGUUUAGAUUGAUCGAUGAGAACAACGAAUCCGAUGGGGCUUAUGAUUUGGAUUUCGUUUGUAAUUUCAUUAAGCUAAGGCAUUUAGUGAUAUGGAUGCAUAUGACAAGGCUUCCUGAUCACUCUCGAUUGCCUCCCAACCUUGCACACAUAUCUCUAACUAACUGUGAAAUGGAGGAGGAUCCACUGCAGAUUCUGGAAAAGUUGCUUCAUUUAAAGUCGGUUGAAUUAUCAAGUAAUGCUUUCGUGGGGAGGAAGAUGGUGUGUUCAAAAGGUGGAUUCCCUCAAUUAUCUAAGCUUGAAAUGUCGUACCUAGACGACUUGGAAGAGUGGAUAGUGGAAGAAGGGUCGAUGCCAUGUCUUCGUACCUUGUCUAUAUGGUAUUGUGAAAAGUUGAAGGAGCUACCGGAAGGGCUCAAGUAUAUCACUUCUUUAAAGGAACUGGAAAUCAUACAUAAGAAGAAGGAGUGGGAGACGAAACUCGUACCAGGUGGGGAAAGUUACCACAAAGUCCAACACAUUCCCAGUGUUCAAUUAGACUAUCGUGGCGACGAAUAAGGAGAAUACAACCGUCUCAGGUAUAUAUACUUUUGUUUGGUAUAAUGUCAAUAUUGUUCUCCAUGAAGUUUAGUGUGGAAGUCUCAACUAUCUAACCUUUUUAUUAUUCGGUUUUCAGGUGAACCUACUCAGAAUCAGUACCCACUUAUUGAUUCUGUGAUGUGAUAUAUGUCGUUUUUGUUGUAUUGGUGUGUGAAGUUUACAUAUCUUGUUUGUGAUAUAUUUCGUUUAUCUGUUUGCAUGCUCAUUCACUGUAAUGCUAAGUUUGGAAAUACAUUUGUAUAUCUUCUUCGAUUUCUCCGUUGUGUGUGCCUAGUUGACUUGUAUGGUCGGAAUUUGAGAUAGAACGGUGCUUUGAUAGUGAUCACUGAACAUCAUUCUUAACAUGAUUUUAUCAUUUGGUUUAAGGAAUGUCAAGAGCUUUUAAAUGAAACAUCUAGUUAAUCCGUUUUAACAGAUAUAGAACCUUGGAGUUUAUUGAAACCAAAGUCAAGAGUUUCUCACCACAAUGGGACUCUCCUCACAGUUGAUAUCAAUGGCGCAAUCAAAUCAUAUAUACAACACCUUAGAGGAUUCAAGAAAGUCUCUUGGUUCCAUUCCUUCGCGUCCUGGUUCGCUUUUUUCACUAUUCAAGUGAUCAGCACUUUUGAUUGAAAACUGAUACCACACAGCAUCCACUUGAAACUAAACAUAAAUAUACAACCAAACAGUUACGCAAUGAUAGCUCAACCAGACAGAACCGAACCGAAUCUUAGUUUUGCUUUCCAAAUUUUAAAUAACGGGAUAAACCGGUUGAUUCUCAUCCAGUUCUGUAAUUUGUCUGACACUACUCAAGUGAUCAGCACUUUUGAUUGAAAACUAAUAACACACAGCACCCACUUGAAAGUUGAAACUAAACGCAACUCAAUGAUAAACCGGGAUAAACCGGUUAGUUCUCAUCGAGUUCUGUAAUUUGUCUUUUACUAUCAAACCGGACAAAUUGAUGGUUUAAAAACAAAACUCAGUCUGGAUUAUAAUAAAAUCAGAUCAUGAAACUCUACCAAACAAGAGUCCUUUCGGUCUCUGCAAAUUUGUUUUCGACUCUAAUUGAGAGGAGGAGAAGUCCAGUACUUGAAACGAAUCCAAAAACGCGGUGAUCCGUGCGUUUUCAGACACCAUCGCGACCGUAUGCAUAACUGGGUUAGAGCUUCCUCAUCCGAUUUCACCGGAACUCCUCCACAGCCCAGGAGGUAAAUUAAUUACUUCUUCUCCAUUCAAUUUCCGAUUUUAAUUUCAGCUGAUGAUUUUUAUUCUUCAUCAGUGGACAUACAGCUGUCAAUGUCGGAAAAUCCAUGGUCGUGGUGUUCGGCGGCCUCGUCGACAAGAAGUUCCUCAACGACAUCAUUGUUUAUGACAUUGGUAAUAUUAUACUUCAGCCUAUGAUUAUUGAUUCCUUGAUCCAAAGAAAUGCUUUUUUUUUUUAAUUUCUCUUGAGUUACUGUCUUGGCUUGCUUUGUUUAUAAUGAAAGACUAGUGUUUCUGGUAGUUUAUUUGUCUGUUAAGCUUAGUUAGGCUGAUGCUUCCAUCAAAGAUAGUUACUUUGGAAAAAUUAUAGAAAACUGAAAACUUCACAAUGAAAUUAUUCGAUUCGGUGUUAGUUUUGUUGCUUAGCAUCUUUUGUCCCCUCCUUGGCAUUGUUUUAAUUAUCAUAUGGUCAGCUUUUUUAAUCAUGUGAGAAUCGGUUUGUCUUAUGAUUCGGUCGACUAGAGAACAAACUCUGGUUUGAGCCAGAAUGUACCGGCAGCGUGUCUGAAGGAAAAGUUGGUCCUACACCUCGCGCGUUUCAUAUUGCCAUCACUAUUGAUUGUCAUAUGUUCAUCUUUGGUGGACGUUCUGGUGGCAAGAGGUACUCACUACUAUUUAUUUUCUAGUUAUAAGCGUUUUUGCAUUCUUUUUUCAGUAACUUCUAUAAAUCAAUUUCAGGUUGGGUGACUUCUGGGUUCUAGAUACAGGUAAGUGUACAAUCAUAACAAUGUCACUGAGACCUGCCUGGAACUUUUUAAUACCCUGCUGCUGACAUUUUCUGCAGAUAUAUGGCAGUGGUCUGAGCUAACCAGCUUUGGCGACUUACCUACGCCUCGUGAUUUUUCUGCCGCCGCUGCUAUUGGGAACCAGAAAAUUGUGUUGUGAGUAUUCAGAAAUUUUAGACGUUCAUCAGCUUGUUGCAUGCAUUGGCGUAACCUAUGAUCAUUGGCAGGUGUGGCGGCUGGGAUGGUAAAAAAUGGCUGUCAGAUGUGUAUGUUAUGGACACAAGUAUAUCUCGCCUCUACUUCAGUUUUGUAAUAAAACUGUUUUUAAGUUUAUGAUAAUGUCAGCUUUCUUGGUGUCUGUUAGUGUCUCUUGAAUGGAUGGAGCUGUCGGUUUCGGGGUCGUUGCCGCCUCCUAGAUGUGGCCAUACAGCCACCAUGGUUGAGAAACGUUUACUUGUUUUUGGUGGCCGAGGUAUAACACCAGAACCAGAAUCUUUGUUCUGCUUGAGCUGAUGACAACUAAACUGAGACUAUGGUUAUCUUUGACAGGAGGUGGUGGCCCUAUCAUGGGUGAUCUGUGGGCUUUGAAGGGUCUAAUAGAUGAAGGUUCAUCCUUACCUAAAUUACUUAAAAAUUGCAUUGAAUUAUGUAGAGGAGUAUUCUCUUGAGUUGUCUUUCUUUCUUUUGUUCUGUUUGCUGAUCUUAUUGUGGGGUUUACCUUUGCUGUGGAAGAAAGAACGUGAAACACCUGGAUGGACCCAACUAAAGCUUCCUGGCCAAGCACCAUCAGCUCGAUGUGGUCACACUGUCACAUCCGGAGGACAUUAUGUAUGUCUUUUUCAGCUUCCGUUUGCUCUUUUGUAUAAAUAGGUUCGCAUGACAUACAUCACUCACAUCAUUAAUGUUCAUGUAUGAAGCUUCUGUUAUUUGGGGGACAUGGAACUGGUGGAUGGCUGAGUCGUUAUGAUGUAUAUUAUAAUGACACUAUAAUUUUAGACAGAGGUAAAUUCUUGCUUAUGAGAUUCGUCUCCUCUGCUAAAGGAGCACUCUAAAUCCAAAAAUCCACCUCAGUAAUUUACAAUCUAGUGAGAUGAUAAAAUUGUGAUGUGCUUUAUCAUUUUUCUUGCUGAGCAUUGUUUUCUACGCGUUGUUGCUAAAUUUAUAUUUUCACAUACUAGUAACUGCACAGUGGAAGCGCUUACCAAUAAGCAAUGAUGAACCUCCUCCUCCUCGAGCUUAUCACACCAUGACAAGUAUUGGAGCUCGUCAUCUUUUAAUUGGUGGUUUUGAUGGAAAAUCAACCUUCGGUGAUCUUUGGUGGUUGGUUCCUGAAGGUAUCUUUCUCUUAUUUAUACUGAUGUUUUAGUCCAACUUAGCUAUCAUUCUGUGUACACGCAUCAUCAGUUACUUAUAGUUGGAAACUCUUUAGACGAACUAAUCUUGGUGUUGGUCGCAGAUUGUAGGCAAUUUUAGAGACACUUAAUUUCUAGCAUAAUCUUUUUUUUCUUCUUUAUCAAGUUUGUAUUGAAAGUUUUGAAGUUUUACUGAACUGUUUAGCCUUCUGAAAAUGUUGUUAUUCGUUUUUUUCUUUUUCUCUUUUCUCAGAUGAUCCGAUAGCCAAGAGGUCUUCUGUACCUCAACUUAGAAACCCUCCUGAGACUAAAGAGUCAGAGAGAGAUUUGGAUACGGUAACUGUGGUUCCUGCUCAUCAUCUUAUGUGUUUCUCGCCAAUGCAGUUAAAUUAGCUUUUCAACUUGUUUUAACACCAAGAGUUUGGUCACAGCAGGAAAGAGGACAAGAGGGAUUCACUAUCGUCGACUUGCAAAAGAAAAUGGGAAUCUCUGUUUCUUCAGGGUUACGCCUUCAAAUACCCGAGGAGUUAGAAGAUCAAGAGUUCGUUGAGUUAGGAACCAGAUUGAUUGAGGGAGAUGCAGUUGAUAAUGGAGCCUCCAUGAUUCAGGUGAGUUUUUCCUCUUGUCUAUUUUAGAAUGUGUGAUUGUGUUAUUCUUGUACUGAAAAUGCUUCUCAAUGAAAAGAUGGCAGCUGAAGCACUUCGUCAACAUUGGAAAGAGUCCACUCCAGAGACUUUGCAAUUAAAGGAGCUUGGUUCCUUGCUUCGAGAUUAUCAGCGACUGGUUACCCGAAAAUACACGUGAGUUCUUAUCCAUGCCUAACUAUUUCAGACUCAGUUCUUGUUUAUGUAGAUUAUCUUUUGUUUCACUAAAAAUGGUUGUUCUUUGAUUGCGCUUGGAAUCACCACAUGGCAUUAGAAUAACUUAGAUAAAUCUCCUGAGAGUUUAGGAGUCAUAUAGAGUUAAUAUGAAUAUAUCAUUUUUGUGUCUUGAAUAGCCCUCGAGACUCUUUAAUCCGAGCAUAUUGUCAAAACUGAUAAUGUUGUGAAUGCAUUGUUUUGUGCCCCUACUAUUACAUGUUAUGAAAUCUCACAUCUGCGUCUUCCUUUCCUUGACACAUGUUUCUUUUCAUUUGUUGUGGCGGGUUUCUAUCAGAGCACAGAGCAGCUUAACAUCUGCUGAUUUUGGAAAGAAGACCUUUACGUUUUAUCAUAUCAAAAAUUCUUCCGAGGUAUUACUCUGCAUACUUUCCUCCCUCGCCUGAAUAUUUGACACCAAUCAAUCAAAACAUCAGGCUUUCCUCCUGACAUGUCAAGUUUACAUUUUGCUAUUCUCAGUUGCGGAUGGAUGACAUUCCGGAGUUGCUGGAAGAAUACAAAACCCUUGUAAUCUGAUUGAGGAGCUCUGCCAUGAAACUCACAAGGAGAAUACAAAACUCAUCAAGUAGCUGCCAAGAAGAUCACUGAUAUUACGUGUAUACGCACACCAAGUAACCUAAUGUGCACACUACCACAAUCGAAUGGUAUGUCGAUGUAUCACUUUAGGAUCGAAUCCACAGAGACCAACUAUUACACUUUAUCUUUAUGGGAUCAAUAUCAAGCUAAAACAAUAUGGGGGUUUUAAAGUUGAUUUCGUAACAAGCAAGUAAAAAGAUUAAUUAAAGAUUUCAGAUGAUUAAAAUGCUAGCCUAGGGUGGUUUGGUCGGGUGUUAAGCAAGUGUGAGCCAAACAAUUAUUCAAGUUCAAUUAAGAGCAAGUCUAGAACUCGGAUCACUCAAAUAGAACAAUCCACUGUCGUGGUACUGCCCCCUAUGCUGAUCGAUCUUGAUACCUAAACUCUCGUUUGGAUCAAGAUGCGACAGCAAGCAAUAGAGAUCAAGUCCGAUAUGUUCACAAAACACCCUAAUAUCUACUUUCGCUGAUUAGGGAUGCAAUGCUCAUUCAAGUUAUGUCUAGCAACCUAUAACACUUUUGAUGAAUAGAUUAAACCUAGAAUCAGGCACUAAGUGGUUAACUUGAUGCAAGCCUUAAGAACAACAGUGAAUGAAGACAAUCGAUUUAUAACUUAUUUAUGUCAAGCUCACGGAUCUAACACCCUAACACCCUAGACUAAGCAAGUUGACUACUCAGCCAUGAACAGAGAAAACAUAGAGAUCAAUUCUGAAUAAGACUUCAUGUAAAUAAAAGAGAUAGAAAGAGGGUUCAGGAUAAUCUUCUCUAUGGUGAGAGAGAUGGAGCCUUCUCCCUUUACAAUCCAAAAGCACAAAAGUCUCCAAUGGUUUUCUUCUGUCUAGAAUAGCGUAGAAUGAUAAAGAGAAACAGAAAAUAUGAUAUAUCAAAGCCACAGGCGGCUGGGAGAGAAAAUAGGGAUAAUUAGGGCAAAUCCCGUAAUGAUUGUAGUUUCCUUAAAAAUCUCUGCCGCUGGAACACUCAUUCGGAACAAUCACUCGGGUUGCUCCGCUAUCCGGAACAGUCAUCAAGACUGUUCUGCGUGAAAACCACCAAAUUGCACUGUUUGCUGCCUCUUUUGUUCCAGCUGGUCCAUCUCCCAUCCAAUGCAACUCCAGACCUGUAAUGACUCGAAAAGGACUAGAAAGACUCGAUAAAGACUUGAAAACCAAUUGAAAAGCAUAUAUACAAGAUGUAUAAAACACCAUAUAUCAAUUCCCCCAGACUUAGAUCCUUGUUUGUCCUCAAACAAUGUCAAGUAUCAAGAACAGGGAGAAAGGUUUGAAAGUGUGGGAACUCUCAUAUUCUCAGCAACCAUACUUUAACCACGAAUCUCUGAACCAUACAAGCAGUAAAACUAGGACAACACACCCUUACCGGAACCCCACUGACUGCUGUUCAAAAAUCGGCUCCAUACUCUUCAUCUCAAACCUGAAAAAGCAACACUAUCGAGACAGAACUCCCUACAUUCAUUUAAGAGUAGCGUGAGCUUCUCAUCACAGGCAUCAUUCAGGGUAGACGGUCUAGGUGUGGAACAGGCUAUUUAAUGGUGGAGUUAAGAGUGUUUAGGGGCUACCAUUUCAUUGAAGAGGAUGCAUGAUAUCACACAAAAUGGCAAGAGAGGAUAGAUCCAUUGAUGUCCACAGCCUCUACUCGUUUUUGCUCUAUCUGGUGCGACUGUUCUGAUGACGGAACAGGCAACUGAUUGUUCUGCUUUCCACUUUCCUCUACACACUCUUCAAUACUUGGUACCAACUUCUUGCUCGACCUUUCCAGUGGCUCUAUGUUUCUUUUCUUUCUUUCCCUUCUCCAUCACAUUGUUCUCGUUUUUUUUUUUUUUUUUGAAUACUGAUAUGGUGAUGUGACGAAGAAGGAGGUAAUACAUGAUCGUUCUGAGUGCCACUGGUGGUUCUGAUUUCGCGACCAUUCUGGUUCUCCACCCCUGCUCUUGCGCAGUUCAUUGGUUAUGGAGCGGUUGCUCCCUUAAUCUGCUUGUUCUCCUUUCUGACAAAAUUUCUGCAGCAGUAACGAGUAGGAGGCUGCGUUGAUCCUUUCCUCUCCGACCUUUUUGCACAUAUCUGCACAUAUGACACUGAAAAACAAAUGCAUGAAGGUAGAAUAAAGGCUAAGGUGCAGGGUGGGAACUAGCUAAAGAUGAGCUAGCCACUCAGGAUCAGCAAGAUGGAUAAAAAGGAUAAGAAGUCCUGAGUGUGUUCUCGUUUUCCUGAUCUAAUGCCCAUAACAAGAAGAAUUUUAGUCAAGAUUAGGUUCAAGUAAGGUGGAGUUAUGUCUACCCAGUGUAACCUGAUCGGCUGAGAACUUCUGGAGAAUCAAGUGAGAUAUGUCAGGGUGUUCAAGGUUCACAUGUGUGUCUUUCGCCACUGCUAAGGUCACUAAAUAAGAUAACUAAAGCACGAGGUGGUCAGUGAUCAACACAGAAUAAGGUCUUAAUUCCCACAAAGUUUUGACUGACUUAAUCAUAAAAACUGACUCAAACUGACUUAAAAGAAAAACAAAAGAAAGAAACAAGUUAGUAAACGACGAAAACCCUCCCCCAGACUUACUUCACAACGUCCCUGGUGUGAAAAUAAAUCAGAGAGAAGGACAAAACAAGAAUAAAUAUUUUUUUGUUUGGGUCGAGAUACUUACCUGAGUGGAGCAGGCGCUCCAUGAAAAUUCUGGGUGUUCUAUCGUCAGAUGAUCGCCUGGAACAACCGCUCUUUUCAGGGGAUAGGUUGUUCCGUUUCUGCAACCCAGAAUUUUUGAAGUAUCUCGAAUUUUUUUUGCUUUUUGACCUGAAACUUAAUAAACUAAAACGAAAAUUGAGUAAACAAAAACAAAACCAAGUUAUAUUUACACUUACCAGUGGGUUGCCUCCCACCAGCGCUUGGUUUAAGUCUCUAGCUUGACUUGGUGACUGGGAUCAGUCGGGUUGAGCAGGAGGGCCUGUUCCAAAACAAGCUCCACAAUCAGACAUGUUCAGCUUCAAAACCCUGCUCAACAACCCUUUCACAGCAGCUUCCCCUUUCUCUUUCAGCUCAUGUGUGAGAAUAGCUCUGCUUUAGAGAACGGUUUAGAGGUACCCUUGCACUUUACCUCAUACUCAAUGGAGUUCUCAUCACACUUGAGAGGUAUCAAAGUCACUGUAGGAUCUCCUUGACCCUUUUCUUCUGGACUUUCUGUUUCACCCUUGAAUUCCCUCUGAAUUUAGUAGGAUCAGUGCUAGGAUCUUCAUCAAAGAACAGUCUGCUCUCACCCUUAUCACCAUGCUCCUUCUCUGGAACAACCUUCAGCUUUUCUACAUCAAACACUGAGAUGCGAGAGGCGUGUGAUGAGGAAGAUCUGGUGGGUACAGCCUUGUAGAAUACUUUCUUGUUGAUGUUGGAGAAGCAGACUCUCUUGUUGGGCAUAUCGAUGGUUGCUCCAACAGUAGCCAUGAAUGUCCUUCCAAAUAUCAAAGGCAUCUCAUGAUCUUUGUUCAUCUCAACAACCUGAAACUCAGCAGGAACAAUGCAUUCCCCUACUUGAACAUGAAGGCUGCGGAUGGUUCCAUAUGGGACUGCUCUGGAAGAGUUUGCAAAGGUCAGGGUCAACUGAGAACGCUCAACAUCAGCAAUACCCAAAUCGUCUACAAUAGCCUUUGAGAUGAGAUUCACACAAGAACCAGAGUCACAAAGAGCGUCCUUGAAGGUUGUUCCUGCGAUGGAACAUGGGAAAACAAACUUUCCAGGAUCAUGAACCUUAGGCAAUACCUUCAGUGCUGGCGUAGACAGUGCUCUGGUAUAGAGGACCUUGAUCUCCUCUUGAGUCUCUCUACAGUGUUUAAAGAACUGGAGCAAUGGACGAAUCUGCAGAGCAUCUUCGAAUGCAAGUUCUUUAGGAAGCCUUCUCACCAUCUUGUUAAAACCUAUCAGCUGCUCUUCACUAAUGGGAUCCAUCAGAUGUCUAGGUGGAAUUGGAUAGGGAACCUUGGGAACAUAGACUCGCACUGGUGGAGUUUCAGCAGGUUCGCUAGGAGCAAUCACUCCAGAGCUAGCAGACUGCUCUGUGUUCUCUUCUGCGCCUAGAACAGUCUCAGCGAACGGCUGCUCUAUUGCAUUACAGUGCUCAGUCCUAGGAUUUUUAUCAGUUCUUCCAGGGAGCGUCUCUUGUUGCCUCUUGACACUCUCAACUGUUUGAGCAAGCUGAACAUCGAUCUUUCUUAUAUGGAUUGCAAGAUUGUCAUACUUGUUAUUCAGUUCAGUGAACAUGUUGCCCAUCCUGGUGUCUAUUUCCGUGGUUACCUGAUUCAACACCUUGGCCUGAACCUGCUGACCCUGCAACAGUUGUUGCAUCAUCAUACCCAGACCCUUCAGCUCAUCUGGUUGACUGUUCUCGGUAGCUGGAACAACAUGCGGAUUGCUCUGCGGUUGUCGUUGGUUCAGGUUCUGAAUAUGCCCGGCCGUAGGUUGCUCCAUGCUGAAAACGUGUCCUUGGUUGUUUUUCAGUAACUGAUCAACCUUGGCAGUCAGCUCAUCUAUUUUCUGGGCGUCAGAACUGUUCCCUUUCAUGGAGCGAUCACUCUCCUCUUUCUUAUUAGCUGAGCUAGCAGCCAUGUUCUCAAUCAGCUUAAACGCUCCAGCAGUGGUUUGAGUCAUGAAGUCUCCAUUGCUCGCAGAGUUUAGAGCACCUUGGUAUUUCCAGUCCACUCCAUCAUAGAAAAUAUCCAGGAUAUAAUCAUCAUCAAAUCCAUGGUGAGGACAUUCUCUGCGAUAGUCAUUGAAGCGCUCCCAUGCGUCGCAGAAAAGCUCAUCAGUGAGCUGUCUGAAGGAGGUGAUCUUGUUCCUCAAUGCAGCUGUUCUCGCCUUAGAGUAGAAAUGGCUGAGGAACGCUGAUCGGACCUGUUCCCAUGAAGUGAGAGAGCCGGUAGGGAGAGAGUUCAACCACCGUGCAGCUUUUCCAUCAAGAGAGAAUGGGAAUAACAUGCACGUGAUGUAGUCUGGUGGAACACCAUUCACGCGAGUGAAACUGCAGACUUUUUCGAAGCUCUCAAUAUGCUCCAUUGGAAUUUCUGUAGAGAGACCAGAGAACACCUUUCUCUGUACUAGACCGAUCAAAGCAGGCUUGAUCUCAAAGUCCUGCCUAGUACAAGGUGGAGGAACAAUGGCAGAGCGCGUAGUAGGGAUGUUACGCGGGAGGUUUCUCUGCCCGAUUGGAACAGUCUGCGCCUGUUGUUCCUGCUGCGCGAGAGCAGCCUGUUCAGCAGCAUCCUGCUGAGCUUGGAUGGUCUGCUGCAUUUGUUGCAUCUGCUGCUGCAUGAGUGCCAUAGCCGCAGCGAGAUCAUCUUGAUUGGCGUGAUCACCCAUAGUGGUGUCGGUUUGCCUUGGCUGUUGACGAUUUGUUCUUUCUAACCUUGCUAGCUCCUGGUUGGUAAAUGUAACUAACUCUCCUUGUGCGUUUCUUCGAGUAUGUCUACUGGUCAUGCACCUGGAACAUUAGCUGCAACAAAAAGGAUAAGGCAAGUUAGAGGUCUUAGACUAAAUAAAUAACCGAAAAAUAAAGGUAAAAAGAUGGUCCCCGGCAACGGCGCCAAAUUGAUAUUACGUGUAUACGCACACCAAGUAACCUAAUGUGCACACUACCACAAUCGAAUGGUAUGUCGAUGUAUCACUUUAGGAUCGAAUCCACAGAGACCAACUAUUACACUUUAUCUUUAUGGGAUCAAUAUCAAGCUAAAACAAUAUGGGGGUUUUAAAGUUGAUUUCGUAACAAGCAAGUAAAAAGAUUAAUUAAAGAUUUCAGAUGAUUAAAAUGCUAGCCUAGGGUGGUUUGGUCGGGUGUUAAGCAAGUGUGAGCCAAACAAUUAUUCAAGUUCAAUUAAGAGCAAGUCUAGAACUCGGAUCACUCAAAUAGAACAAUCCACUGUCGUGGUACUGCCCCCUAUGCUAAUCGAUCUUGAUACCUAAACUCUCGUUUGGAUCAAGAUGCGACAGCAAGCAAUAGAGAUCAAGUCCGAUAUGUUCACAAAACACCCUAAUAUCUACUUUCGCUGAUUAGGGAUGCAAUGCUCAUUCAAGUUAUGUCUAGCAACCUAUAACACUUUUGAUGAAUAGAUUAAACCUAGAAUCAGGCACUAAGUGGUUAACUUGAUGCAAGCCUUAAGAACAACAGUGAAUGAAGACAAUCGAUUUAUAACUUAUUUAUGUCAAGCUCACGGAUCUAACACCCUAACACCCUAGACUAAGCAAGUUGACUACUCAGCCAUGAACAGAGAAAACACAAAGAUCAAUUCUGAAUAAGACUUCAUGUAAAUAAAAGAGAUAGAAAGAGGGUUCAGGAUAAUCUUCUCUAUGGUGAGAGAGAUGGAGCCUUCUCCCUUUACAAUCCAAAAGCACAAAAGUCUCCAAUGGUUUUCUUCUGUCUAGAAUAGCGUAGAAUGAUAAAGAGAAACAGAAAAUAUGAUAUAUCAAAGCCACAGGCGGCUGGGAGAGAAAAUAGGGAUAAUUAGGGCAAAUCCCGUAAUGAUUGUAGUUUCCUUAAAAAUCUCUGCCGCUGGAACACUCAUUCGGAACAAUCACUCGGGUUGCUCCGCUAUCCGGAACAGUCAUCAAGACUGUUCUGCGUGAAAACCACCAAAUUGCACUGUUUGCUGCCUCUUUUGUUCCAGCUGGUCCAUCUCCCAUCCAAUGCAACUCCAGACCUGUAAUGACUCGAAAAGGACUAGAAAGACUCGAUAAAGACUUGAAAACCAAUUGAAAAGCACAUAUACAAGAUGUAUAAAACACCAUAUAUCAAUCACCAAGAUUGCUAUCAGCAUUACCAUUGCAAACCACAAAGCUAAAAAGUCUCAAGAGAAUCACAUCUCUGAUAGACAACUAUGUGCAACUUCUUUUUAGCAAGAACAAAAAGAUACAACGUAUAUGUAAGACUUCCAUUAUCUCAACUUAAAUCCAUAUCUAAGCCUCUGCUCUUUUAUUUCUUGUUUGGGCUUUGAAAAUAGAUUGCUUUGCCUUGAAGCCAAUGCGAAAGUAAGGAAAAAAGUAGGCAAACUUCAUCUAUUAGACUUUGAAAUGGAUUACAACAACAACGGUACUCUUGAUAACUUAAACCACAGAGUUUCUGUCUGCAUAGACCCGUAUUGUCUUUUCUCUAUCCCCUAAAACAACUCGAACUCAAGAUGAUCUCCCAUGGCUUUACAUUCAAGAUAUCCAUUACCAUUUCCUUUAGGAGAAGUUGCUUCCGUUGCACCAUUCUCAUAUACAUCAGGCAGAUCAGGCGGAAUGGCGCAGCGGAUGAGAGCCCAGUUCAAUCCUUCAAAGAAUGGAUGCCUCUUGAUCUCUGCAGCUCCUUUCUCCCACCCGAGGCGGCUCCCCGGAUCCUUCAUCACCAACCUUCUGAUCAAAUUCUUUGCCUGGAAGCUCACAAGAGGGCUAUCAGGAAACUUGAGGUUCUGAAACACAAACGUCUCCUCAUUGUCAUAACCUUUGAACGGUGUCUUCCCGUAUAAAAGCUCAUAGAGAAGAACCCCAAACGUCCACCAGUCUACUGCAGCACCGUGACCUUCUCCUUAAUGAUCUCCGGCGCCAAGUACUCGUGCGUUCCUACAAAAGAGUUUGAUCUUGCUUCAGUUGGUUCAGCCACAAGCUGAGGCAAUGAUCUGAACUGUUGGGUCAGAAGAUCAGGCCUUCUCUGUUUUCUUGGUUUUGAGUUUCUAGCUUGCGUUGACAAGAGCCUAGGGCUGAAACAUGGGACACGGCACGAUGGACUCUAUCUAAAUCACAGGUUCUUCAUCUUCUUUGGAAGCUGAGGAGCUUGAUACAAUAAUUGAAGACGAAGACAAACAGCAGUAUCCAGGCGAUGUGCACCGCAGCUACAGCUGGUAAGAAGUCAUGUUCGAACCCGGAUCCAUCUUUGAGCAACUGUUUUAGUUCCGUGUCUAGGAGACCAGUGUUCUGCACUAUCGAAUCUUGGUCUCCUACUUGAGAUGUGAUGCUUCCAUACAAUGUCCAGCCACUGGCGUUGCCUAGUAAUUAAUAUCAUCUCCACCAUAUCAAUAUUUGCUGCAUCCCCUCCUCCAUAAGAAACAUAAAACAUAAAAGUUAGGUAGCUCUAAAACACUUCUGAUCAUAACAAAAAGUAAGAUCUAUAACACACUUGAUGAUUACGUAAGUUGGUUCGUAAUUUUUACCAAUCUUUGGGAUGAGGAACUGGAGAAAAGAUUCCAAAUAGACCGAGGAAGAAAGACAUGCAGAUUCCGGAGAUUUGAUAGUUUGGUGUCAAGGCCACAAAGCAUCAAGCUUGGUAACAUGUCGUAGUAGUAGAAGUAGAACCAGAAGAACUUGACCACAGUACGGUCGUAUCCUAUCAUUGAGUAAAGGAUUAUAGUAUGUAAACUCUAGUUUGUAUGGUGUCAUACUACAUGAUCUAACAACUUUGUCUAUAUUAUCAAUUUUCCUAAUUAAUUAUUUCUAACAAAAAUAUAAUUUUUAAAUAUUAACGAAUAUAUUUUGGAAGUUGAAAAUAAGGUAGAAAUUUUGUACAAAAGGGAAGGAAGGAUAUGGGGGAAUUAUUUGCCUGCGAAAAGUCAUUAUCCCUUACAGACUAGAAAAGUCGCAUAUUUUCUUUUUAUUCAAAAUCAGAACCACAGAUGGCAGCCAAUAUAGACUGUUGAUAAGAUUGACUUGGAGUCAACUCUUUCAUUGCCAUUCAUAUCUCUUCUUCCAAAGAACGUCUCUAAGCAAGUUGAAGAGCUGUUACAUGAAAGGUAAAUCAUGUUCUUGUAUCAUUAUUUGUCUGUUUAACUUGCUUUGAUCUGUCUUUUGGACUCUGUUGUGGUUGAAUCUGAAUUUAAAAACGAAAAUUCGUUGGAUUAUUACAAAUCUUGUUUUACGAAUUUAAACCAUUUAAUCAUCAAAUCUUGUUAUAAAUUGUUUGAAUAAAAGUAAGUUAAGUAAAGUUCCUCUGACAUGUAUCAUGUUUUAUUAGAUCAACCAAGGAUUAUCAUAAACGGUUUUAAAUCGUACUACAAGUUUGUACUUAUGUGUUGUGUUGAUGGUGGAACAGGAGAAUAGUGAUGGCUGAGGGAGUUGUGUCGUUUGGAGUGGAGAAACUCUGGGAUCUCCUCAGUCGAGAAUCAGAGAGACUGCAGGGAGUUCAUGAGAAAGUUGAUGAUCUAAAAUGUCAGAUGAGAAUGUUACAGUCGUUGUUGAAAGAUGCAGAUGCCAAGAAAUAUGAGAGUGUGGUGAGAAACUUCUUGGAAGAUGUCAAAGACACUGUUUUUGAUGCUGAAGACAUAAUUGAAUCCUUUCUUUUGAAAGAAUUGAGUAGAAACCAAAAAGGGAUCAAGGGGCGUGUGAAAAGACUUGCUUGUUUCUUAGUGGAUCGCCGAGGUCUUUCUAUGGACAUUGAAGGCAUAACUAAGAGAAUGGCCAAGGUUGUUGGGCAAAUGCAAAGCUUUGGAAUACAACAGAUCAUCUACAGAUCACCGUCUCUACAAGAGAGACAGAGGGAGAUCCAACAAACAUAUCCUAUGGGAUCUCAAAAGGAUCUUGUGGGGGUGGAACAGAGUGUUAAAGAAUUGGUUGGUCAUUUGGUGGAGAAUGAUAACAUCCAAGUAGUUUCCAUAUCUGGGAUGGGUGGUAUUGGAAAAACCACUCUUGCCAGACAAGUCUUACAUCAUGACAUUGUUCAAAGUCAUUUUGAUGGAUUCGCAUGGAUCUGCGUUUCGCAAGAUUGUAAGCGGAUGGAUAUUUGGCAAAAGUUAUUGCAAGACCUUAGACCUCAAGAUAAGGGCAUCGAACAAAUGAAUGAGCCUACACUCCAGGCUAAGAUCUUUCACUUGUUGGAAACAUCUAAAUAUUUAAUUGUCAUGGAUGAUGUAUGGAAAAAAGAAGACUGGGAUAUAAUAAAAGGCGUUUUCCCCCAAGAAAGAGGUGAGCUCUCUAAUUGUACAUACAUUACUUACGAACUCUCCAUAGCUAUUUCAUAAAUGCCUUUUCAGUCUCUGAGAUGAAAGGAAAUACAAUUGCAGGUUGGAAAAUGAUUCUUACUUCACGUGAUGAAAGUGUUGGUUUCCAUGCAGACCGAACAUGUUUUCCCUUUAGACCAAAAACUCUUACUCCUGAAGAAAGUUGGAAGCUAUGUGAAAGCAUAGCAUUCCCUAGACGAGAUAUAACCGGUACGUUUUUAUAUAAGAAUCAUAUGAAUCCUUAAGGCCAGAAAGCUUGAUAUCUCUUACGGACCUUCUAAUCAAAAUUCUUGUGUUGUAAUUCCUAAAUCAUCCUCUGGGAUUACAUAUAUGGUUCCAAUGUUUAAAAAAUCGAUUUAUUCUAACAUUAUCUCUUAAUUUAAUUUAUUUAGAUUAAUUUAUAAUGAUUUAAACCGAUUUGAAUUGUAUAAAUUGGUAUAAAUCAGAUUUUAAGAAAAUCGUUUCGAUGGGACAAAGUUAGCCUAUGUGCCGCCUAGACCAAUUUUUAGAACAUUGUAUGGUUGUAUAUACCUUUGAGAAACAUUAUAGCAUUUCAUUUAUGUCAUAUGUCAUCAGCAAUGUUUUAAAAACCGGAUCAGACAUUGAUUCGGCAUUGUAGCUGCGUAAAUGGUCAGAUCGGUGCAAUUAGUUCAACUGACUUCUAAAUUUAAUUUAAUUUUAAAUUCAGUAACUACAUCUAUGUAUAAUAAAAUUGUUCUUAUAAAACUUUAUUUCAUUGUUAAUAUCUAAAAGAUCUUAUGAAAAUAAAAUGACAACUUCAAAAAUAAUAUAAACUAUAAUGAAACUAAUUGAUUUAGAUAGAUAUUAAAAACAAUAUGAAAUCUUUUUAAAAUUUGCAAAUUUUUAUUUUUAAACUUGAAUUUGAGAAAACUUGAUUUUAAUAUCGAACCAGAUUACCGGUUUUAGCAAAUUUGAACAGUUUAUGACAUGGUUUACCGGUUUAAUUCAAAUUCAGUUUUAAUACAACUCAAAACCGGCUAGAAUAACGAGUCAAGGUCCAACCGGGCAAUCCGGUUUUCAAAACACUAGUCAUCACCAUAAUGAUUCUUUUUUUUUAGAGAAAUAUGUUAGCCAUCUAAACAUAUAAUAUAAUACUCAUUAAACUAAAUAUUAAAUUAAUUAUUAAUGUACAAAACAUAUUAUUCCUUCUUUGCUUAAGUAUAAGCUACAAAAUUACAUAAUGUGAUAAAUAUAUAUAAGGAGUUUUCUUGCGCCAUGCGCAAAUAUACUAAUUUUUAGCUAAAUUUUUAUUUAUUUUAUUUUAAAUAAAAAUAAAUUUACGUUUUCAUACUAUUAUUUUUAUAUUUUAAAUUCAUCGGUCUGGAAAAGAGUGAAAUCACAACUAUUUUUUUGUAAUUUUGUUUCAUUUGAUUUGUUUUAUUUAUUUUAAUUUUAUUUUAUAUGAAUUUUAUUGGAGAAGAAUUAUAUUUUAUAUAACUUUGAAUUUUAUUUAUUUAUAUUUAGUGAUUAUUUAUUUUGAAUAUGUUUCUUAUCCUCUAAGUGUAUAAAUUUUAAUAAUGAUUGGGUUUCUGUUUAAAUGUAUAGCUAAUAUGUUAAACUCGUAAACUCAAUUUCUUAAUUAAUCAAAUAAACUAAUGGAUGCUAAUAAAAUUUUAAACAUUUAAUCAUCCAAAAAAAUUGAUUAGCAUUGCUUUAGUUUUGUGUUCCCUAAUGCACACUUACACUUUAUUUUAAUAAAAUAUAAAAUAUAUAUAGAAAAUAUGAUAAAUAAGUUAAUUUAAAAUUAAAAUAUAAUUAUAUUUAGUUUAUUUUUAUAAAUAUGAUAUAUAUAAUUUUAUUUUAUUUCAAUGGUGAUAUAUGAAUUAUUAGUUAUUAAUAUAUUUUAAAAGUCUUGCCAAAAUAAACAUUUACACAGAAAUGCUAACUUCUAAAUAGUGAUAUAAACAUUAUUAGUCAUUACCAUUUUUAUAAAUUCUUACUAGAAAUAUAUAAAUUUGUAAAAGUUAUUAUUAUUACCAUAUUUAAAAGUCUUUAACAAAAAUAUAAAUUUUUAUAAGAAAAUUUUCAUGUCAAAUUAACUUGAUCUCAUGUCAUUAUUUUCUAAAAACAUGUCAUUUUUUUGGGUGAGAAUGAACACUGUGAUGACAUGUGUACAAAACCACUUUGCAAUUAAUAUUUAGGAGAUACUACAAUCAAUGACUUUGAAUAAUAAUGAUUUGAUAACAAUUUGUGUAUCAUCUAUCAUCUUUAUUUAAUUUUAUAUUAUUAAAAUAAAUUAAUUAAUCAUAUUAAUCAUCUAAUAAAAAUAGAUUUUCCUUAUAUUUUGAAUUUUAAAGAUGACUAUAAAUUACUAAAAUUGUUAAAAUUAAUGGUUUAAUUUUAUUAUUAUAAUAAGAUACAAAUGAUCAUAAGAACUUAUGAAUAUGAAAUUUCAUUUAAUAGAACUGUAGAUUAAAAAAAAAAUAUAUAUAUAUAUAUAUAUCUAUUUCAAUAUCGUUUAAAUUUAGCUGUAUAUAUAUAUAUAUUUUUUUUUCUGAACAUUUGAAAAGACUAGAGACAUUAUUUCAAGGCUCUAAUGUUAUAAUAUGUGUUACUGUUUUCAGAAUUUAUUGUUGAUGAAGAACUAGAAGCCAUGGGUAAGAAAAUGGUCACACAUUGUGGAGGACUACCAUUAGCCGUUAAAGUGUUGGGAGGCUUGUUAGCUAAUAAAAGCAUGGUUGAAGAGUGGAAAAGAGUAGAUGACAAUAUUCAAAGUCAGAUAGUUCGCAUAGAUGACAACAGUCAAGAUUCGGUUUACCGAGUAUUGUCUAUGAGCUAUGAAGACUUGCCAAUGCAGUUAAAGCAUUGCUUCCUCUACCUAGCUCAUUUUCCUGAAGAUGACAAGAUACAAAUGGACAUAUUAUAUUAUCUAUGGGCAGCAGAAGGCAUAAUAAAGUCAAGUGGCGAUGGAGAAACCACUUGGGAAAUUGGAGAAGACUACAUAGACGAGCUAGUACGGAGAAAUAUGAUUAUUGGAGUAAAAGAGGAAUUGAGUUGCAGAUGGGCGUAUUGUCAAAUGCAUGACACGAUGAGAGAAGUAUGUUUAUAUAAAGCCAAAGAAGAGAACUUUCUUCAGAUUAUCAAAGUCCCUACUUCUUCUAUGUCUACCAUCAAUGCUCUUACUCCUACCAGAUCUCGCAGACUCGUAGUACACGGUGGUGGUAAUUCACUUGAUAUGCUGGGAGGUAAAAACAAUCAAAAAGCUAGAUCUGUUUUGGGUUUUGGACUCGACAGCAAAUCGUCGAAGCAGUCAGGUCAAGGACUCAGAAAUUUACAAUUACUUAGGGUCUUGGAUUUGAGUUUAGAUUAUAAAAGCGGCGACUCUAGAGGGUGGAGAAUACCAUCCAGCUUUGGAAAGCUCAUUCAUUUGAGAUAUUUGAGCUUACACAUGCGUUGGGCAACUGAUGUACCUUCUUCUUUACGGAAAUGAAAUACUUCAUCUGCCAAGUAUCUUUAAAGAGAUGGUAGAGUUGAGGUUCCUGCAGCUUUAAAGAGAUGGUAGAGUUGAGGUUCCUGCAGCUUCCCCUUCUUCUUGACGCUAAAACAAAGUUGGAAUUGGGCAAUCUAGUGAACCUGGAGUGCUUGGGCUGGUUCCAAUCAGAAAACGGUAGCAUCACAGACUUCCUCCGAAUGAAAAAGCUCAGGACUCUCCACAUAAAACUCAAAGGCAGGUAUACUUCUGAAACUCUAGCGUCAUCUCUCUGUGAAUUAAGAAACCUGGAGGAGCUUAGAUUGAUCGAUGAGAACAACGAAUCCGAUGGGGCUUAUGAUUUGGAUUUCGUUUGGAAUUUCAUUCAUCUAAGGGAAUUAUGGAUGGGUAUACAUAUGACAAGGCUCCCUGAUCACUCUCGAUUGCCUCCCAACCUUGCACACAUAUGUCUAAUUAAAUGUGAAUUGGAGGAUGAUCCACUGCAGAUUCUGGAAAAGUUGCUUCAUUUGAAGUCGGCUGUAUUACAUUACAGAUCUUUCGUGGGGAGGAAGAUGGUGUGUUCAAAAGGUGGAUUCCCUCAAUUAUGUAAGCUAGACAUAAUGUUCCUACACGACUUGGAAGAGUGGAUAGUCGAAGAAGGGUCGAUGCCAUGUCUUCGUACCUUGUCUAUUCAAAGUUGCUACCGGAAGGGCUCAAGUAUAUCACUUCUUUAAAGAAACUGGAAAUCAUACAUAAGAACAAGGAGUGGAAGACGACACUCGUACCAGGUGGGGAAAGUUACCACAAAGUCCAACACAUUCCUAGUGUUCAAUUAAACUAUUUUGGCCACGAAUAAGGAGAAUAAAACUGUCUCAGGUAUAUAUUCUUUUUUGGUAUAAUGUCAAUAUUGUUCAUUUUGUUGGUUAUAUAUCCUCCUUGAAGUUUAGUGUGAAAGUCUAAACUCUCUGUUAUUCGGUUUUCAGGUGAACCUACUCAGGAUCAGUACCCACCACUAUCGAUUGUGUGAUAUGAUAAUAAGUCGUUUUUGUUGUAUGAAGUUUACAUAUCUUGUUUGUGAUAUAUUCCGUAUAUCUAUUUGCAUGCUCAUUCACUCGUCUCAUAAGAUUCUUCUCCUCUGCUAAAGGAUCACUCUAAAUCCAAAAAUCCACUUCAUUAAUUUACAAUAGUACAAUACUAGUGAGAUGAUAAAAUUGUGAUGUAAAUUAUCCUUUUUCUUGCUGAGCAUUGUCUUCUAUGCGUUGUUGCUAAAUUUUUAUUUUUCACAUACUAGUAACUGCGCAGUGGAAGCGCUUACCGAUAAGCAAUGAUGAGCCUCCUCCUCCUCGAGCUUACCAUACAAUGACUAGUAUUGGAGCUCGUCAUCUUUUAAUUGGUGGUUUUGAUGGAAAGUCAACCUUCGGUGAUCUUUGGUGGCUGGUUCCUGAAGGUAUUAAACUCUUAUUUGUACUAAUGUUUUACUCCAACUUAGCUAUCAUUCUGUGUACAUGCAUCAUCAGUUACAAUCUCGGUGCUGGUCACAGAUUAUAGGCAAUUAGAGACACUUAAUUUCUAGCAUACUCUUUUUUUUCUUCUUUAUCAAGUUUGUAUUGAAAGUUUUGAAGUUUUACACAUCUGAUUGAAUUUACUGAACUGUUUUAGCCUUCUGAAAAUGUUGUUAUUCGUUGUGAAAGAAAGAAAUGGAUUAAAGAAAGAAAUGUUGUUAGCGAUCUAACUCUUUUUCUCUUUUCUCAGAUGAUUCCAUAGCCAAGAGGUCUUCUGUACCUCAAAUUAGAAACCCUCCUGAGACUAAAGAGUCAGAGAGAGAUUUGGAUACGGUAACUGUGGUUCCUGCUCAUCAUCUUAUGUGUUUCUCGCCAAUGCAGUUAAAUUAGCUUUUCAACGUGUUUUAACACCAAGAGUUUGGUCACAGCAGGAAAGAGGACAAGAGGGAUUCACUAUCGUCGACUUGCAAAAGAAAAUGGGAAUCUCUGUUGCAUCAGGGUUACUACGCCGUCAUAUCCCCGAGGAGUCAGAAGAUCAAGAGUUCGUUGAGUUAGGAACCAGAUUGAUCGAGGGAGAUGCAGUUGAUAAUCGAGCCUCCAUGAUUCAGGUGAGUUUUUCCUCUUGUCUAUUUUAGAAUGUGUGAUUGUGUUAUUCUUGUACUGAAAAUGCGUCCCAAUGAAAGGAUGGCAGCUGAAGCACUUCGUCAACAUUGGAAAGAGUCCACUCCAGAGACUUUGCAGUUAAAAGAGCUUAAUGCCUUGCUUCGAGAUUAUCAGCGACUUGUUACCCGAAAAUACACGUGAGUUCUUACUCAUUCCAACUAUUUCAGACUCAGUUCUUGUUUAUGUAGAUUAUCUUUUAUUUCACUAAAAAUAGUUGUUCUUUGAUUGCGCUUGGAAUGGCAUUAGAAUAACUUAGAUAAAUCUCCUGAGAGUUUAGGAGUGUUAUAUAGAGUUAAUAUGAAUAUCAUUUUUUGUGUCUUGAAUAGCCCUUGAAACUUUUUAAUCCAAGAAUUGCCAAAACUGAUUCAUUUCUUAAUGUUGUGAAGUCCUCACAUAAAAGUUGAUUGUAAAUGCAUCGCUUUGUACCCCUCUGAAAAGUAUUAAAUGUCAUGAAAUCUCACAUCUGCUUCUCCCUUUCCUUCACACGUUUGUUUUCAUUUGUUGUGGCGGGUUUCCAUCAGAGCACAGAGCAGCUUAACACCUGCAGAUUUUGGAAAGAAGACCUUUACGUUUUAUCAUAUCAAAACUUCUUCCGAGGUACUUCUGCAUACUUUCUUCCUGUUAUUAGCUUUAUUGAACAUUUGACACCAAUCAAUCAUACAUCAGGCUUUCCUCUGACAUGUCAAGUUUUCAUUUUGCUAUUCUCAGUUACGGAUGGAUGACAUCCCCAAGUUGCUGGAAGAAUACAAAACCCUUCUAAUCUGAUUGAGGAGCUCUACCAUAAAACUCACAAGGAGAUAUACUAAAACCCUUCUAAACUCAUCAAGUAGCUGCCAAGAAGAUCACCAAGAUUGCUAUCAGCAUUACCAUUCGCAAACAACAAAGCUAAAAAUUCUCAAAAGAAUCAUCUCUGAUAGACAACAAGACAUGUACAACUUCUUCUUAGUCAAGGACAAAAACAUAUACCCAUAUGUAAGAUUUUCAUUAUUUCUACUUAAAUCCAUAUCUCAGCGUCUGCUCUUUGCUUUAAAGCCAAUGGGAAAGUAAGGAAAAAAGUAGGCAAACUUCACCUCUUAUACUUAGAAAUGGAUUACUACAACAACAACGGUACUCUUGAUAACUUAAACCAUAGAGUUUCUGUCUGCUUAGACCCGUAUUGUCUUUUUUCUCUAUCCCCUAAAACAACUCAAACUCAAGAUGAUCUCCCAUGGCUUUACAUUCAAGAUACCCAUUACUAUUCCCUUUAGGAGAGGUUGCUUCAGUUGCACCAUUGUCAUAUACAUCAGGCAGCUCAGGGGGAAUGGCGCAGCGGAUGAGAGCCCAGUUCAAUCCUUCAAAGAAAGGAUGCCUCUUGAUCUCAGCAGCUCCUUUCUCCCACCCGAGACGGCUCUCCGGAUCCUUCAUCACCAACCUCCUGAUCAAAUCCUUUGCCUGGAAGCUCACAAGAGGGCUAUCAGGAAACUUAAGGUUCUGAAACACAACGUUGGACAAUGUCUCCUCAUUGUCAUAACCUUUAAACGGUGUCUUCCCGUAUAAAAGCUCAUAGAGAAGGACCCCAAAAGUCCACCAGUCUACCGCAGCACCAUGCCCUUCUCCUUUUAUUAUCUCCGGCGCCAAGUACUCGUGCGUUCCUACAAAAGAGUUUGAUCCUGCUUCGGUUGGUUUAGCCACAAGCUGAGGCAAUGAUCUGAACUGUUGGGUCAGAAGAUCAGGCCUUCUCUGUUUUCUUGGUUUCGAGUUUCUAGCGCAUUGAUGGGAGCCUAGGGCUGAAACAUGGGAAGCAGGUUCUUCACAGGUUCUUCACCUUCUUUGGAAGUUGAGGAGCUUGAUACAAUAAGCGAAGACGAAGACAAACAGCAGUAUCCACGCGCAGCUACAGCUGGUAAGAAGUCAUGUUCGAACCCGGAUCCAUCUUUGAGCAACUUUUUUAGACCCGUGUCUAGGAGACCAGUGUUCUGCACUAUCGAAUCUUGGUCUCCUACUUGAGAUUUGAUGCUUCCAAACAAUGUCCAGCCCACUGGUCGUUGCCUAGUAAUAUCAUCUCCACCAUAUCACCAACAAUAAACAUUUUCGAAACUACCCUCCCUCUCCCCUCUCCCAAUAAAAAAAACACAAAACUUAAAAAUUAGGUAGCUCUAAAACCCUUCUGAUCAUAACAAAAAGUAAGAUCUAAACACACUUGAUGAUUACGUAAGUUGGUUCGUAAUUUUUUACCAAUCUUUGGUAUAAGGAACUGGAGAAAAGAUUCCAAAUAGACUGAGGAAGAAAGACAUGCAGAUUCCGGAGAUUUGAUAGUUUGGUGUCAAGGCCACAAAGCAUCAAGCUUUGUUAACAUGUAGUAGUAGUAGUACCAGAAGAACUUGACCACAGUACGGCCGUAUCCUAUCAUUGAGUAAAGGAUUAUAGUAUGUAAACUCUAGUUUGUAUGGUGUCAUACUAAUAACUUUGUCUAUAUUACCAAUUUUCCCAAUUUCUUAUUUCUAACAAACUAUAAUGUAUAAAUAUCAAUGAAUAUAUUUUGCAAGUUGAAAAUAAGGGAGAAAUUUUUUUUACCAAAAAGAAUAAUAAGGGAGAACUACAGUGAAUGUUUCGAGUGGGCCUAAAGCAAAUGCAUUAUUGCCUUGCGAAAAAAUCAUUAUCGCCACAGACUAGAAAAAACUCCUAUUUUCUUUUUAUUCAAAAUUAGAACCACAAGAUGGCAGUCGUAGACUGAUAAGAUUGACUUGGAGUCUACUCUUUCAUUGCCACUCAUAUCUUUUCUUCCAAAGAACGUCUCUAAGCAAGUUGAAGAGCUGUUACAUGAAAGGUAAAUCAUGUUCUUGUAUCAUUAUUUGUAUGUUUAACUUGCUUUGAUCUGUCUUUUGGACUCUGUUGUGGUUGAAUCUGAAUUUAAAAACGAAAAUUCGUUAGAUUAUUACAAAUCUUGUUUUACGAAUUUAAAGCAUUUAAUCAUCAAAUCUUGUUAUAAAUUGUUUGAAUAAAAGUAAAGUUCCUCUAACAGGUAUCAUGUUUUAUUAGAUCAACCAAGGAUUAUCAUAACGGUUUUAAAUCUUACUACAAGUUUGUACUUAUGUGUUGAUGAUGGUGGAACAGGAGAAUAGUGAUGGCUGAGGGCGUUGUGUCGUUUGGAGUGGAGAAACUCUGGGAUCUCCUGAGUCGAGAAUCUGAGCGAUUGCAGGGAGUUCAUGAGAAAGUUGAUGAUCUAAAAUGUCAGAUGAGAAUGUUACAGUCGUUGUUGAAAGAUGCAGAUGCGAGGAAACAUGAGAAUGAAGUAGUGAGAAACUUCUUGGAAGAUGUCAAAGACAUUGUUUUUGAUGCUGAAGACAUAAUCGAAUCCUUUCUUUUGAAAGAAUUGAGUGGAAACCAAAAAGGGAUCAAGAGGCGUGUGAAAAGACUUGCUUGUUUCUUAGUGGAUCGCCGAGGUCUUUCUAUGGACAUUGAAGGCAUAAUUAAGAGAAUGUCUAAGGUGGUUGCACAAAUGCAGAGCUUUGGUAUACAGCAUAGCGUCAACAGAUCACCGUCUGUACAAGAGAGGCAAAGGGAGAUCCGACAAACAUAUCCUAAGAGGUCUCAAAAGGAUCUCGUGGGGGUGGAACAGAGUGUUAAGGAACUAGUUGGUCAUUUGGUGGAGAAUGAUAGCAUCCAAGUAGUUUCCAUAUCUGGGAUGGGUGGUAUUGGAAAAACCACUCUUGCAAGACAAGUCUUUCAUCAUGACAUUGUUCGAAGUCAUUUUGAUGGAUACGCGUGGAUCUGCGUUUCGCAAGAUUUUAAGCGGAAGGAUAUUUGGCAAAAGUUAUUGCAAGACCUUAGACCACAUGAUAAGGGCAUCGAACAUAUGAAUGAGAAUACACUCCAGGCUGAGCUCUUUCACUUGUUGGAGACGUCUAAAUAUUUAAUUGUCAUGGAUGAUGUAUGGAAAAAAGAAGAUUGGGAUGCAAUAAAAGACGUUUUCCCCCAAGAAAGAAGAGGUGAGCUCUCUUAUUGUACAUACAUUACUUAAGAACUCCCCAUAACCACAUUUCAUAAAGGGCAAUUGUCAAUAAUAGCACAUUUUGAAGUUUAUGUCACAAAAAGAGCACUAGAAGGAGAAAAUCACAAAAAUGACAUUCAUUAAAGGGUAAAAUGUCCCUAAUAUCCUUGGUUUAAAUUAAAUAAACAAACAAAAAUAAAUAAAUAAAUAAAUAAAAAAUAAAAAAAUAAAAAAAAAUAAAAAAAUAAAAAAAAUAAAAAAAAAUUUAUAGUUUCAGAUUAUAUGUUUUCAGAUUCGAAAUUUUUAUAAUUUUUUUAAAAAAAAUUUUGAAUUUUUUUUUUAUUUUUUUUUUCAAAUUUUCUUUUUAUAGUUUAAAAAUAAUUUUUGAAACUGUUUUAUAAAUUUUUAUUUUUUAUUUUAGUAUUUAUUUUUUAUAAAAUUUUAAACCCUAAUUCCAAAACCCCACCCCCUUAACUCUAAACCCUAAGGUUUGGAUUAAUUAACCCAAGGGGUAUAAGUGUAUAUUUACCUCUUUAAUGAAACCUAUUUUUGUGACUUUGAGCCUUGAGUGCUACUUUGGGAACAAAAACUUGGUUUGGUGCUAUCCUAGUCUUUUUCUCUUUCAUAAAUGCCUUUUGAGUCCCUGAGAUGAAAGGAAAUACAAUUGCAGGUUGGAAGAUGAUUCUUACUUCACGCGAUGAAGGUGUUGGUUUGCAUGCAGACCCAACAUGUUUUCCUUUUAGACCAAAACCACUUACUCCCGAAGAAAGUUGGAAGCUAUGUGAGAGCAUAGCAUUCCCUAGAAAAGAGAUAACGGGUAAUGUUUUUAUAUAAGAAUCAUAUGAAUCCAGAAUCCUUAAGGCCAGUAAUUUCUUACGGCCGGGACAUCUUAUCAAAAAUCUUGUGUAUUAAUUCCUAAAUCCGCAUGACAUAUAUUAUUACAUAUACCUUUGAGAAACAAUAUACCAUCAAUACUAUUAAAACAGAAGACCUUUUUUUGAGGUGCUCUUCUGUUUCAACAAUAUUUUCAGAUCUUUGCCACUGAAAUAUUUAAAACUUAUGAUUUUAAUUAAAUUCUGAAUUUUCUUUUAUUUAUACAACAGAAAAUCUAAUAAUGAAUCAACACGUUAUUAAAGUAAACCGACUUAUUUAAUAUUUUACCAAAAAAAAAAAAGUAAACCGACUUACCCAACGAACGUAAACCAACCAACAUACUUAACAAUAAAAUAAAGUGUUAUGCUGGUUCAAUCCAUCGAAGUAUAAAUUAUAAACUACAUGAUUCUAUAUACUUAACACGUCUUUAACUUGAUAUCAAGUAUAUAAACAAACAAUUUACAGCAUUUCAAUUCCUAUAGGAUACCGGUUCAAAUGUUCUAUAGAAAACUAAAUCGACGUUGGUAUGAAUUAAAUCAUCCAAUAUAUCACACUUAAAGAAACGAAUAUAUAAACAAUAAAUAUUAAAUAUAUGAACAAAAUAGGUGUGGGAAUAUUCAUUAAGAACAGUUAAUAUUUUCCUAAUUGAAUGGUCGAUAAGAUAUUUAUAAUAAUCAUAUUUUUCAUAGCAAUCAAUUAAAUGCAUCAGUUUCGGAAUGCUAACUAACAAUACCUUUCUUUUUAAAAAUAAAAUUAGAAAGAUCUUCCUAACUAAAUAAUUAAGUCGACAGCAAAAAAAAAAUUAUACAUGAACAAAAUGACUAAUCCUAUUAGAAAAAAUAAAUGAAUUUAUAAGGGUUUGAGAUUUAAAAAGUGUCGGUUAAAAAAGAGACGGGUUCAAAUACAUGACAGAUUUAUUUAUUGUAAAAUAUUAUUUUUAAAAACAAUUAAUUAUAAACUUUCUGAAUAUUUUUUUUUAAAUUCACCUUUCGUAUUGAAAUAUAAAUAUUCUAAAAAAAAUUGUUUUAUCAUGUAAUCUAAGAAAUAUGUCAUUACAAAUAUGUUCUUUACAAUUUCAUUUAUGAUAAUAAUGUGAAAUCUUUUUUUUCAAUAAUGUAUUUUUUCCUAUUAUAAAAAAUAUUAAUAAAAUAUUUUAAUAUUUUUAAUAAUAUAGUUAUUUGAAUUCAGUAUUUUUAAUAAUAUAGUUAGUACAAAAUUAAACUAACCCUUAAACUUACACAAUAUUUACAAUAGAAUGCCACUGCAGUAUUUAAUAAACCUAACAAUAGAUAUUCUUUGUCUUUCAUGUAUUAUUAAUGCAUUUUCCUAAAUUAAUUUUUAACUAAAAACAUGGCAACAAUAAUUUAAGCAAAUCUAAACAAUAAGGAAUAUCAAAACAUGAAUCAGUUGAGACAAUUUUUUUCACGAAAAAGAUGAUUAAUUAGUUUGUACUUUUAUUAUCAUAUCAUGAAUCAGUUGUAAUUUAAAAUCCAAUUUUUAUAUAUAUAUUUAUACUAUAAUGUAAAAAAAAUGACGUAAUAAGUGAAAAAAUCAUUUUAACCACACGAGAUCAACAUAUGAACAAUAAGAAAACAUAUACAAACAUCGUCCAUUUGUUCAAUGAAUAUUAUAUCUUUUUAAUGCUCUUCAUAUACUCAAUAUAAUCAAAAUAUCUAUUUUAAUAUAUCUAUAUUAUUAAAACUGAGGUAAGUAUUAGAAUAUUUUUUUUCAUUCUAAUAACUACAUGCGCUACCUAAUUAAUAAUUAUUAAUUAAUUGACAACAAAUCAUUUAUUUUGUUAGAUUUUUUGCUAUCCAAACUUCAAACUUAAUUCAUUAACUACAAAUCAUUUAUUUUGUUAAAUUCUUUUCUAACCAAACGUACGAAACUUACGAUUAUUUUCUAACUGGAUUAUUCUGUAACCAAAUUUUACAAUAAAACUAAAAAAAUUUAUUUAAAAUGUAUCUACAAACUUUAAAUGUUAUAGAUAUAUUCAUAUAUAUAAUUAUUUUAUUUCACAUGCAAAAUAUAAACUAUAGAUAUUUUUAUAAAGUUAUUUUCAAAAUAUAUAUUAAAUAAUUUGAUGAUUAAUACAAUUUACAAAUAUAAAUUUAAUUAUAAGAAUACAAUAAAUAAAUUUCAAUUUAAUAUUUUCUCAAAAAUGAAAAUAAAAGUGAAAUUUAUUUGGCAUAUAAAAAAAUUUAGAGACAUAUAUAUCUAUGUUAUUAAAACAUGAUACAUUUAAUUUUUAAAAUAUAAAUUUAUUAAUAUAUAUAUAAACAUAAUAAUUGGUACUCUAAUUUAGAAAUAAAUACAUCAAAAUGGUUACUGUAGUCAAAAAUAUAAAUCGACAAAUAUAUUAUAUAAUUUAUUUUUAAUUUGUUUUGUAUUCUACCAUAAUAUGAGAAAUCAACAAAUUACACACAGUAAAAAUAGUCCAUUUAUCACAAUUACAAAUCGAAUAAAUACCAUAUGAAUGUAUAUAUCUACAACUAUUAUAUUUUGUAUUGUAAAAAAAAUUAUAUUUCUAUUUUGUUAAUUAAACACCCGUGCGGAUGCACGGGUCAAACUCUAGUUUGAUUUAUUUCAUAUGUCAUCACCAAUGUUUUAAAAACCAGAUCGGACAUUGACUCGGCAUUGUACCUGGGUAAACGGUCGGCUCGGUCCAACCCGGUUCAAGCGGCUUUUAAAUUUUAAUCAAAUUUUAAAUUAAAUAACUAUAUAUAUAUAUAUAUAUAUGUAUAAUCAAUUUAAUUUUAUAAACCUUUCUAUCAUUGUUAAUAUAAAAAAUCAUAUGAAAAUAAAAUGCAACUUCAAAAAUAAUAUAAAACUAUAGUGAAAGUAAUUUAUUUAGAUAAAUAUUAAAAAAAAUAUGAAUUUUUAUGAAAUCUUUUUUAAAAUUGCAAAUUUUAUUUUUAAACUUGAAUUUGAGAAAAUUUAUUUAAAAAAAUCUCAUAAUUUCAUAAUUGAAAAAUAUUGUUUAAAAUCAGUUUAAAAUUGCAUUAUUUAAACAUAACUUAACAUUUAAAAGUUUUACGUAAACACAAGUUCAAUUAAAGCUACUUAAUUUUUUAUAAAACUUUAUUGUAAAUAACAUGUUUGGUUUUCUGUUGUGAAAGCAACACUAAGUAUAAAUUGCAUGCACCAUUAAAUAUUGAUUCUGGCAGAGUAACAAACGUUACAGAUACUAAAGUUUUAGCUAGCUCUAUUCAAAUAUGAAAGAAUUUCUAUACCAAAAACGAUGUGUGUUUUUUACUGAGAAAAACAUAAUUUUUUUUACUGAGAAAAACAUAAUUUUCUUGAAUAAAGUAGAAUCUUAAAUAUUGAAAUAUUUAUGUUGAUAGUUCAAAUUUCUUCUUAUAUUAAAUUACAUAUAAAUCUGAUAUUGAUAUAUUUAUAUUAAAGAUAUUGUCUUUUUAUAUUAAAUUUAUUUUUUAGUUAUAAAAAAAGAAAAUCGUUUUUAUUAAAUUACAUGUUUUAUAUUUAUUAAAGAUAUUUCCUUUUUGAUGAUAAAGUGAUUUGGAAACAAAUAUUUAAAUGUUUAUUAAAAUAUUGAUAGUGGUAUUUUAACAAUAAAAUUUAUUUAUUAAGGUUAUCACUGUAAUUAACCAUUCUAAGAAUCAACGUGAGUGCGACACGUAGAAAACUGACUUAUCAUAUACUAUUAUAGAGAUAAAGUACUAUUAUGGAGAUAAAGUACUAUUAUGUUCUACACAACUUUAUAUAAUUUUGCUUAUUUGUCAUCUAACACUAUUAAAAGGGGAAUAACAAGCCCUCUUAGAUGUGCCACGUCGGAUUGGAAAUUCAGACCAAUCAAACACAAGUUUUAUGACAUGUCAUUAGGUCAACACAUUAACAUACUGAACUUCAAUUUUAUUCGGCAAAAUCGAUUCCUUUUUCUUUCUUCUCAAUUUCUCUGCAAAAUGUAUUCUGAACUUUUGAUUUUCUAUCCAAGAGUCUACUCAUUGAUUCCUCUUCCUUUCUUCUCUCCUUCUCUACAAAACUUUUACCAUACCCAAGAGUCACUUUUUUUUUAAACUUCAGGCUUGUGAACUCUUAUUCUCGAAGUUGACUUUUGUGUGGUUCUCUUAGAAAUCCUAUUUCUGGAUUUAUGAUUCUGAAAAUUGGAAUUUUGUUUUUCGUAGUUGUAAGAUGGGGAAGAGAUGAGAAAGCGGUUAUAGGCGUUUCAGACAAAAAAAAGAAACAAGAGCUAAAGAAGGAGAAUCACGAUAAAUUACAAAGAGAUUUACGGCAAAGAUCAAAUUGAUGUGCUCUCCUCUGAACUCUGAUGGUAUCAUGGUAAAAAUAUUUGAUUCAAAAGCACUAAAAUUAUAGAGUGGAGAGAUUUGUGGAGAGAUUCAGUUUUUUUGUUCUCAUGUAAUUUUAAGUUAGUUCUCUCAUUGUUGUAUCUUUUCGCAUGAACAUUGUAAUUGAGUUGUUUGUGUGUAUGUCUUUUUAUAGAGUGUGGAUCACUGGAUCAACAUGGGUUUGCAAGGGACAAAAUCUGGGUAAUCGAUGACAAUCUAUCUCCUAUUUACUCAAAAGAGUUCUUAAGAAAAGCUUAGUUGAUCUUCAUCUCAAACCAUCAGAAGAGGACUUAAAGCAAUGGUCUGACAGGUAAAAGUAAAACCAUCAUCAUGCCUUUUAUGAUCUAUCUUUAUAGAUUCUGAAUUCUGUGUGUGUUUCCUUUUUGAGUUCCAGGUUCACUUGCUAUAGAUGGCGACUCAACAUUGAUUUCUUUAGAAACAUCAAUGGCAAGCCCUUCAGAUUCUUAUUUGCAUAUCAUACUUACCUCGCUGUCUCAGAUAUAAGGUAAUUGUACUCUUUAAAAAAAUAUAUCAUCAGCAAAAUAUUCUGUGUUUGAUGAAUCAUUCAACUAUUGAAGGAUCAGAAACAUUUGACUACUUGGAGAACCUCAGCAAAAAUGAGCUUUUGACUCUACUAGAGUAGAAACAUACUUCCCUGAGAACAAGUAUCGUUCGUUAACUGCCCAAAGUGGUAUCUCUCAGACACCAUAAGCUAAAUAAAUGUUUCUUUCAACGUGCAAAAAUCUGAAUCACAUUGCUUUAUAUUUCUAAUCUUCUUUGUUGGCAGGAACUUUGAAAACACAUUAAGUGAAUAGAACGUGUGAUGAUGAACUCAAUAUUCAGAACGUCUUUGUAGAACAUGAUGUCGUUUGUGUAAGUCGUAUAAUAUAAUAACUGUUCCAUAUUUACAUAUAUUUCGUCUUAGAACACAAAUCCAGACUGACCACAGAGUUCUUUAUUUUUUUGUUCUUAUAUGGUUUGAUUCGAAGUUAAAGUUCGUUUCUUUAAUUAUGUGUGUUGCAGAAGUCCAAGAGGAAUGAGUAUGCCAAACUAUCUCCUAACGUUUGCAAGGUAUUGUUUUACCUUGUCUGAUUUGUUUUCAUCAUUCUGUAAUUUUCAUGUGUUUGUUCGCUACAUGCUCGCAAGAGACUCAGCUUGAUCUUUGAAAAGUGCUCUGCUUUUUUCAAUUUUAGUUAGAGACCAAGGUUUCAAUUUUUGUUGCUGUUUGUUUGUGUCUCAGACUGUUUCGGUCAGGUUGAUAAAGGGGCUAAUAUUCUUGAAAUUUAUCGCAAUCAUUGUGAUACUGAUCACACUUGCUCGCAUGACGCUGCUACUUGCUCUUUUUGGUUCUUUGCGGGAGAAAUUGAAAGACUUGCGUUUAGCAUCUGAUCUCUCUUCUUUGUGUGUGUUUCUGCAAGUAAAAAUGGUUAAGGGCUUUGAAUGUACUUUUCAUUCUGAUGGGUUAUUUGGGAUUUAAAGUUUUUGACAUUCUCAGAGUUUCCAUAAAUUUGCAGCAUUGAACGUCAUUUUCCCUUUAUGAGUCCGUGCAAUAAGCUUGAAGACAGAGGUGGAAAGUCGGGGAGGUGGAUGGGACGAGCUUGCUGUGAUGGAUGGGGCGGAGAGGCGUCGGAUCUGAAGAAGCUGUGUAGUGGAGAUGGCAGAGGAAGCUAGCGGUGGUAGUGGUGGCGGCACAAAAAGAGAGAGCACUGGAAGAAUGGAGAUGAAUUUUAGGUUUAGUUAAAAAUUUGGUUUAGUUUGGUUUAGUUUAAUAUCGCAUUCAUAAAUAUGUAAACAAUUUCAAUAUAUAAAAUUUAAUUUAAUUUAUAUUUUUCAUAAUUUUUUAUUUUUUAAUAAUGAAAAUAAUUAACAAAAGUAAUACAUCAUUAAAAUCAAAUUAAUAAAUUUUAAUAACAUUUGUAUAACGUUAUUAUAAAUAUUAACAAUUGCAUAGAUAUUAACGCUAUUGUUGUUUAUUUAACUAUAGCAUACGACAAAUCCGCUAUCAAAAGGGUUGGACGAUGUCAGAGCGUUUUAGGGAACGCUAUUAAAAUGAACUAAUAGCGUUUAACGCCAGCUAUUAAUACCCCAUUUCCUAUAGUGUUCGAGUUACUACGCCAGAGUAUGCAACAUUCAGCAAGGUGGUAGCUUCCAGUUACGCUAAAUAGUCAAAAGUUGGAAAGUUUGGAUUUGAUCUGGUCACGUGCUCAAAGUCAUACCUUUUUAUUAAUCUUAUAAUGGUAACUUCUUUCUAUUGUUGAAAAUGCUUUUCUUUCUUUUAUAUAGAGUGAAGGUGGUGACAAAGCAGUUAAUCAGUUAGACAAAUCUGUUAAUCAACAAUAGCCGUCAACAUGUCUAUUGAGAACAAGGAAGUUGCUGAGAAGAUACAUCCGAGAACUAUACAAGUUUAAUUUUCUUGAUCUAUGUGUUAGUUUUAUCGCCGCCAACGUCCAGGAUUGUGAUCUCCAGUCUCUGCUUUAUACUAUAGUUCAGGUUAUAAAUGGAGUUGCUACACUGUUUAGUGGACCACGAUACCUGCUCCUAAGGGUUAAAUGUAUUCGAUGGCUAAAUCUCUUUCGUGCAAGUCGCAUAUUCAUUCCUAUAGCUUCACUGGUAUUGGAUAUACUGGAAUAUAAAUCCAUAAAUGAUAGUGAAAAGCAAGGAAGUAGCUUGAAGCUGUUUCAACCGUAAAGCUGCUUAAGAAUUGGUUGAAGUCCCUGAAUUUCCAAGAACAAUGUAUCUUUUCUGUGAUUGAGCUCCUUGCCGUCCACUUUUCUCAACGGAGCUUCAACAUAUCUUUUCUAGAGCUUGCUAUUAUUCCCUUAUGAGGCUGAACAAAUUUAACGAGAGAAGCAUUCUGGAAGGGUUAAAGAUGGACAUGGUGGUCAAACACUUCAUCAAGCAGGUGGAGUUGAAUAUUGAGUCUGUACACAAUACUAUCAAAGCAUCACAGACAAAGGUCUUGGAACAAAAAAAGAAGAAGUGAGACAAGUGUGCGAACAAUAAUAAUGCAAUUCCUGGGUUUGCAACUCAGAUUAUAGGGCAUAAUCAAACCGUAGCAGUUAGAAUUCUCAAAUUCUUAAACCAUUUUUGUUUCAUAAAUUAUUUUCAGAAAUACACAAAACGUCUAUGCAAUCUGGUUAAUAAAAACGGUGAAACAAAAAUAAAUCAGAUUCAUUCGAAAAAAUGUGUUUAAUCAGUAAUCUAAUUUCAGACCUACAACAGUAAUGUUUUAAAAAUGUUUUAAAAACAAUAGCCAAAAAAAAGUAGCAAUCUAAUUUCAGACCUAUGACAGUAAUGAUUUUGUUAUAUAUCGACAAUUUAUAACUUUGAGAGAGCUUUUAAACUGGGUAUGAGGUCCUCACUCUUACUUGUUUUCGAGAGGUCAUGCAAGAUCAUGUUUGAGCAAAGUUGACUCAAACACUACCCAACAAACAAACAAAAAGCUUGAACAUGAAAAAAAAAGUAUUAAUAUUUACAAUGAUUUCCAAAGUAUUAAAUAUUUAAAUGAUUAUCAUCAAAUGUAGUUAAAUAAAUAUUAAAAUAGUUAAAUUAUUAAAAUAAGGAACUAUGUAUAAAUUAAUAUGACAUCAAAUGUAAGAAAGUAAACCUUAAAUAACUUUACAACUAAAAAUAUUCAAAUCAUGAAGCAAAAUUUCUUUCCAUCACAAAAAAGCAAACAAUAAAUGAUAAAUUAAAUAUUUGGUUAAAGGUAAAUGGAGACAACAAACUCGAUUGGUACUUUCUCUUAAAUUCAAGUAUAAAAAUGAAAACUUAAUAAUUGUAAAACCAAACAAAAUUUAUACAGUAUUAAUUAUAAGUUUUACAAUUUUUUUACAUAAAAAUAAUAACCAAGAAAAGAAUAUAUAUAGAUCUUAACUAAUAAUUUAGUUAACUUUUUAUUAAUCUUUGCUAAUAUGAUUCUAAUAUCCUAUUUAAAUUUCCAAUAAAACACACAAACAAAUUCUAAUAGUUUUAAAUAUGCAUAUAUUUUUAUAAUUAUUCUUUAACCAGUUCCAGUAUAUAUUAUAUUUGUUCAUUUUUAAAAUAAAAAUACACAAAUUCAAUUAAUAUUAUAGGAAAAAAUCCGGGCGUAGCCCGGAAAACCCUCUAGUAUUUUUAAUGAUUUUGACUGAUGAAUCAUCAAUUUAGAUUUAUACUAUUAUUUAAAAUUUUAUCUUAUUUAGUCAUCAAUUAUUUAUUUAAUCUUAAUUUUAAAAUAGAAUUAAACUAAUAUUUAAAAUUAAUUAAUGUAAUCAAAUAAUAAAUCUAAAAACUGACAAAAAUUAUUUUAAAAUAAAAUUUAAAUUUAAAAAAAUAUUACUCUAAACAUAGUGCAGAAAAAUACCUAAUACAACUUCAUAUUGUAAGUGAACAUAAUGUUCAAGACAAAAAAAAAGUGGUAGUAAUAGCAAAAAGUAUAAAUACAAAGUAAACUAUAAAGGGGCCAUCAUAAAACUAACAAUUCUUCAAUAGUUAUAAGUUAGAAAAUAUUAUAUAGAUUCUUUAACUUAAAAAUUAGUUAUUUAUUAAUGGUAUCAACGUUUUUAACCGAUCUGACUUUUAAGGUGAGAGCUAAUAAAAAAAAAUUAAAUCAUUUUGCAAAUAAUAAAUAGAUAUAUUAUAUUUUAACAUUUAAAAGACACACAUAUAUUUCGAGGCUCUAAUCUUAUAGUACGGUUUUCAGAAUAAAUGUUGAUGAAGAACUAGAAGCCAUGGGUAAGAAAAUGGUCACAUAUUGUGGAGGACUACCAUUAGCCGUUAAAGUGCUGGAGGCUUGUUAGCUAAUAAAAACAUGGUUGAAGAGUGGAAAAGAGUAGAUGACAAUAUUCAAACUCAGAUAGUUCGCAUAGAUGACAACAGUCAAGAUUCGGUUUACCGAGUAUUGUCUAUGAGCUAUGAAGAUUUGCCCAUGCAGUUAAAGCAUUGCUUCCUAUACCUAGCUCAUUUUCCCGAAGAUGACAAGAUACAAGUACGGAUAUUGUAUAAUCUUUGGGAAGCAGAAGGAAUAAUAACGUCAAGUUGCGAUGGAGAAACCACUAGGAAAAUUGGAGAAGAAUACAUAGACGAGCUAGUAAGGAAAUAUGGUUAUUGCAGUAAAAGAUGAUUUGAGUUGCAAAUGGAAGUAUUGUCAAAUGCAUGACAUGAUGAGAGAAGUAUGUUUAUAUAAAGCCAAAGAAGAGAACUUUCUUCAGUUUAUCGAAGUACCUACUUCUUCACCUCUACCAUCAAUGCGCAUACUCCUACCAGAGCUCGCAGACUCGUAGUACACGGUGAUGGUAAUGCAUUUGAUAUGCUGGGACGUAAAAACAAUCAAAAAGCUAGAUCUGUUUUGGUUUUGGACUCGACAGCAACUUGUGGAAGCAGUCAGGUCAAGGAUUACGAAAUUUACAACUACUAGGGUCUUAGAUCUGAAUUUACAAACACAUGAUAGCGACUCUAGAGGAGGGAGAAUACCAUCCAGCAUUGGAAAAGCUCAUUCAUUUGAGAUAUUUGAGCUUACACAUGGGUCGUGCAACUCAUGUAGAGUUAAGGUCCCUGAUGCUUCCCUUUAUAUUGACGCUAAACAAAGUUGGAAUUGGGUAAUCUACUGAACCUAGAGUACUUGGUCGGCUUCCGACUUGAAUACGUAGCAUCACAGACUUCCUCCGAAUGAAAAGCUCAGGACUCUCGAGAUAUUUCUCAAAGGCAGGUAUACUUCUGAAAUUCUUGCGUCAUCUCUCUGUGAAUUAACAAACCUGGAGACGCUUAAAUUGAUCAAUGUGAACGGAUACGAUGAGGCUUAUGAUUUGGAUUUCGUUUGGAAUUUCAUUCAUCUAAGGCAUUUAGAGCUGGACAUACAUAUAACAAGGCUUCCUGAUCACUCUCGAUUUCCUCCCCACUUGCACACAUAUCUCUAUGUGACUGUAAAAUGGAGGAGGAUCCACUGCAGAUUCUGCAAAAGUUGCUUCAUUUAAAGUCGGUUGAAUUAUCAUAUAGUACUUUCGUGGGGAGGAAGAUGGUGUGUUCAAAAGGUGGAUUCCCUCAGUUAUGUAAGCUACAAAUACGGUUCCUGCACAACUUGGAAGAGUGGAUAGUCGAAGAAGGGUCGAUGCCAUGUCUUCGUACCUUGUCUAUUCGGUAUUGUAAGAAGUUGAAGGAGCUACCGGAAGGGCUCAAGUAUAUAACUUAUUUAAAGGAACUGGAUAUCAGACAUAACAACAAGGAGUGGAAGAAGAAACUCGCACCAGGUGGGGAAAGUUAUCACAAAGUCAAACACAUUCCUAGUGUUCAAUUAAACUAUCGUGGCAAUUAAUAAGGAGAAUAAAACUGUCUCAGGUAUAUAUUCUUUUUGGUAUAAUGUCAAUAUUGUUCAUUUUGUUGGUUAUGUAUCCUCCUUGAAGUUUAGUGUGAGUCUCAACUCUCUGUUAUUCGGUUUUCAGGUGAACCUACUCAGGAUCAGUACCCACCACUAUCGAUUGUGUGAUAUGAUAAUAAGUCGUUUUGUUGUAUGAAGUUUACAUAUCUUGUUUGUGAUAUAUUUCGUUUAUCUGUUUGCAUGCUCAUUCACUGUAAUACUAAGUUUGAAAUAUAUUUUGUAUGUUGAACCAUAUCUUCUUCGAUGUCUCCGUUGUGUGUGCUUAGUUGAUUUUCAUAGUCGGAACUGGAGAUAGAACGAUGGUUUUAUCAUGACAAAACGCAAGAACAACAACACAUAUAAAUUAGAUAUGUUGUAACAACUAUUUAAAAAAUUGAAUGAUGGAAACCCCAAAUUUGUUUAAAGAAAAUGAUGUUGAUAGUGGUUUUUGAAAAAAAAAAAGGAUUAUGAUGAACAAUAACAAUGAAAACUCAUUGUAAACACGCUUUAGAGAGCCAAACAAAUAAAUCAAUUCUAAGAUUUUUGGUGGAAAGGUAAUUUAAGAGGAGAUGGAAAACGAUAACAGGAAUGAGUCUUUAAAAACACACAUAUAUAUAGAUUGAUAAAGGAUGCUUCAUCUAAGAGUUGUAUUGUUUUGAGAUGGAGACUAUUCGGUGAAAAGAUGCAACGCACCGCAGUUUUGUUUUUUUAUAUCAUUAAAUUCAAUCAAAUAUGACUGUUGGACUUAAAACCUUUUUCUUUUAAAAAGUGACGAUAUCACCAGUUUUGGUAUGCUAUUAUAUAUAUAAUUUUUUUAUAAUGAAAAUAUACAAUUUUAAAAAUUAAUAAUAUUCAGAUUGUUAUGAAAAUAUACAAUUUAUAUAAUGAACAGACACAAUUUUUCAAACUAAUACAUUUCAGUUUUUUUUUAUGAAACAACACAACCAAAGUAGUUAUUUUGAAAAGACACAACUAUUUCGAUUUUUAGAAAAGAUACAACUUUUCAACAUAAGUAAGAUUCAUAACCUUUGAAAUUAAUCAGGAUUGCUAUUAUUAGUAGAUAAAAUAUUUGAUUUUAUCAUAUAUAUAUAUAUCUAUUAAUAAUAGCAAUCCCAAUUAAUUCAAAAGGUUGUGAAUUCUACUUAUGUUGAAAGGUUAUAUCUUUUCAAAAAUUAAAAAUUGUGAUUUUUCAUAUAAGUAUUAUUACAAAAAGACACAACUUUUUAAUUCAAACGAUGUGACUCUUCGAAUUUUUUUUUGAAAAUCUGUAAAUAAUCCAAUGUCCAUGCCUUCUCAAAGCAUAAUUUCCCUAAUCAAAUAAAAUGGUCACAUUCGUAGGGUUUUUAUAAAUACUUUAAAAAUAUAUAUAUAUUUAAAUAAAAAAAUGUGACUAUUUAUAGUUAAAAGUUGUGACUAUUUAUAUAAGUAUUAUCUCAAAAAGAACAACCAAUUAAUAUGAAAAGUUGUGAAUUGAUAGGUUGUGUUUUAAAACAUGUAACUCUACAAAAUAUUAGCUUUAAGAGUUGUGUUUUUUCAUCAUAAAUGAUAUAUUAGUUUUCAAAAGUUAUAAAAUAUUCUAUAAAGUAUCUUUGUACAAUUAUUUGUUUCUAGAGUUGUUUAUUAGUUAGUGUAAAUAGUAAUGUCUUUCUAUUGUAAAAGAAAACUAGAUUUUGACCCGCGCUUUUUAAGCGCGGGUUUUUUUCCGACAAAAAUAAAAGUUUAAAUUGAUUAUUAUUUUGUGUUCAUAUAAUUUUUUUAAGAUUAAAGUCACCAUGAUUUAUAUUGAUGUGAUCAAGCAUCUGCGUUUUUGAAAUUUGGUUGAAAUGUUUUUAAAAAUGAUGUUUGUUUGUCUAAUAGUAUAUGAAAUAUGAAGUGUAAAUAUAUAUAUUGGUAUUGGAAAGAUUGUUGCACACAACUAUAUAUAUAUAUAUAUAUUAACUAUCAAAAUUUAAAAAUAUAAAAGCAAAUAUAUAAAAGGAUUUAAUAUGUAGUUAUUAUAAAGCUAUAUUUUUUUCUAUACAUAGUCAAUAUUUAAAUUAUUGUUGAAAAUUAAAAUCUAAGUUUUUAAUUGCAGGUUUAUUAAUAUAGGUGUAAAAUGAGUUUUAAUAUAAACUAUGACAUUGUCAUAUAUACAUGAUACGUUUUUUUAUUUCACAUGUCCUAUUAGAAACAUACCAUAUAUAGGUCUAUUUAUUUAUACUGCUGGUACAUACGAUUUUAUAUAUACCUUUAUCAAAAUAUGCGAUAUUAUAAGGACUAAAAACCUUUUAACUAACGUUGAGUAAUAUAUGGUAAUAGGAGAAAUAAUAGGUAGACCAAUAUACUAUUAAUUAAAUAAAAGGGUGCAGUAACCUUGUUUAAGUAGAUUUCUCAAGACUGAUUCUCUUUUAAUAGAAUAGAUUUAGUUUUUAAAAAUAGUUAAGGUGUCUUUCUUUAAUAAAUAUCUUCGUGUCUUUCUAUUAAUCUUGUUGUAUUGUGUAACCUUGCAAUGUUUGGUUAUUAACAGUUGCAACUUUUAGUUUCUUAUAUAAAGAAUUUUGGAUUGCGACACAUCACAAAAAUUCAUUUACUUGAUUCACCCAAAACAUACAACAUUUUGUAUAUUUGUUUAUUUUAGAAUAACAACACUUGUGAAACAUAAAACAAGUGUUUCAAAACAUUUCGAUUGCAAAAAAGAAAAGAAAAUACCCAGUAUUCCUCAACAUGCAUACUGCAUAUAUAAUCUCAUACAUCACUCUCCUAAACUCUUUUUUCUUUGUUUUAUUUUUGUUGUAUUAUUGACUAGUAUAUAAUCUUAUAUUAAUAUUAUACUCAUGUGAUGAGAACUUCCCCCCCCCCCCCCCCCACCCCCCCCACCCUUUUCAAAAUUCGACCAAUUAAGUUGGUUCGUUGAAUCGUUAUCGAUUUUUAUAAAUUGGUUCUGCAACGGAUCAUCGUCCAUCGCGCAACACUCCAACCUCGUCUCCCAAGGCACGUUUACAGAUUUGUCAAGUCGUCAUGUUCUUCUGAUCUGAUAAAUGCGUAAUUUGAUGAACUCUUCUCUCGCCUAUUUGCGGUACUAUUAGGCAGAAGAACCCGUCGAUUUACGUCCCGUCACGACGGAUCUCCAGCGGAACUGCUGCGGCGACGCUGCGUUAUGCCACUGCUAUGAGAUCUUAUUCUACGUCGUUUAUGGAAGAGAGGGACACUUUCGGGCCGAUCCAAGUUUCUUCCGGUAAGUACAUGAUAUUUUUUUUUUUACCAUAACGUCUUGACUAUCUCAGUUCUCCAGUAUGUCUUAUCAGCCUUAUCUUUGUUGUCACUGUGUCAGAUUUUGGGGAGCCCAGACGCAGAGACGCUGCAGAACUUCGAAAUCGGUGAUGAGCACGAGCGUAUGUCCAAACCUAUCGUCUGCGGUUUUGGCGUCUUGAAGAAGUGCGUGGCCAAGCAUAGCUAUAAGUCUAUAACCAUAGGUUUUGUCUAAGUCAUGCACAUUGCCGCUGUAACUGAGAUUAAUUGAAGGCUCUUAUUCGUAAGACUGAUCAAAAAGCCAAUAAUGUGGCGGUGAUUUCAACCGGAAAGGAAGAUAAGUUCAAUUAUUAAGCUUCUAAAAAGUACAUAAAAACAUACCUUGACAAUCUAUGAUUAAGAGAUGAACGAAAAUGCAAUGCAGAUGAAUGAAGAGGUUGAAUAGAACGCAGAAAUCAGGAAUCAGAAAAAGAAAAUUGAAAAAAGGAGAUAAUUUGUAAACUGGUUAUCAAAAAUAUAAACGUAUGAAGAGGUGCCAACUAAGAGUCACAAUUUCAUUAAUGGAUAAAAGUCAGACAAUGCUUCACUACCGACAUACAACUUUGGUAGAGUCGUGUCUUAACUAAACCAUUGGAUUAAAAGGUUGCUAAUCUCAACAGUUUCCUGUUUUUUUUUUUGAAGAAAAUUACUAUAAGAAUAUGAAAUGGGACUUGGAACAAAAAAAAAGAAAAAAAAAAGAAAAGGGACUUCACUAACGACACAAAGCUUCAGUAGCGGUAGCGUCUCCUUUUUUUGUCAAAACAAAAAAAUUACUAAUCUGAACAGUUUCCUGUUUUUUAAAAGAAAGUUACUAUAAGAUUAUGAAAAGGGACUUCACUAACGACACAAAGCUUCGGUAGCGUCUCCUUUUUUUAGUCAAAUCAAAUGAUCAGCCCUUGGAUUAAAAGGUGUACUAAUUUCAACCAUUCCUUUAAACAAAAUUAUAAUAUAAAAAAAUGAUGUCAGAUAAAUACAAAUUUUGGUUUGCUAUUAUAUGUAGACCGUGUUUUUUUUGUAAUGAUAUAUCUUUUCAAUAUACAUUAUAUACAACAUUUUAAAAAAACUAUUUAUAAUUUGAAAAGUCGUGAUCAUUCAUAUACAUAUUUGAAAAACUAUAAAUAGCCCAUGUCCAUAAAUUUCUUAUUGUAAAUCUUUCAAAAAUUUAUUAAAAUGGCCAAAAAGAAAAGUUAUGUGCAGUAACCUGAUUACAAAUAAUUUGAAGAUAAUAGACGAAACGAUGUCAACAAAGAAUUGUAGCAAGGGUCAUUCAUGUUUGGCUAGUAAAAAAUUCUAAACGAGAUACUGAAGUUAUUAGUCUUAAUUUCUCUUCAACUAGAUGAAAAUGUGUGCUUUUAUUUCUUACAAAUUUUGCAUUUGUAAUGAUGUAUGUUCCAUGAAACACAUAUUAUGCAUGUCUUAUAUAUUCAUGUGCUAUAUAUUCUUACACUUGGGUUAUAUAAGAAUGUAUGAUCAUGUCACAAAAGCCGGUAAAUUUUAGUAACAUAAUAUUCUUAUUGAUUGUUGACAUUUUAUUUGAGUGGAUAUUUUUGUUUUACAAAACCAGUCAAUUAAUGUAUUUUUUUCUCAUUCUCUUGGGUUGUUUCAUAUUUGUGACAUCAAUAAUCAUUAUCAAUAAAAGAAUAUAGUUAUAUACAAAAUAAUUUUGUAACACGUGUAUUGUCUCAAAAUUAAUUGUAAACAAUUUUCAUAAAAAUUUAUUUUAUAAAAUAUAUUAUAUUUACUUUUAUGAAAUGAGUUCCCGUGCGAUAUCGCACGGGUUCCUUACCUAGUAUUAACAGUGGCGGUUCUACUAAGCUCAAGAAGGUGGCACUUGCCCCCUAUAAAAUCAUUAAAUUCUUUUUAACUUACCCAAAAUUUUGUUACAUACGUUUACUGAAAAUCAUGUUUUAUUUAUAUAGUUGUAUUUACAUAUGAUUUGCCCCCAGUAAAAUUUUGUUCUACAUCCGCCCCUGUAUAUUAAUUAACUUUUAGAAAUCCGACAUUUAUAUUUUUUUGUUACACUAUUUGGUGUAUACAAAAUAUGUUUUAUAGAAUUUAAAAUGUAUUUUUAUAUAUAAUUUUACGAAAUAUUAUCAAAAUAUAUUGAAAUGUUAAGAAAAAAUAGAAAUGAACUUCAUUUGUGAAUAUAAAACAAAUAAUACAAUGUUUAAUGUUUGUACUUUAUGUGUUUAUUAAUUAUAGAAUUUUUACUGCAUAUUGUUAUAAAUAUAUAUAUAUAUAUAUUUUAAAAACAUUUGAAAAGACUAAACACACUAUUAUUUCAAGACUCUGAUCUUAUAACGUGUGUUACUAUUUUCAGAAUUUGAUGUUGAUGAGGAACUAGAAGCCAUGGGUAAGGAAAUGGUGGCAUAUUGUGGAGGACUACCAUUAGCCAUUAAAGUGUUGGGAGGCUUGUUAGCUAAUAAAACCAUGGUUGAAGAGUGGAAAAGAGUAGAUGACAAUAUUCAAACUCAGAUAGUUCGCAUAGAUGACAAAAGUCAAGAUUCUGUUUACCGAGUAUUGUCUAUGAGCUAUGAAGAUUUGCCAAUGCAGUUAAAGCAUUGCUUCCUAUACCUAGCUCAUUUUCCCGAAGAUGACAAGAUACAAGUGGACAGAUUAUAUUAUCUAUGGGCAGCAGAAGGCAUAAUAAAGUCAAGUGGCGAUGGAGAAUAACGAGUCAAGGUCCAACCGGGCAAUCCGGUUUUCAAAACACUAGUCAUCACCAUAAUGAUUCUUUUUUUUAGAGAAAUAUGUUAGCCAUCUAAACAUAUAAUAUAAUACUCAUUAAACUAAGUAUUAAAUUAAUUAUUAAUGUACAAAACAUAUUAUUCCUUCUUUGCUUAAGUAUAAGCUACAAAAUUACAUAAUGUGAUAAAUAUAUAUAAGGAGUUUUCUUGCGCCAUGCGCAAAUAUACUAAUUUUUAGCUAAAUUUUUAUUUAUUUUAUUUUAAAUAAAAAUAAAUUUACGUUUUCAUACUAUUAUUUUUAUAUUUUAAAUUCAUCGGUCUGGAAAAGAGUGAAAUCACAACUAUUUUUUUGUAAUUUUGUUUCAUUUGAUUUGUUUUAUUUAUUUUAAUUUUAUUUUAUAUGAAUUUUAUUGGAGAAGAAUUAUAUUUUAUAUAACUUUGAAUUUUAUUUAUUUAUAUUUAGUGAUUAUUUAUUUUGAAUAUGUUUCUUAUCCUCUAAGUGUAUAAAUUUUAAUAAUGAUUGGGUUUCUGUUUAAAUGUAUAGCUAAUAUGUUAAACUUGUAAACUCAAUUUCUUAAUUAAUCAAAUAAACUAAUGGAUGCUACUAAAAUUUUAAACAUUUAAUCAUCCAAAAAAAUUGAUUAGCAUUGCUUUAGUUUUGUGUUCCCUAAUGCACACUUACACUUUAUUUUAAUAAAAUAUAAAAUAUAUAUAGAAAAUAUGAUAAAUAAGUUAAUUUAAAAUUAAAAUAUAAUUAUAUUUAGUUUAUUUUUAUAAAUAUGAUAUAUAUAAUUUUAUUUUAUUUCAAUGGUGAUAUAUGAAUUAUUAGUUAUUAAUAUACUUUAAAAGUCUUGCCAAAAUAAACAUUUACACAGAAAUGCUAACUUCUAAAUAGUGAUAUAAACAUUAUUAGUCAUUACCAUUUUUAUAAAUUCUUACUAAAAAUAUAUAGAUUUGUAAAAGUUAUUAUUAUUACCAUAUUUAAAAGUCUUUAACAAAAAUAUAAAUUUUUAUAAGAAAAUUUUCAUGUCAAAUUAACUUGAUCUCAUGUCAUUAUUUUCUAAAAACAUGUCAUUUUUUUGGGUGAGAAUGAACACUGUGAUGACAUGUGUACAAAACCACUUUGCAAUUAAUAUUUAGGAGAUACUACAAUCAAUGACUUUGAAUAAUAAUGAUUUGAUAACAAUUUGUGUAUCAUCCAUCAUCUUUAUUUAAUUUUAAAUUAUUAAAAUAAAUUAAUUAAUCAUAUUAAUCAUCUAAUAAAAAAUAGAUUUUCCUUAUAUUUUGAAUUUUAAAGAUGACUAUAAAUUACUAAAAUUGUUAAAAUUAAUGGUUUAAUUUUAUUAUUAUAAUAAGAUACAAAUGAUCAUAAGAACUUAUGAAUAUGAAAUUUCAUUUAAUAGAACUGUAGAUUAAAAUAUAUAUAUAUAUAUAUAUAUAUAUAUAUAUAUAUAUAUUUUAAUAUCGUUUAAAUUUAGCUGUAUAUAUAUAUAUUUUUUUUUCUGAACAUUUGAAAAGACUAGAGACAUUAUUUCAAGGCUCUAAUGUUAUAAUAUGUGUUACUGUUUUCAGAAUUUAUUGUUGAUGAAGAACUAGAAGCCAUGGGUAAGAAAAUGGUCACACAUUGUGGAGGACUACCAUUAGCCGUUAAAGUGUUGGGAGGCUUGUUAGCUAAUAAAACCAUGGUUGAAGAGUGGAAAAGAGUAGAUGACAAUAUUCAAAGUCAGAUAGUUCGCAUAGAUGACAAAAGUCAAGAUUCUGUGUACCGAGUAUUGUCUAUGAGCUAUGAAGAUUUGCCAAUGCAGUUAAAGCAUUGCUUCCUCUACCUAGCUCAUUUUCCUGAAGAUGACAAGAUACAAGUGGACAGAUUAUAUUAUCUAUGGGCAGCAGAAGGCAUAAUAAAGUCAAGUGGCGAUGGAGAAACCACUUGGGAAAUUGGAGAAUACUACAUAGACGAGCUAGUACGGAGAAAUAUGAUUAUUGGAGUAAAAGAGGAUUUGAGUUGCAGAUGGGAGUAUUGUCAAAUGCAUGACAUGAUGAGAGAAGUAUGUUUAUAUAAAGCCAAAGAAGAGAACUUUCUUCAGUUUAUCGAAGUCCCUACUUCUUCCAUCUCCACCAUCAAUGCUCAUACUCCUACCAGAUAUCGCAGACUCGUAGUACACGGUGGUGGUAAUGCAUUUGAUAUGCUGGGAUGUAAAAACAAUAAAAAAGUUAGAUCUGUUUUGGGGUUUGAACUCGACAGCAACUUGUGGAAGCAGUCAGCUCAAGGACUCAGAAAUUUACAAUUACUUAGGGUCUUACAUCUGAGUUUAGAUUAUAAAAGCGACUCUAGAGGGUGGAGAAUACCUUCGAGCAUUGGAAAACUCAUUCAUUUGAGAUAUUUGAGCUUAGACAUGGGUUGGGCAACUCAUGUACCUUCUUCUUUACGGAAUCUAAAGCUUCUAAUCUAUUUGAGAAUUUCCUCCUGGGGACUGGAAAGAGUUCAUCUGCCAAGUAUCUUUAACGAGAUGGUACAGUUGAGGGUCCUGAUUCUUCCCCGUUCUUUUGACGCUAAAACAAAGUUGGAAUUGGGUAAUCUCGUGAACCUGGAGUACCUGAUCGGCUUCCGAUCAGAAUACGGUAGCAUCACAGACUUCCUCCGGAUGAAAAAGCUCAGGACUCUCGAGACCUGGAGAAGCUUACAUUGAUCAAUGAGAACAACAAAUCCGAUGGGGUUUAUGAUUUGGAUUUCGUUUGGAAUUUCAUUAAGCUAAGGCAUUUAGUGAUAUGGAUGCAUAUGCCAAGGCUUCCUGAUCACUCUCGAUUUCCUCCCCACCUUGCACACAUAUCUCUAAUUAACUGUAAAAUGGAGGAGGAUCCACUGCAGAUUCUGGAAAAGUUGCUUCAUUUAAAGUCGGUUGAAUUAGGUUACAGAUCUUUCGUGGGGAGGAAGAUGGUGUGUUCAAAAGGUGGAUUCCCUCAAUUAUGUAAUCUAGAAAUAGAGUUACUAAACGACUUGGAAGAGUGGGUAAUCGAAGAAGGGUCGAUGCCAUGUCUUCGUACCUUGUCUAUAUGGUUCUGUGACAAGUUGAAGGAGCUACCGGAAGGGCUCAAGUAUAUCACUUCUUUAAAGGAACUGGAAAUCAUACAUAAGAACAAGGAGUGGGAGACGAAACUCGUACCAGGUGGGGAAAGUUACCACAAAGUCCAACACAUUGUUACCACUAUGAUGGCGACGAAUAAGGAGAGUAAACCGGUCUCAGGUAUGUUUUUUUGGUAUAAUGUCAAUAUUGUUCUUCUUGAAGUUUUGUGUGCAAGUCUCAACUAUCUAACCUUUUUAUUAUUCGGUUUUCAGGUGAACCUACUCAGGAUCAGUACCCACCACUACCGAUUGUGUGAUAUGAUAAUAAGUCGUUUUUGUUGUAUUGGUGUGUGAAGUUUACAUAUCUUGUUUGUGAUAUAUUCCGUUUAUCUAUUUGCAUGCUCAUUCACUGUAAUGCUAAGUUUGAAAUACAUUAUUUGUAUGUUGAACCAUAUCUUAUUCGAUGUUCUCCGUUGUGUGUGCUUAGUUGACUUGUAUAGUUACCGAACCGAACCUGAGUUUUCCAAAUUUGUCUUUUACUACUAAACCGGACAAAUUGAUGGUUUAAAAACAAAACUCGGUCUGGAUUAUAAUAAAAUCAGAUCAUGAGAGACUACCAAACAAGAGAGUCCUUUCGAUCUCUGCAAAUUUGUUUUUGACUCUAAUUAAGAGGAGAAGAAGUGUACUAGUUGAAGCGAAGAAUCCAAAACGCGGUGAUCAAUCGCCAAACGUAUGCAUAACUGGGUUAGAGCUUCCUCUUCCGAUCUCACGGGAACUCCUCCACAGCCUAGGAGGUAAAUUAAUUACUUCUUCUCCAUUCAAUUUUCGAUUUUAAUUUCAGCUGCUGAUUUUUAUUCUUCAAUCAGUGGACAUACAGCUGUCAAUGUCGGAAAAUCCAUGGUCGUGGUGUUCGGCGGUCUCGUCGACAAAAAGUUCCUCAACGACAUCAUUGUUUAUGACAUUGGUAAUAUCAUACUUCAGCCUAGGAUUAUUGAUUCCUUGAUCCAAAGAAGAUGCUUUUUUUUUAAAUUUCCCUUGAGUUACUGUCUUCGCUUGUAAUAUAAAGACUAGUGUUUCUUGUAGUUUAUUGUGUGUUAAGCUUAGUUAGGCUAAUGCGUACAUCAAAGAUAGAGUUACUUUGCAAAAAAAAAACUGUAGAAAACUGAAAACUUCACCACUAAAAUUAUUAGACUCACUAUAGGAUACUCUCUUUCUUAUUCCGCAUGGCAUUGUUUUAAGUACCAGUGAAAUUAGUUUCUUUACGGUCUGCUAGUAUAUGUGGUGGUUAUAUCAAGUACAUAGUUUCCUAUCCAGCUUUUUUAAUCGGUUUGUCUUAUGAUUUGCUUCUUCUUUAUCCUGUCGACUAGAAAACAAACUCUGGUUUGAGCCAGAGUGUACUGGCAGCGUUUCUGAAGGAAAAGUUGGCCCUACACCUCGCGCCUUUCAUGUUGCCAUAACAAUUGAUUGCCAUAUGUUCAUCUUUGGUGGACGUUCUGGUGGCAAGAGGUACUCACUACUAUAUAUUUUCUAGUUAGAAGCGUUUUUACAUUUCUACUUUCACCGGAAUAGCUUAUUUCUAGAAAUAAAUCAAUUUCAGAUUGGGUGACUUCUGGGUUCUAGAUACAGGUAAGUGUACAAUCAUAACAAUGUCAGUGACAUUAUGUCACUGAGACCUGCCUGGGAACUUUUUAAUACCCUGCUGCUGACAUUUUCUGCAGAUAUAUGGCAGUGGUCUGAGCUAACCAGCUUUGGCGACUUACCUACACCUCGUGAUUUUUCUGCUGCCGCUGCUAUUGGCAACCAGAAAAUCGUGUUGUGAGUAUCUGAAAUUUUAGACGUUCCAUCAGCUUGUUUCCUGCAUUGGCUUAGCCUAUGAUUAUUGGCAGGUGUGGCGGCUGGGAUGGUAAAAAAUGGCUGUCAGAUGUGUAUGUUAUGGAUACAAGUAAAACUUUAUACCUCUCGUCUACUUCAGUUUUGUAAUAAACUGUUUUUAAGUUUCUGAUAAUGUCAGCUUGCUUUGUAUUUGCUAGUGUCCCUUGAAUGGAUGGAGCUGUCGGUUUCGGGGUCGUUACCGCCUCCUAGAUGUGGUCAUACAGCCACCAUGGUUGAGAAACGUUUACUUGUUUUUGGUGGCCGAGGUAUAACACCAGAACCAGAAUCUUUGUUUUGCUUGAGCUGAUGACAACUAAACUGAGACUAUGGUUAUCUUUGACAGGAGGUGGUGGCCCUAUCAUGGGUGAUCUUUGGGCUUUGAAGGGUUUAAUAGAUGAAGGUUCAUCCUUACUUAAAUUCUUAAAAAUUGCAUUGUUAUGUUAUGUUUGCUAAUCUUAUUGUGGUUUACCUUUGUUGUGGAAGAAAGAACGUGAAACACCUGGAUGGACCCAACUAAAGCUUCCUGGUCAAGCACCAUCAGCUCGAUGUGGUCACACUGUCACAUCCGGAGGACAUUAUGUAUGUCUAUUUCAGCUUCCGUUUGCUCUUUUGUAUAAAUAGGUUCGCAUGACAUACAUCACUCACAUCAUUAAUUUUCAUGUAUGAAGCUUCUGUUAUUUGGGGGACAUGGAACUGGUGGAUGGCUGAGUCGUUAUGAUGUCUAUUAUAAUGACACUAUAAUUUUAGACAAAGGUAAAUUCUUGCUUAUGAGAUUCGUCACUCUAAAUUUAUAUAUUCACAUUCUAGUAACUGCUCAGUGGAAGCGCUUACCGAUAAGCAAUGAUGAGCCUCCUCCACCUCGAGCUUACCAUACAAUGACUAGUAUUGGAGCUCGUCAUCUUUUAAUUGGUGGUUUUGAUGGAAAAUCAACCUUCGGUGAUCUUUGGUGGUUGGUUCCUGAAGGUAUCUUUCUCUUAUUUUAUACUGAUGUUUUAGUCCAACUUAGCUAUCGUUCUGUGUACACGCAUCAUCAGUUACUUAUAGUUGGAAACUCUUUAGGCAAUUGUAGAGACACUUAAUUUCUAGCAUAAUCUUUUUUUUUCUUCUUUAUCAAGUUUGUAUUGAAAGUUUUGAAGUUUUACUGAACUGUUUAGCCUUCUGAAAAUGUUGUUAUUCGUUUUUUUUCUUUUUUUCUUUUCUCAGAUGAUCCCAUAGCCAAGAGGUCUUCCGUACCUCAACUUAGAAACCCUCCUGAGACUAAAGAGUCAGAGAGAGAUUUGGAUACGGUAACUGUGGUUCCUGCUCAUCAUCUUAUGUGUUUCUCGCCAAUGCAGUUAAAUUAGCUUUUCAACGUGUUUUAACACCAAGAGUUUGGUCACAGCAGGAAAGAGGACAAGAGGGAUUCACUAUCGUCGACUUGCAAAAGAAAAUGGGAAUCUCUGUUGCAUCAGGGUUACUACGCCGUCAUAUCCCCGAGGAGUCAGAAGAUCAAGAGUUCGUUGAGUUAGGAACCAGAUUGAUUGAGGGAGAUGUAAUUGAUAAUCGAACCUCCAUGAUUCAGGUUAAUUUUUCCUCUUGUCUUUUUCAGGAUGUGUGAUUGUGUUAUUCUUGUACUGAAAAUGCUUCUCAACGAUUAGAUGGCAGCUGAAGCACUUCGUCAACAUUGGAAAGAGUCCACUCCUGAGACUUUGCAGUUAAAAGAGCUUAAUGCCUUGCUUCGAGAUUAUCAGCGACUUGUUUCCCGAAAAUACACGUGAGUUCUUACAUUAUCUUGUUUAUGUAGAUUAUCUUUUAUUUCAAUAAAAAUGGUUGUUCUUUGAUUGCGCUUGGAAUGGCAUUAGAAUAACUUAGAUAAAUCUCCUGAGAGUUUAGGAGUGUUAUAUAGAGUUAAUAUCAAUAUCAUUUUUUGUGUCUUGAAUAGCCCUUGAGACUUUUUAAUCCAAGAAUUGCCAAAACUGAUUCAUUUCUUAAUGUUGUGCAGUCCUCACAUAAAAGUUGAUUGUAAAUGCAUCGCUUUGUACCCCUUUGAAAAGUAUUAAACAUCAUGAAAUUUCACAUUUGAUUCUUCCUUUCCGUCACACAUGUUUGUUUUCGUUGUUGUGGCGUGAGUCUCAGAGCACAGAGCAGCUUAACAUCUACUGAUUUUGGCCUCCCCGGAAAGCAGACGUUUACGUUUUAUCAUAUCAAAACUUCUUCCGAGGUAAUACCACAUACUUUCCUCCUGUUAUGAGCUCUCUUGAACAUUUGACAGCAAUCAAUCAACACAUCAGGCUCUUGGCACAUGCUCUGACAUGUCAAUUUAACAUUUUGUUAUUCUCAGUUACGGAUGGAUGACAUCCCGAAGUUGCUGGAAGAAUACAAAACCCUUGUAAUCUGAUUGAGGAGCUCUGCCAUGAAACUCACAAGGAGAAUACAAAACUCAUCAAGUAGCUGCCAAGAAGAUCACCAAGAUUGCUAUCAGCACUACCAUUGCAAACAACAAAACUAAAAAAAGUCUCAACAGAAUCAUAUAUCUGAUAGACAACAAGACAUGUACAACUUCUUUUUAGUCAAGAACAAAAACAUGUACCCAUAUGUAAGAUUUUCCAUUAUCUCCACUUAAUCCGUAUCUCAGCGUCUGCUCUUUAUUUUUCUAGCCUCUUGCAUUUUACUUUGAAAAUAGAUUGAUUUGCCUUGAAGCUAAUGUUCGAACCCCGAUCCAUCUUUGAGCAACUGUUUUAGUUCCGUGUCUAGGAGACCAGUGUUCUGCACUAUCGAAUCUUGGUCUCCUACUUGAGAUGUGAUGCUUCCAUACAAUGUCCAGCCACUGGCGUUGCCUAGUAAUUAAUAUCAUCUCCACCAUAUCAAUAUUUGCUGCAUCCCCUCCUCCAUAAGAAACAUAAAAUAUAAAAGUUAGGUAGCUCUAAAACACUUCUGAUCAUAACAAAAAUUAAGAUCUAAACCACACUUGAUGAUUACGUAAGUUUGUUCGUAAUUUUUACCAAUCUUUGGUAUGAGGAACUGGAGAAAAGAUUCCAAAUAGACUGAGGAAGAAGGACAUGCAGAUUUCAGAGAUUUGAUAGUUUGGUGUCAAGGCCACAAAGCAUCAAGCUUGUUAACAUGUCGUAGUAGUAGAACCAGAAGAACUUGACCACAGUACGGUCGUAUCCUAUCAUUGAGUAAAGGAUUAGAGUAUGUAAACUCUAGUUUGAAUGGUGUCAUACUACAUGAUCUAAUAACUUUGUCUAUAUUACCAAUUUUCCCAAUUAAUUAUUUCUAACGAAAAUAUAAUGUAUAAAUAUCAAUGAAUAUAUUUUGAAAGUUGAAAAUAAGAGAGAAAUUUUUUUUUACCAAAAAGAAUAAUAAGGGAGAAACUAUAGUGAAUGUUUCGAGUGGGCCUAAAGCAAAUGCAUUAUUGCCUUGCGAAAAAAUCAUUAUCGCCAGAGACUAGAAAAAAACUCCUAUUUUCUUUUUAAUUCAAAAUUAGAACCACAAGAUGACUGUCAUAGACUGUCGAUACUCUUUCAUUAUUUUUUCUUCCAAAGAACGUCGCUAAGCAAGUUGCAGAUCUGUUACAUGUAAGGUAAAUCACGUUCUUGUAUCAUUAUUUGUCUGUUUAACUUGCUCUGAUCUGUCUUUUGGGCUCUGUGGUGGUUGAAUCUGAAUUUAAAAACAAAAAUUCGUUGCAUUGUUACAAAUCUUGUUUUACGAAUUUAAAGCAUUUAAUCAUCAAUGCUUGAAUAAAAGUAAGUUAAGUAAAGUUCCUCUGACAGGUAUCAUGUUUUAUUAGAUCAACCAAGGAUUAUCAUAACCGGUUUUAAAUCUUACUAUACAAGUUUGUACUCAUAUGUUGACGGUGGAACAGGAGAAUAGCGAUGGCUGAGGGAAUUGUAUCGUUUGGAGUGCAGAGACUCUGGGAGCUCUUGGCUCGAGAAUCUGAGAGACUGCAGGGAGUUCAUGAGAAAGUUGAUGAUCUAAAAUGUCAGAUGAGAAUGUUACAGUCGUUGUUGAAAGAUGCAGAUGCCAAGAAACAUGGGAGUGAAGUAGUGAGAAACUUCUUGGAAGAUGUCAAAGACAUUGUUUUUGAUGCUGAAGAUAUAAUUGAAUCCUUUCUUUUGAAAGAAUUGAGUGGAAACCAAAAAGGGAUCAAGAGGCAUCUGAAAAGACUUUCUUGUUUCUUAGUGGAUCGCCGAAAUAUUUCUAUGGACAUUGAAGGCAUAACUAAGAGAAUGUCCAAGCUUGUCGAGCAAAUGCAGAGCUUUGGAAUACAACAGAUCGUCUACAGAUCACCGUCUCUACAAGAGAGACAGAGGGAAAUCCAACAAACAUAUCCUGAGAAAUCUCAAAAGGAUCUUGUGGCCGUGGAACAGAGUGUUAAGGAACUGGUUGGUCAGUUGGUGGAGAAUGAUCGCAUCCAAGUAGUUUCCAUAUCCGGGAUGGGUGGUAUUGGAAAAACCACUCUUGCGAGACAAGUCUUUCAUCAUGACAUUGUUCGAAGUCAUUUUGAUGGAUUCGCGUGGAUCUGCGUUUCGCAAGAUUUUAAGCGGAAGGAUAUUUGGCAAAAGUUAUUGCAAGACCUUAGACCACAUGAUAAGGGCAUCGAACAUAUGAAUGAGAAUACACUCCAGGCUGAGCUCUUUCACUUGUUGGAGACAUCUAAAUAUUUAAUUGUCAUGGAUGAUGUAUGGAAAAAAGAAGACUGGGAUAUAAUAAAACACGUUUUCCCCCAAGAAAGAAGAGGUGAGCUCUCUAAUUGUACAUACAUUACUUAAGAACUCUCCAUAGCUAUUUCAUAAAUACCUUUUCAGUCUCUGAGAUGAAAGGAAAUACAAUUGCAGGUUGGAAGAUGAUUCUUACUUCACGUGAUGAAAGUGUUGGUUUCCAUGCAGACCGAACAUGUUUUCCCUUUAGACCAAAAACUCUUACUCCUGAAGAAAGUUGGAAGCUAUGUGAGAGCAUAGCAUUCCCUAGAAGAGAGAUAACAGGUACGUUUUUAAUACAAGAAUCAUAUGAAUCAUUAAGGCCAAAAAGCAUGAUAUCUCUUACAUGCCUUCUUAUAAAAAAACUUGUGUAGUAAUUCCCAAAUUAUCGUCUCUGGAAUGACAUACACUAAAAACUCUAUAAAUUAAUAAUACUAAAACUAUGAAAUUUUAUUAAUUUAUAGAAUUACUAAUUUUUUCAAAGUUUCAGUUUUAGAUUUUUUUUACACUAUUUUUAUUAUAAAAACUAGGUAAGGAACCCGUGCGAUAUCGCACGGGAACUCAUUUUAUAAAUUGAUAGUAAAGAUAUACACAUUAAAAAAUUAUGCAGAAUUUAAAUUAUUAUCUUGAACUUAUUUUAAUAAGAUUACAAAUAUGUCACGUUGUGGAAUUUAUACUUUUGUAUAAAACAUCUUAUUGUGCUAUCAAAAAAAGUUCAUGUGACAUUAAUGUAAAACUAAAAUAAGGAGAAAAUACAUAUCUUUUGAUUUUCCAUAAAAUUAAAAAAAUAUAUAAUAUAAGUAAAUUGAGAAAUAACCACAAACCAUAUCAAUAAAAGUAUUCAAAAUGAAAAGACACAUAGUUUCAUAUAUCAUAUAUUGUUUUACUGAAAAUAUUUGUCAAAUAACUUAUUAGUGACAAUAUUUUAUUUGUUUCAAUUAUUGUUAUACCAGCCAAAAUAGAACUAAUUAUAUAUUAAUUUACUUUUUAUAGUAACAAUAAACUCUUGACUAACAAAACUUUCACUAAAAUGACAGUAGGACAUUGUCUUCAGCCUCAUUGUCAAUUUUAUUUUCAUGUAUACUAUAUUUAAUAUCAAUUUUCUUUAAAAUAAAAUUAUCAUUUUAUGUAUUCAGAAUAACUAACAAGUUACAAUAGAUUUAACUAAUUCAGUUGGUUAUUUAAUAGAAUCUUUGAAAUAUAUUUGUUAACAUUAUAAAAGACUAUGUAUAUGAACCAUCAUAGGGAAUCAACUUUACUCAAUAUAUAUAUAUAUAUAUAUAUAUAAUAACUUUAAUGUUCUGUUUAUAUUUUAUUAGAAUAAAUAUUGUUUACAACUAUGCCUCCAUCUUUUUAAGUUUAUUCUUAUAGUUUUACAUGAUAUUUAGCUCCAACAACUUCUUGAACUACUUUCAAUUAUUUUCCGUGAUAUUUAAAUAAUUUUUCCUAUUUAAGAGACAAUAUUAGAAUUAUCAGUUUGUAGUAUAUUAAGAAAAUUUAUAUUUCUAUGUUGGUAAAAAUAGUUAUUAUUUUUAUAAAUUUAUUUACCUGCUCUAUUUUUGGGAAAAAUAUUAAGGAGAUUGGAUAUCAUAAUAAAUAUAUGUUGACUUAAGUUGAUAUGACAUUUCUCACUUAUAUUAUUUCCUUUAAUUUCCGGAAGAGUUCUUAUAAAACACCAGCACUUAUUAUAUUAAAACUAACAUAAUAAUUAUGGAUUUAAAUCAUGAUGACUUUUGUUGUAUCAAUAAAUAAUAUUUUUGAAGUCAAGGUUGUAUUGAGAUAUAAAUACUGUAGAACUCUAUCGGUUUCUCAAUCAAAUUUCCAAGCUUAGACUAAGAUAUAAGAAUAACAAAUAGAGCUAUGCAUGUUCAUAUGUAUUUGUUCAAAAAUCUUUGAAAAUAAUUUAACAGUGAAUCUCUAUCUUUUCUAAUCUAUAGAUUGUUGUCAUUUUUUUUGUGAUUUUUCUAUUCCCACAACAACUUAUAUAGAUGACUAAAGGUUACAAUGGUUGAUACCAAACAUUGCAAUGGUUAGAUAAUAGUUGCAAUAAUUAACAUCAGAAGUUACAAUGGAUUAUCACCAAAUACUACAAUCACUAACAUUGCAAUGAUUUAUUACCAAAGAUUGCAUUGGUUCUUCACUAAAAUUAUUGUCACCAACAGUUGCAGCGAUAUCUUUAGACAUUUUGAUAACUUUUUUUAACAAAUAAAAAAAUUUAGGAUGAAAAACACAUCCUUAUACAUUUUAACAACAUCUUUUAAACCAAUUUAAUUCCUAAAAUGAAAGUAACAUUUUUAAGAUGAAAGGAUCCAUACUUAUAUUUUUUACAAUAUUUUUUGAAGAACGCAAUUUUUAAUAUGAAAAGACACAUUGUUAAGAUCAAAAAUUAUAACCAUUGAUAUUUAUUUGGAGAAAAUAUACAUUUUUACACAUUUUGAUAAUUUUUUAACAAAUGAAAAUUUAGGAUGAAAAGACAUAUUUUAUACGUUUUAGGAACUUACUUUAAACCAAUGCAAUUCUUAAAAUGAAAUGACAUAUUAUUAAGAUGAAAAGUUACAUACUUAUAUAUGUGACAACAUUUUUUAAAGUAGUGUCAUUUUUAAGAUGAAAAGACACUUCGUUAGGAUGAAAAGUUACAACCUUUGACAUUUAUUUGGAGAAAAUAUAUAUUUUUAGACGUUUUGACAACUUUUAUUAAGAAAUACAGUUUUUUUUAGGAUUAAAAGAUACAUCUUUAUACAUUUUAACAAUUUCUUCAAAACAAAUGCAAUUCGACAAUGAAAAGACACAUUGUUAAGAUGAUAAUAUUUUUACUUAUAUAUUUGACAACAUUUUUUUAAAGCAAUGCCAUUUAAAUGAAAAAUAAUACUUUGUUAGGAUGAAAAAUUACAACAUUUAACAUUUAUUUUUUAACAAAUGCAAUUUGUAGGAUAAAAAGACACAUCCUUAUACAUUUUAACAACUUCUUUUAAACCAAUGCAAUUCUUAAAAAUGAAAAGACAUACUUUUAAGAUGAAAAGAUACAUACUUGUAUUUUUUUAGGACAUUUUUUAAUAAGAUAAAAAGACACUUUGAUAUAAUGAAAAGUUACAAUUUUUGACAUUUAUUUGGAUAAACCACAUCUUUAGACAUUUUGACAACUUUUUUUAAUAAAUGCAAUUUGUAUGAAACUUAUACUUAUACACUUUGACAAUUUCUCUUAACCCAAUGCAAUUUUAAAAAUAAAAUAAAAUGUACUAAUAUAUUUUAACGACACUUUUAAAACAAUGCUCUUUUUAAGAUGAAAUGACACAUAAUUACAAAGAGACACUUUUUGAGAUAUUUUAAUAAUUUUUUAAAAAAUUAUCUUAUAUAAUGAGAAGACACAAUUUUAAAACUAAUAUUUAUAGAAAAACACUUAUUAGGAUAUUUUAACAAAUUUUAAACUAAUAAUUUUACUUAUAGUCUAAGAAAUUCAACCUAUAAUAGUUUUGAUCUUGAGACUUCUAGUUUACAGAUGUGUAAACCAGUAAAUAGCCAUUUAAAUUUAAUUGAAUGCAAGACAAGAUUGAUAAAAGUCAACUACUUAUGUUCGCUAAAUAUCUUGGAAAAAGGUUCUAAAUUUAAAUUGUUAUUUUCCUAUAUAUACGUAACGACACAAGUGAUAAAAGAUGCUACUUUUGAUAAAUAAAUGGUCAUUAACGAAAUAUAGAUGCAAAUAACUAAAAAUAAAUAAAAAAUUUGUCAGAUUUGUUUGUUGUCAAAGAAAUUGUAAGAUGUGUUUUGCCUUUAGUUUUCGUUAAGAAUUGAAUAUAUUUAAAACUCUAGACUUUUACAUCAUAUUUGUUUGUCUCUAACCAACAAUUGAUAUGUUUCCGAGAAAUAAUAUAUAAAUAAAAAGAUCUUUUAAUGAGUUUUAUAAUCUCAGUAGUUCGCACAUCUCCAAACCAGGCAGUAGAAAACAAUGUAAAUUUGCAAUUCAUGAGUGGACAAUUAUAUUAUUUUGUGAACAAUUAUAUUGACAUGGGGGAUUCCUAAGUUUAAAAUGUGACACCUAUGCAGAUUUAAAUAUUCCAGUGGAAUUAAACCAUUCCCAUUAAAAAGAAAUUGAUGAUAAUUCCCACGAGAAUAACACUCUCCAAUUAAGAGACACAUUGUUUGAUUAACUCAUGACGGUCAUCACCAACCGGUUUUCCUCUAAUAGAUUUACUGAAUGACAGACAACCCAUUUUUUGUACAUCGUAAUUUGGAAAGCAUUAAUCUUAGACUCUGACAAAACGCAAGAACAACAACACAUAUAAAUUAGAUAUGUUGUAACAACUAUUAAAAAAAUUGAAUGAUGGAAAUCCUAAAUUUGUUUAAAGAAAAUGACGUUGAUAGUGGUUUUUGAAAAAAAAUAUAUGGGAUUAUGAUGAACAAUAACAAUGAAAACUCAUUGUAAACACGCUUUAGAGAGCAAAACAAAUAAAUCAAUUCUGAGAUUUUGGGUGGAAAGGUAAUUUAAGAGGAGAUGGAAAACGAUAACAGGAAUGAGUCUUUAAAAACACACACAUAUAUAUAGAUUGAUAAGGAAUGCUUCAUCUCAGAGUUGUAUUGUUUUGAGAUGGAGACUAUUCGGUGAAAAGAUGCAACACACCGCAGUUUUGUUUUUUUAUAUCAUUAAAUUCAAUCAAAUAUGACUGUUGGACUUAAAACUUUUUUCUUUUAAAAAGUGAUAAUAUCACCAGUUUUGGUAUGCUAUUAUAUAUAUAAUUUUUAAUAAUGAAAAGAUACAAUUUUAAAAAUUAAUAAUAUUCAGUUUGUUAUGAAAAUAUACAAUUUUUAUAAUGAACAUACACAAUUUUUCAAACUAAUACAUUUCAGUUUUUCUUAUGAAACAACACAACCAAAGUAGUUAUUUUGAAAAGACACAAUUAUUUAGAUUUUUAGAAAAUACACAACUUUUCAACAUAAAUGAGUUUCAUAACCUUUGGAAUUAAUCAGGAUUGCUAUUAUUAGUAGAUAAAAUACUUGAUUUUAUCAUAUAUAUAUAUAUAUAUUAAUUAACUUUUAGAAAUCCGACAUUUAUAUUGUUUUUGUUACACUAUUUGGUGUAUACAAAAUAUGUUUUAUAGAAUUUAAAAUUUAUUUUUAUAUAUAAUUUUACGAAAUAUUAUCAAAAUAUAUUGAAAUAUUAAGAAAAAAUAGAAAUGAACUUCAUUGUGAAUAUAAAACAAAUAAUACAAUGUUUAAUGUUUGUACUUUAGUGUGUUUAUUAAUUAUUGAAUUUUUUACUGCAUAUUGUUAUAAAUAUAUAUAUUUUAAGAACAUUUGACAAGACUAAACACAUUAUUAUUUCAAGACUCUGAUCUUAUAACGUGUGUUACUAUUUUCAGAAUUUGAUGUUGAUGAGGAACUAGAAGCCAUGGGUAAGGAAAUGGUGGCAUAUUGUGGAGGACUACCAUUAGCCGUUAAAGUGCUGGGAGGCUUGUUAUCUAAUAAAACCAUGGUUGAAGAGUGGAAAAGAGUAGAUGACAAUAUUCAAAGUCAGAUAGUUCGCAUAGAUGACAAAAGUCAAGAUUCUGUUUACCGAGUAUUGUCUAUGAGCUAUGAAGAUUUGCCAACGCAGUUAAAGCAUUGUUUCCUCUACCUAGCUCAUUUUCCCGAAGAUGACAAGAUACAAGUGGAGAGAUUGUAUUAUUAUUGGGAAGCAGAAGGAAUAAUAACGUCAAGUGGCGAUGGAGAAACCACUAGGAAAAUUGGAGAAGACUACAUAGAGGAGCUAGUAAGGAGAAAUAUGGUUAUUGGAGUAAAAGAGGAAUUGAGUUGCAGAUGGGAGUAUUGUCAAAUGCAUGACAUGAUGAGAGAAGUAUGUUUAUAUAAAGCCAAAGAAGAGAACUUUCUUCAGUUUAUCAAAGUCCAUACUUCUUCCACCUCUAACAUCAAUGCUCAUACUCCUACCAGAUCUCGCAGACUCGUAGUACACGGUGGUGGUAGUGCACUUGAUAUGCUGUUAUGUAAAAGCAAUCAAAAAGCUAGAUCUGUUUUGGGUUUUGGACUCGACAGCAACUUGUGGAAGCAGUCAGGUCAAGGACUCAGAAAUUUACUUUUACUUAGGGUCUUAGAUUUAAGUUUAGAAGAUAAAAGCGACUCUAGAGGAGGGAGAAUACCAUCCAGCAUUGGAAAGCUCAUUCAUUUGAGAUAUUUGAGCUUAGACAUGGGUAGUGCAACUGAUGUACCUUCUUCUUUACGGAAUCUAAAGCUUCUAAUCUAUUUGAGUAUUUACUCCAAUGAAAGAGUUCAUCUGCCAAGUAUCUUUAAAGAGAUGGUAGAGUUGAGGUUCCUGGCGCUUCCCCCUCUUAUUGACGCUAAAACAAAGUUGGAAUUGGGUAAUCUUGUGAACCUGGAGUGCUUGACCGGCUUCCGAUCAGAAAACGGUAGCAUCACAGACUUCCUCCGAAUGAAAAAGCUCAGGAAUCUCGAGAUACAUCUCAAAGGCAGGUAUACUUCUGAAAUUCUAGCGUCAUCUCUCUGUGAAUUAAGAAACCUGGAGGUGCUUAGCUUGAUCGAUGAGUACCGAUCCGGUGGGGCUUAUGAUGUGGAUUUCGUUUGGAAUUUCAUUAAGCUAAGGCAUUUAGGGCUGAGCAUACAUGUGACAAGGCUUCCUGAUCACUCUCGAUUUCCUCCCCACCUUGCACACAUAUCUCUAUGUUUCUGUGAAUUGGAGGAGGAUCCACUGCAGAUUCUGGAAAAGUUGCUUCAUUUAAAGUCGGUUGUAUUACAAUACAGAUCUUUCGUGGGGAGGAAGAUGGUGUGUUCAAAAGGUGGAUUCCCUCAAUUAUGUAAGCUAGACAUAGUGUCCCUAUACGACUUGGAAGAGUGGGUAAUCGAAGAAGGGUCGAUGCCAUGUCUUCGUACCUUGGAAAUAUGGUAUUGUGAAAAGUUGAAGGAGCUACCGGAAGGGCUCAAGUAUAUCACUUCUUUAAAGGAACUGGAUAUCGCACAUAAGAACAAGGAGUGGAAGACGAAACUCGUACCAGGUGGGGAAAGUUACCACAAAGUCCAACACAUUCCUAGUGUUCAAUUACACUAUCAUAGCGACGACUCUGAUAUUGACGAAUAAGGAGAAUACAACCGUCUCAGGUAUAAUAUUCUUUUUGGUAUAAUGUCAAUAUUGUUCAUUUUGUUUGUUAUGUAUCCUCCUUGAAGUUUAGUGUGAAAGUCUAAACAGCUGUUAUUCGGUUUUCAGGUGAACCUACUCAGGAUCAGUACCCACCACUAUCGAUUGUGUGAUGUGAUAAUAAGUCGUUUUUGUUGUAUUGGUGUAUGAAGUUUACAUAUCUUGUUUGUGAUAUAUUCCGUUUAUCUGUUUGCAUGCUCAUUCACUGUAAUACUAAGUUUGAAAUACAUUAUUUGUAUGUUGAACCAUAUCUUCUUCGAUGUCUCCGUUGUGUGUGCUUCGUUGAUUUGUUUAGUCCGAACUGGAGAUAGAAUGGUGCUUUGAUAGUGUGAUCACUGAACAUCAUUCUUAACACGAUUUUAUCAUUUGGUUUAACGAAGGUCAAGAUAUUGAGGGAACCCUGAGUUUUCCAAAAAUUUUAAGUAACAAGAGAAACCGGUUAAUUCCAAUCCAGUUCUGUAAUUUGUCUGUCACUACCAAACCGGACCAUAUUGAUGGUUUAAAAACAAAGCUCGGUCUGGAUUAUAAUAUCAAAGAUUAAACAAAGAGUCCUUUCGAUCUCUGCAAAUUUGUUUUGACUCUGAAGAGGAGAAGAAGUGUACUUUCAAUCGCCAAGCGUAUGCAUAACUGGGUUAGAGCUUCCUCAUCCGAUUUCACCGGAACUCCUCCACAGCCCAGGAGGUAAAUUAAUUACUUCUUCUCCAUUCAAUUUUCGAUUUUAAUUUCAGCUGAUGUUUUUUAUUCUUCAUCAGUGGACAUACAGCUGUCAAUGUCGGAAAAUCCAUGGUCGUGGUGUUCGGCGGCCUCGUCGACAAGAAGUUCCUCAACGACAUCAUUGUUUAUGACAUUGGUAAUAUCAUACUUUAGCCUUAGGAUUAUUGUUUCCUUGCUUCAAGAAAGAUGCUUUCUUUCUCACGAGUUACGUUCUUGGCUUGCUCUGUUUGUAAUGACUAUUGUCUCUAGUAGUUUAUUUGAUAGAACGAUGCUUACAUCAAAGAUAGUUACUUUGCAACAAAAAAAAAAAACUAUAGAAAGCUGAAAACUUCAAGAUGAGAUUAUUCGAUUCGGUGUUGUUGAAGAGGAAUCAGAUGGAUACUCUCUUUUCUUAUUUUGCUAGUUUUUGUUUCUGAGCUUCUUUUGUCCCCUCCUUGGCCUUGUUUUAAGUAUCAUACUAGAUCUUGACCCGCACACCCGUGCGGAUGUAUUUAAAAAAAAAAAUAUGAUAUAUGAUGUUAUUUGCUUUUUAUGUCACUAUUUAGGGUUGGGCAAAAACUCAAAUUCGAAAAAUCAAACCGAUCCGAUCCCAAUCCAAAUAAGUAGUACUAAAUCCGAACCAGAAUUGAUUAAAUAUCCGAAUUAUUCAAAAUUUUGGUAUUUGAAGAAUUGAAACCUAAUCCGAUCUGAACCGAAUUAUUUUUAAUAUAUAUAAAAACGUCCAUAAUAUAUAUACAACUAAUUAAACGUAAAUAUCUUAAAUAAUUAAAAAAUACUCAAAUCUCCAAAAAUACUUAAAUAAUUAUUAAUUCUCUAUCCAAAUAUUUAAACCAAACCUAUUUAAAUUGGUUAUCCAAAUCAGAACCAAAUCCUCAAAGAUCUGAACUGAACACGAAAUCCCAAAAAGACCCGAAAACGAACCCGAACGCCCACCCAUAAUCACUAUUAUAUAUAUAUAUGUUAUCAUAGGUUACAAAAUAUGUGUUAUCAUAUAAUUAAUCGUAUUUUAUACGUACCAUCAAAUAAGUUUUCUUAUAAUUAAUAAUAUUUUAUACGUACAAUCAUAUAAAUAAUCACAUAUAUUAUAUUUUAAAAUUUAAUGUGAAAUAUAAAAACCAUAAUUUAAGUUGGUGUUUGAAAUUGGGCUUUGUAUUGUAUUAUUAUUAAAUAUAUUGAAAACAUUUUUAUAAUAGUUACUGGAAAAUAUGUUAGUAAAAAUCAAAUUUUGAAUAUAUGUAUAUUUUUGAAUGAAUUUUUGAUAUAAAUCAAUUUUAAGUUAUUACUUUGAUUUGAACAUAUAUAUCAAGUAACAUAUACCUAUUAGUUUUUAAUAUAAUGUAAUGGACUUUCAAUUUUUUUAAGUAGCAUAAGCCCAUUAUCUUUUUUUCUAACUUACUAUUAUCCAUGUUUUCAAUUUUAACUACUAUCCACAUUACCAAACAAUCCCAUUUUGUACUUGAGUUUUAAUAAGAUAGAUGUUCAGCUUUUUUAAUCAUGUGAUAAUUGGUGGUCUUAUGAUUUGCUUCUUCUUUAAUCCUGUCGACUAGAAAACAAACUCUGGUUUGAGCCAGAAUGUACUGGCAGCGUAUCUGAAGGAAAAGUUGGUCCUACACCUCGCGCCUUUCAUUUUGCCAUCACUAUUGAUUGUCAUAUGUUCAUCUUUGGUGGACGUUCUGGUGGCAAGAGGUACGCACUACUAUUUAUUUGCUAGCUGUAAGCGUUUUUACAUUCUAAAUAGCUUAUUUCUAUAAAUCAAUUUCAGGUUGGGUGACUUCUGGGUUCUAGAUACUGGUAAGUGUGCUUCGGAGUUUUUAUUUCUCUGCUUUGGCACUUCUAUGAGACACCUAUUAAUGACAUUUUCUGCAGAUAUAUGGCAGUGGUCUGAGCUAACCAGCUUUGGCGACUUACCUACGCCUCGUGAUUUUUCUGCUGCCGCUGCUAUUGGCAACCAGAAAAUUGUGUUGUGAGUAUCAUAAAUUUUAGACGUUCCAUCAGCUUGUUGCCUGCAUUGGCUUAACCUAUGACCAUUGGCAGGUGUGGCGGCUGGGAUGGUAAAAAAUGGCUGUCAGAUGUGUAUGUUAUGGACACAAGUAAAACACUUUAUACCUCUCGUCUACUUCAGUUUUGUGAUAAAACUUGUUUUAAGUUUAUGAUAAUGUCAGCUUUUCUUGGUAUUUGCUAGUGUCUCUUGAAUGGAUGGAGCUGUCAGUUUCGGGGUCGUUGCCGCCUCCUAGAUGUGGUCAUACAGCCACCAUGGUUGAGAAGCGUUUACUUGUUUUUGGUGGCCGAGGUAAUACCAAAAUUAAAAAAAAACUGUAGAUUCUUGAUGUUGACUUAUCGCCAUUCCUUUAAUAAGUUAAGGUGUUUGCAUACUAAACCAAUCACCACAACUGAGGAGUGUUCUUGGCGGACUCGCAUUAUGGAUAAAAUUCAAAACUGAAUGAUUUAUUUGCUAUUUUACUUUUUUCAUUCAUCAAACAUGUUAAGGAUGCUGAUGUGUUUGGUUUACCCGUUGCUGUUAAUUAAUAACUUUCAUUUAUUAACGAAGUUUCCUGACCGGGUGUACUGAUGGUAUAUGUUCACAAGAAGUUUUGCUUGAGCUGAUAACAAGUAAACUGAGACUAUGGUGUGUGAUAUGGUUAUCUUUGACAGGAGGUGGUGGCCCUAUCAUGGGUGAUCUGUGGGCUUUGAAGGGUCUAAUAGAUGAAGGUGCAUCCUUGAUUAAAUUACUUCAAAACUGCAUUGGAUCUUAUUCUGGGUUUACCUUUGUUGUGCAAGAAAGAGCGUGAAACACCUGGAUGGACACAACUCAAGCUUCCUGGCCAAGCACCAUCGUCUCGAUGUGGUCAUACGGUUACAUCCGGAGGACAUUACGUAAGUCUUUUCCAGCUCAUGUUUGCUCUUUUGUAUAUGAAUGGCUUCGCGGGACAUACAUCACUCACAUCAUUAAUUUCCAUGUAUGAAGCUUCUGUUAUUUGGGGGACAUGGAACUGGUGGAUGGCUGAGUCGAUAUGAUGUCUAUUAUAAUGACACUAUAAUUUUAGAUAGAGGUACAUUCUUGCUCACUCGUCUCAUUAGCUUCGUCUCCUCUGCUAAAGGAUCACUGGAAAUCUAAAAUCCACCUAAUCGAAGUAUAAUCUAGUGAGAUGAGAAAAUUGUGAUGUAAUUCAUCAGUUUUAUUGCUGUGCAUUGUCUUGUACGCGCUGUUGCUAAAUUUAUGCGUUGUUGCUAGUAACUGCACAGUGGAAGCGCUUACCAGUAAGCAAUGAUGAGCCUCCUCCUCGGUGUGAAGUUUCAGUUCUACGAAGGCUCUGGUCUUGGUGGUGUUGUCAGGCUGCGGUGGAGGGCUUAGCGUUUCUCUUCGGUGUCGAGGAGGUCUCUCUCCCUCUCUCUUCUGUCGUGUGAGCUCUGGAGGUUUCCGCUUCCUCGGAGAUGAGUCGUGGGUUGAGGUAUGCAGUAGGAGAUGGUGCCUCAGUCUAGUUCCGAUUUCCAAGGGUUCUGUGGGUUGCUUGGAAGGAGUCUUCUAUGGUUUUAUUCACGGCAUCUCAACGUCUCUCAUCACUGGAGAUCUUCCCUGCUUGGUUCUCGUUCUGAUUCUUCUGGUGAAUGGCGACGGUCCUCUUCAUCAAAUGCUUGUCCUUGUUCUUCAUGUUUCUUGCUUUCUGUUUGACACCGGAAUGUGACACAGGGAGUCACAGGAAAUUGCUCUCGGUUCUCGAUAGCAGCAAGCGUCGAUUUGUUUUGAGCGUGUGCUCUUUGCCUAUUGGUGUCAAUGCUUGGCCAAUUAGCAAGCGUCGAUUUGGUUUGUUCUUCUGUGGCAGUGUGAGCUGGCUAUAUUUCUGUGCAGGUUCGGAUACUGUAUCAGACGAAAUGUGGUGGCGUUUGCAAGCCCGCCUUUUGGAUCCUAAUUGGUGAUGGAGGGGAGUGUACAGUCCGAGUUCUUGGCGUCGUCACUCAGGUGAAAUGUCCGAAACUCCCUCUGUUUCCAUCGUCAAACGCUUCAUAGACAGUGACAGUUAUAAGCUGGAGUUCAUCGGGAACCAGCUACUCCGUGGACAAAAUGGAAAGUCCCAGCGCAUCCGAAGCAAUAAGGACCGAGACAAUAAGGAAAACCUCACCUUCUCGUGAUCUUCGUCGAUGGUUGAUGUUUGAGAAUGGUAACCAUUCCAAAGAAUUCCAAAAAACGAAUCAACGGAAUGUAUCAUGUUUAGUGGACGGAAAAAGCUAAUUUUGUAAUAGUUUGAGUUUGAAAAUUUUGUACAAAACAGACUUGUAACCAGAUCUGAAUUUCCGAUCCUCAGGUCAAAUUAAUAUAUAUUUUAAAAAAGUCUUUAGUAUUGCAAGACGAAGUAUUCAAGGUGUAUAGGUCAUAGAUUGUAGACGAAAUAUUUAUUUAAAUUUUUUAUAUAUCUUACUUAUGGAGGAAACAUCUUAGUUUGGUAGAAUUUUUCCAUUUUAUUGGAGUCAAGCGGAAAACUUGAUCCAAAGACCAUAAAUCGUUUAAGCAGGAAAAGAAGGAUCUACCUCCUAAGCAAGUUGCAGAUCUGUUACGUGAAAGGUAAAUCACGUUCUUAUAUCAUUAUUUUUCUGUUUAACUUGCUUUGAUCUGUCUUUUAGGCUCUGUUGUGGUUGAAUCUGAUUUACAAACAAAAAUUCGUUGGAUUAUUACAAAUCUUGUUUUACGAAUUAAAAGCAUUUACUCUAAUCUUGUUAUAAAGUGUCUGAAUAAUAAGCUAAGUAAAGUUCCUCUGACAGGUAUCAUGUUUUAUUAUAGAUCAACCAAGGAUUAUCAAAAACGGUUUUAAAUCUUACUACAAGUUUGUACUUAUGUGUUGUGUUGAUGGUGGAACAGGAGAAUAGUGAUGGCUGAGGGAGUUGUGUCGUUUGGAGUGGAGAAACUCUGGGAUCUCCUGAGUCGAGAAUCUGAGCGAUUGCAGGGAGUUCAAGUGCAAGUUGAUGAUCUAAAAUGUCAGAUGAGUACGUUACAGUCGUUGUUGGAAGAUGCAGAUGGUAAGAGAUAUGAGAGUAAAGUAGUGAGAAGCUUCUUGGAAGAUGUCAAAGACAUUGUAUUUGAUGCUGAAGAUAUAAUCGAAUCCUUUCUUUUGAAAGAACUCAGUGGAAACCAAAAAGGGAUCAUGAGGCGUGUGAAAAGACUUUCUUGUUUCUUAGUGGAUCGCCGAGGUCUUUCUAUGGACAUUGAAGGCAUAACUAAGAGAAUGGCCAAGGUUGUUGCGCAAAUGCAUAGCUUUGGAAUACAACAGAUCAUCUACAGAUCACCGUCUCUACAAGAGAGACAAAGGGAGAUCCGACAAACAUAUCCAAAGAGAUCUCAAAAGGAUCUUGUGGGGGUGGAACAGAGUGUUAAGGAACUGGUUGGUCAGUUGGUGGAGAAUGAUAACAUCCAAGUAGUUUCCAUUUCUGGGAUGGGUGGUAUUGGAAAAACCACUCUUGCGAGACAAGUCUUUCAUCAUGACAUUGUUCGAAGUCAUUUUGAUGGAUUCGCAUGGAUCUGCGUUUCGCAAGAUUUUAAGCAGAAGGAUAUUUGGCAAAAGUUAUUGCAAGACCUUAGACCACAUGAUAAGGGCAUCGAACAUAUGAAUGAGAAUACACUCCAGGCUGAGCUCUUUCUCUUGUUGGAAACAUCUAGAUAUUUAAUUGUCAUGGAUGAUGUAUGGAAAAACGAAGACUGGGAUAUAAUAAAACACGUUUUCCCCCAAGAAAGAAGAGGUGAGCUCUCUAAUUGUACAUACAUUACUUAAGUUCUCCCCAUAGCCAUUUCUUAAAUGCCUUUGAGUCUCUGAUAUGAAACUAAAUACAAUUGCAGCUUGGAAGAUGAUUCUUACUUCACGCAAUGAAGGUGUUGGUUUGCAUGCAGACCCAACAUGUUUUCCCUUUAGACCAAAAAUCUUUACUCCUGAAGAAAGCUGGAAGCUAUGUGAGAGCAUAGCAUUCCCUAGAAGAGAGAUAACAGGUACGUUUUUAUAUAAGAAUCACAUGAAUCCUUAAGGCCAGAAAGCAUGAUAUCUCUUACUGGUUUUCUUUAUAAAAAAUGGUGUAGUAAUUCCUAAAUAUCCUCUGAGAUGGCAUAUAUUGUUGUAUAUGUAUUUUUUUUUUUUUGAACAUUUGAAAAGACUAGACACCAUAGGGGUGGGAAAAAGCUGACCCAUCCGUACCCAAGCCAAACCAAAAUCUAUGUUUAAAAAAAAGGUGUUUUUAAUUAGAUUAAUUAAAUAUACUAGUAAUAUUAAAAUCUAAUAUAUUUAUCCAUUUAACCUAAACAACUAAAUAUAAUUUAUACAUUUUACUUCUAAAUGAAUAGAAUAAACAUAACUAAAAAUAAAAUAAAAGAAUUUUAUUUUCAUACAUUAACAUUAAAACCGAAAAAUUACCUAUAUUACUUAUAGUAGGUUUAAAGAUAAUAACAUAAAAUUAUUUGGAAACAGAAUAUGAUGUUGAUGAAGAACUAGAAGCCAUGGGUAAGAAAAUGGUCAUGUAUUGUGGAGGACUACCAUUAGCCGUUAAAGUGCUAGGAGGCUUGUUAGCUAAUAAAUAUAUGGUUGAAGAUUGGAAAAGAAUAAAUGAGAAUAUUCAAACUCAGAUAGUUCGCUUAGAUGACAACAAUCAAGAUUCGGUUUACCGAGUAUUGUCUAUGAGCUAUGAAGAUUUGCCAAUGCAGUUAAAGCAUUGCUUCCUCUACCUAGCGCAUUUUCCCGAAGAUUACAAGAUACAAGUUGGGAAAUUGUGUAAUCUCUGGGAAGCAGAAGGAACAAUAACAUCAAGUUGCGAUGGAGCAACCACUAGGAAAAUUGGAGAAGAAUAUAUAGACGAGCUAGUAAGGAGAAAUAUGGUUAUGGCAGUAAAACAGGAUUUGAGUUGCACUUGGGAGUAUUGUCAAAUGCAUGACAUGAUGAGAGAAGUUUGCUUAUAUAAAGCUAAAGAAGAGAACUUUCUUAAGUUUAUCAAAGUCCCUAAUUCUUCCACCUCCACCAUCAAUGCUCAUACUCCUACUAGAUUUCGCAGACUCGUAGUACAUGGUGGUAAUGCCCUUGAUCUGCUGGGACGUAAAAGCAAUCAAAAAGCUAGAUCUGUUUUGGGGUUUGGACUCGACAGCAACUUGUGGAAGCAGUCAGCUCAAGGACUCCGAAAUUUACAAUUACUUAGGGUCCUAGAUCUGACUCUGAGUUUAAAACUACAUGGUAGAAGCAACUCUAGAGGAGGGAGAAUACCUUCCAGCAUAGGAAAGCUCAUUCAUUUGAGAUAUUUGAGCUUAUACAUGGGUUGUGCAACUCAUGUACCUUCUUCUUUUAGGAAUCUAAAGCUUCUAAUCUAUUUGAAAAUUUGCUCUGGGGCAACAGUUUAUCUGCCAAGUAUCUUUAAAGAGAUGGUAGAGUUGAGGUUCCUAUUUCUCCCCUCUUCUUUUGAGGCUAAAACAAAGUUGGAAUUGGGUAAUCUUGUGAACCUGGAGUACCUGACCUGCUUCCGAGCAGAAUACGGUAGCAUCACAGACUUCCUCCGAAUGACUAGGCUCAGGACUCUCUAUGUAUUUCUCAAAGGCAGGUAUACUUCUGAAAUUCUAGUGUCAUCUCUAUGUGAAUUAAGAAACCUGGAGACGCUUAUAUUGAUCGAUGUGAACGAACCCGAUGAGGCUUAUUAUGAUGUGGAUUUCGUUUGGAAUUUCAUUCAUCUAAGGCAUUUAGAGCUGGCCAUACAUAUGCCAAGGCUUCCCAAUCACUCUCGAUUUCCUCCCCACCUUGCACACAUAUCUUUACGUUACUGUAACAUGGAGGAUGAUCCACUGCAGAUUCUGGAAAAAUUGCUUCAUUUAAAGUCGGUUAAGUUAACAGAUUUUUCUUUCGUGGGGAGGAAGAUGGUGUGUUCAAAAGGUGGAUUCCCUCAAUUAUGUAAGCUAGAAAUAUGGGACCUAAACGAAUUGGAAGAGUGGAUAGUCGAAGAAGGGUCGAUGCCAUGUCUUCGUACCUUGUCUAUUCGGUAUUGUAAAAAGUUGAAGGAGCUACCGGAAGGGCUCAAGCAUAUAACUUCUUUAAAGGAACUGUAUAUCAGACAUAAGAACAAGGAGUGGAAGACAAAACUCGUACCAGGUGGGGAAAGUUACCACAAAGUCCAACACAUUCCUAGUGUUCAAUUACACUAUGAUAGCGACGAAUAAGGAGAAUAAAACGGUCUCAGGUAUGUCUUUUUGGUAUAAUGUCAAUAUUGUUCUUCUUGAAGUUUUGUGUGUAAGUCUCAACUAUCUAACCUUUUUAUUAUUCGGUUUUCAGGUGAACCUACUCAGGAUCAGUACCCACCACUACCGAUUGUGUGAUAUGAUAAUAAGUCGUUUUUGUUGUAUGAAGUUUACAUAUCUUGUUUGUGAUAUAUUCCGUAUAUCUAUUUGCAUGCUCAUUCACUGUAAUGCUAAGUUUGAAAUACAUUAUUUGUAUGUUGAACCAUAUCUUAUUCGAUGUUCUCCGUUGUGUGUGCUUAGUUGACUUGUAUAGUUACCGAACCGAACCUGAGUUUUCCAAAUUUGUCUUUUACUACUAAACCGGACAAAUUGAUGGUUUAAAAACAAAACUCGGUCUGGAUUAUAAUAAAAUCAGAUGAUGAGACUCUACCAAACAAGAGAGUCCUUUCGAUCUCUGCAAAUUUGUUUUUGACUCCAAUUAAGAGGAGGAGAAGUCUAUUAGUUGAAGCGAAUACAAAACGCGGUGAUCCGUGCGUUUCAGACAUCAAUCGCCAAACGUAUGCAUAACUGGGUUAGAGCUUCCUCUUCCGAUUUCACGGGAACUCCUCCACAGCCUAGGAGGUAAAUUAAUUACUUCUUCUCCAUUCAAUUUUCGAUUUUAAUUUUAGCUGAUGAUUUUUUUAUUGUUCAUCAGUGGACAUACAGCUGUCAAUGUCGGAAAAUCCAUGGUCGUUGUGUUCGGCGGUCUCGUCGACAAGAAGUUCCUCAACGACAUCAUUGUCUAUGACAUUGGUAAUAAUCAUCAAUUAUAUUCAGCCUAGGAUUAUUGAUUCCUUGAUCCAAAGAAGAUGCUUUUUUUUUUAUUAGUUACUACUGUCUUGGCUUGUUCUUCUUGUAAUGACUAGUGUUUGCUUCUUCUUUAAUUCUGUGGACUAGAGAACAAACUCUGGUUUGAGCCAGAAUGUACUGGCAGCGUGUCUGAAGGAAAAGUUGGUCCUACACCUCGCGCCUUUCAUGUUGCCAUCACUAUUGAUUGCCAUAUGUUCAUCUUUGGUGGACGUUCUGGUGGCAAGAGGUACGCACUUCUAUAUAUUUUCUAGUUAUAAGCGUUUUUACAUUCUAAAUAGCUCAUUUCUGUAAAUCAAUUUCAGGUUGGGUGACUUCUGGGUUCUAGAUACUGGUAAGUGUUCAAGUUAUAACAAUGUCAUUGAGACCUGCAUAGGGAACUUUUUAAUACUCUGCUGCCAACGUUUUCUGCAGAUAUAUGGCAGUGGUCUGAGCUAACCAGCUUUGGCGACUUACCUACGCCUCGUGAUUUUUCUGCCGCCGCUGCUAUUGGGAACCAGAAAAUUGUGUUGUGAGUAUUCAGAAAUUUUAGACGUUCAUCAGCUUGUUGCCUGCAUUGGCGUAACCUAUGAUCAUUGGCAGGUGUGGCGGCUGGGAUGGUAAAAAAUGGCUGUCAGAUGUGUAUGUUAUGGACACAAGUAAGUUUCUGAUAAUGUCAGCUUUCUUGGUGUCUGUUAGUGUCUCUUGAAUGGAUGGAGCUGUCGGUUUCGGGGUCGUUGCCGCCUCCUAGAUGUGGCCAUACAGCCACCAUGGUUGAGAAACGUUUACUUGUUUUUGGUGGCCGAGGUAUAUAACACCAGAACCAGAAUCUUUGUUCUGCUUGAGCUGAUGACAACUAAACUGAGACUAUGGUUAUCUUUGACAGGAGGUGGUGGCCCUAUCAUGGGUGAUCUGUGGGCUUUGAAGGGUCUAAUAGAUGAAGGUUCAUCCUUACUUACAUUUCUUGAAAAUUGCAUUGAAUUAUGUAGAGGAGUAUUCUCUUGAGUUGUCUUUCUUUCUUUUGUUCUGUUUGCUGAUCUUAUUGUGGUUUACCUUUGUUGUGGAAGAAAGAGCGUGAAACACCUGGAUGGACCCAACUAAAACUUCCUGGCCAAGCACCAUCAGCUCGAUGUGGUCACACUGUCACAUCCGGAGGACAUUAUGUAUGUCUAUUUCAGCUUCCGUUUGCUCUUUUGUAUAAAUAGGUUCGCAUGACAUACAUCACUCACAUCAUUAAUUUUCAUGUAUGAAGCUUCUGUUAUUUGGGGGACAUGGAACUGGUGGAUGGCUGAGUCGUUAUGAUGUCUAUUAUAAUGACACUAUAAUUUUAGACAGAGGUAAAUUCUUGCUUAUGAGAUUCGUCACUCUAAAUCCAAAAAUCCACCUCAGUAAUUUACAAUCUAGUGAGAUGAUAAAAUUGUGAUGUGCUUUAUCAUUUUUCUUGCUGAGCAUUGUUUUCUACGCGUUGUUGCUAAAUUUAUAUUUUCACAUACUAGUAACUGCGCAGUGGAAGCGCUUACCGAUAAGCAAUGAUGAGCCUCCUCCUCCUCGAGCUUACCAUACAAUGACUAGUAUUGUUGCUCGUCAUCUUUUAAUUGGUGGUUUUGAUGGAAAAUCAACCUUCGGUGAUCUUUGGUGGUUGGUUCCUGAAGGUAUCUUUCUCUUAUUUAUACUGAUGUUUUAGUCCAACUUAGCUAUCAUUCUGUGUACACGCAUCAUCAGUUACUUAUAGUUGGAAACUCUUUAGACGAACUAAUCUUGGUGUUGGUCGCAGAUUGUAGGCAAUUUUAGAGACACUUAAUUUCUAGCAUAAUCUUUUUUUUCUUCUUUAUCAAGUUUGUAUUGAAAGUUUUGAAGUUUUACUGAACUGUUUAGCCUUCUGAAAAUGUUGUUAUUCGUUUUUUUCUUUUUCUCUUUUCUCAGAUGAUCCGAUAGCCAAGAGGUCUUCUGUACCUCAACUUAGAAACCCUCCUGAGACUAAAGAGUCAGAGAGAGAUUUGGAUACGGUAACUGUGGUUACUGCUCAUCAUCUUAUGUGUUUCUCGCCAAUGCAGUUAAAUUAGCUUUUCAACGUGUUUUAACACCAAGAGUUUGGUCACAGCAGGAAAGAGGACAAGAGGGAUUCACUAUCGUCGACUUGCAAAAGAAAAUGGGAAUCUCUGUUUCUUCAGGGUUACGCCUUCAAAUACCCGAGGAGUUAGAAGAUCAAGAGUUCGUUGAGUUAGGAACCAGAUUGAUUGAGGGAGAUGCAGUUGAUAAUGGAGCCUCCAUGAUUCAGGUGAGUUUUUCCUCUUGUCUAUUUUAGAAUGUGUGAUUGUGUUAUUCUUGUACUGAAAAUGCUUCUCAAUGAAAAGAUGGCAGCUGAAGCACUUCGUCAACAUUGGAAAGAGUCCACUCCAGAGACUUUGCAAUUAAAGGAGCUUGGUUCCUUGCUUCGAGAUUAUCAGCGACUGGUUACCCGAAAAUACACGUGAGUUCUUAUCCAUGCCUAACUAUUUCAGACUCAGUUCUUGUUUAUGUAGAUUAUCUUUUGUUUCACUAAAAAUGGUUGUUCUUUGAUUGCGCUUGGAAUCACCACAUGGCAUUAGAAUAACUUAGAUAAAUCUCCUGAGAGUUUAGGAGUCAUAUAGAGUUAAUAUGAAUAUAUCAUUUUUGUGUCUUGAAUAGCCCUCGAGACUUUUUAAUCCGAGCAUAUUGUCAAAACUGAUAAUGUUGUGAAUGCAUUGUUUUGUGCCCCUACUAUUACAUGUUAUGAAAUCUCACAUCUGCUUCUUCCUUUCCUUGACACAUGUUUCUUUUCAUUUGUUGUGGCGGGUUUCUAUCAGAUCACAGAGCAGCUUAACAUCUGCUGAUUUUGGAAAGAAGACGUUUACGUUUUAUCAUAUCAAAAAUUCUUCCGAGGUAUUACUCUGCAUACUUUCCUCCCUCGCCUGAAUAUUUGACACCAAUCAAUCAAAACAUCAGGCUUUCCUCCUGACAUGUCAAGUUUACAUUUUGCUAUUCUCAGUUGCGGAUGGAUGACAUUGCGGAGUUGCUGGAAGAAUACAAAACCCUUGUAAUCUGAUUGAGGAGCUCUGCCAUGAAACUCACAAGGAGAAUACAAAACUCAUCAAGUAGCUGCCAAGAAGAUCACCAAGAUUGCUAUCAGCAUUACCAUUGCAAACCACAAAGCUAAAAAGUCUCAAGAGAAUCACAUCUCUGAUAGACAACUAUGUGCAACUUCUUUUUAGCAAGAACAAAAAGAUACAACGUAUAUGUAAGACUUCCAUUAUCUCAACUUAAAUCCAUAUCUAAGCCUCUGCUCUUUUAUUUCUUGUUUGGGCUUUGAAAAUAGAUUGCUUUGCCUUGAAGCCAAUGCGAAAGUAAGGAAAAAAGUAGGCAAACUUCAUCUAUUAGACUUUGAAAUGGAUUACAACAACAACGGUACUCUUGAUAACUUAAACCACAGAGUUUCUGUCUGCAUAGACCCGUAUUGUCUUUUCUCUAUCCCCUAAAACAACUCGAACUCAAGAUGAUCUCCCAUGGCUUUACAUUCAAGAUAUCCAUUACCAUUUCCUUUAGGAGAAGUUGCUUCCGUUGCACCAUUCUCAUAUACAUCCGGCAGCUCAGGCGGAAUGGCGCAGCGGAUGAGAGCCCAGUUCAAUCCUUCAAAGAAUGGAUGCCUCUUGAUCUCUGCAGCUCCUUUCUCCCACCCGAGACGGCUCCCCGGAUCCUUCAUCACCAACCUUCUGAUCAAAUCCUUUGCCUGGAAGCUCACAAGAGGGCUAUCAGGAAACUUGAGGUUCUGAAACACAAACGUCUCCUCAUUGUCAUAACCUUUGAACGGUGUCUUCCCGUAUAAAAGCUCAUAGAGAAGAACCCCAAACGUCCACCAGUCUACUGCAGCACCGUGCCCUUCUCCUUUAAUGAUCUCCGGCGCCAAGUACUCGUGCGUUCCUACAAAAGAGUUUGAUCUUGCUUCAGUUGGUUCAGCCACAAGCUGAGGCAAUGAUCUGAACUGUUGGGUCAGAAGAUCAGGCCUUCUCUGUUUUCUUGGUUUUGAGUUUCUAGCUUGCGUUGACAAGAGCCUAGGGCUGAAACAUGGGACACAGCACGAUGGACUCUAUCUAAAUCACAGGUUCUUCAUCUUCUUUGGAAGCUGAGGAGCUUGAUACAAUAAGUGAAGACGAAGACAAACAGCAGUAUCCAGGCGAUGUGCACUGCAGCUACAGCUGGUAAGAAGUCAUGUUCGAACCCGGAUCCAUCUUUGAGCAACUGUUUUAGUUCCGUGUCUAGGAGACCAGUGUUCUGUACUAUCGAAUCUUGGUCUCCUACUUGAGAUGUGAUGCUUCCAUACAAUGUCCAGCCACUGGCGUUGCCUAGUAAUUAAUAUCAUCUCCACCAUAUCAAUAUUUGCUGCAUCCCCUCCUCCAUAAGAAACAUAAAACAUAAAAGUUAGGUAGCUCUAAAACACUUCUGAUCAUAACAAAAAGUAAGAUCUAUAACACACUUGAUGAUUACGUAACUUGGUUCGUAAUUUUUACCAAUCUUUGGGAUGAGGAACUGGAGAAAAGAUUCCAAAUAGACCGAGGAAGAAAGACAUGCAGAUUCCGGAGAUUUGAUAGUUUGGUGUCAAGGCCACAAAGCAUCAAGCUUGGUAACAUGUCGUAGUAGUAGAAGUAGAACCAGAAGAACUUGACCACAGUACGGUCGUAUCCUAUCAUUGAGUAAAGGAUUAUAGUAUGUAAACUCUAGUUUGUAUGGUGUCAUACUACAUGAUCUAACAACUUUGUCUAUAUUACCAACUAGUGGUAUGCCCGCGCUACGCGCGGGGCGGUUGUCUUGUGUUGUAAUAUUUAUUUUAAAUGUAUUGUCAUCUUUUGUUUGAUUAUAGGUAAAUGAAAAAUUAAUGUAAUAAAAAUUGGUUUGAUUAUAUUAUCAUUAACUCAAAAAAUAAAAAUUAAUUUUUAGUUAUACUUGAGAUCAUGAAGCAUUAUUUUGAUCAACUGAUGAUAAUAGAUAUAAGUUUUAACUGUCAAAGAUAAAUUGUAGAGUACAAUGUGCAUAGUAUAAUAUAGGCUUGACAUUUUAUGUAUAAAUUUAGAUAUCUAUUAGUUUUUUUGUUUGAAAUAAGUAUUUUUUUAAAAUUGUUCUUAUUUGAUUAUAUUUGGGAAAGAAAUGCUGAGAAAGAAAAUUAUUUUGUAAAGAGGGAAUUUUUUUUGUUGUUGAAAUUAAUACAAAGGAGAAAACAGUACAGAAAUGAAACUGGAAAUUAGAAUAUAAUAAACCCCCUUAUUAGUAGUAAUUAAGCUGAAAUCAUAGAUUACUUUCCCUACGUAUGGGACAUUUUUUGUUCGUGCGAAGCCAUCGAUAAAUGUAAGGAAAAUAGAAAUUAUGGUUGCAAGUAAGAGAGUAAAUAUUGUUUUCAUAGUUGAAAUUCCUAAAGCACAUAGUGCAUUCUUCAAUAGUUGGAAGCCUAUUAAUUUCCUCUAAAUCGACGUUAAGUUUUGCAUCGCGUUUUGGUUGUAGCCCUUGAUAGUAAGAGUAAAUUGAAGAUCAUCAGUCAUGGUAUGUUAACAUGAAUUCUAUGCUUUCGGUUGUUGAAUCAUUAAAAUUAAAUUGAUUGUCAAUGAUAGAUGGUAGCUGAAAAUUAAUAAUGGAUUGUUGUGUGUUAGAUCUGGGGAUGUAGACUUGGAGUAUUUGUUGCGGACUUUCUCCUGAAGAUCUUGUUCGGAGUGAUAGCUGAUAAGAGAGAAGUGGUUUGUUAUUUACUUUUGAGUUCUUUGUAAGAGUUUUAUGGUGAAAGUAUGAAAAUGUUUUAUAAAUAUGUCUUAUAGAGUGUGAAUUAAGUUUUUGAUUUAUUUUGACUUCUUCUUACGUUUGGUAUUAAGAACUAUUUAUUUUGGAGGUUUAAUUUUUUGAGUUGAUGGUUUUUGAAGACUUGACUGUUCUGUUUAGGUUGAUUUGUUACUUCUUAUCGAGAUUUUUAUAAUAUACAUAUAGAGUUUAUUUGUAAGAGAAAAUGAUAAUAGGGUAAUUUUCCUAAAUACACAUUUUUAUGUUUUUGUCACAAAAUAGCUUCAAAUGAGUAAAAUGACUAAAAUGUCUCAUUUAAGAGAAAAAGAUAUUUAUACCCUAGAUAUAUAAAUACAAAUAAAAUAUAAUUUAUAGUUUCCAAUUAUAUGUUUUCAAAUUUGAACUUUCUUAUAAAAAUAUAUUUUGUAAAAGUCCAUUCUUUAACUCGAAACCCUAAAGUUUAGAUUAGUUAACCUCAAUUUUAUAAAAAAAUUGAAACCUCUAUCCUAAAACUUUAUCCUUUAACUCGAAACCCUAAAGUUCAGAUUAGUUAACCUCAAGGAUAUAAGUGUAUAUUUAUCUUUUAUUUUGGUUAUUUUUAUUCUAAAAGACUAUAUUUGUGACAAAAAAAAUUUAGGACUGUAAUAGGAAUUUCUCAUGAUAAUAUAUGCUUUUUAUAUUUCGAUGAAUCUUAUUAAUAAUAUAAUUUUAGUUUGGUUAAUUAUUAUUAUGGUUUAACAUUUCAACGAUAGUUUUACUCUUAAUUUUGAUGUUUCUAUAAUGUGCGUUGUUCUAAACUGAAAUUAAUUCGUAUUAGUUAUUUGUAGUUAUGUUAAUAUAUAUUUUUAUUAGUUUUAGUAUAGUUUUAAUGUCCUUGGCUAAAAGCAUUCUACAAAACUAUAGUAUAGUAUAGUUUUAAUUUGGGUUUCCAUAUUUAAUGGAAACGUAGUGGGUCUAGGAGAUUAAUGGUGUUCUUUUGUUGCUGUUGGAAUACGUUAUUGUUUUCAAAGUUUUGAUUUGAGUUAUUAAAUUUAUCAUUUAUAAUUUGAGAUUUUAUAUCAUGAAACUUUAAAACACGAUUGUUUUGUGACUUGUUUGAAAUAAUUAGUAUAUUAUACUUUAAAUUUUAUAUUAAUUUAUUUUAUCGUUAGUAAUUAACAAAGUUCAAGUUAUUCUCCCAAUAAUUGGUUCCAAAAAAAUAAUUGUGCUUUUUCAGUAAUUUACUGUUAAGAAAAUAAAGUUGUAAAUGUUAUGUGAUAUAAUUUUAAGUUAUAUUACACUGUUAUUUUAUAUUUUCUACAAAACAAUUUAUGGACAUUGUUAUUUUUGGCUCAUUUGAAUACACGAAAAAAAAUCUAUUGAUGGACUACACCUACGUUUGGGGAUUAGCAUACAUCUUUUCAUAUGUUUCCUAGGUUAAUAAAAUAAUAUUUCUAUUUUAUCUUCUAUUUAAAUUUAAAAUUUCUAAAUAUCCAUUUUGAUUAUAUAUUUUAUAUAUUUUGAGUAUCGUUGGCUGAAUUUCCUCUCAAAUCCUAGUUACCAAUAUGCCUUAAUUGUUUAAAAGUAGUAGAAAAGCCCAAUAAAAAUCUCUAAACCGAAGACGUUAUAGAGAUGAAGUCUCAGAUUCCGGAAGAGGAAGAGGAUGGAGCAGGAGAGACCCCGAUGGCGAAACAUAGAAACCCUAAAAGAACAAAUUAAGUUUUCUAGAUGAAGAGAAGAGCCCAGAGCCCAGGAACACAUUAAACUAUUCAGAGAGAAAGAGAAUGGCCCACGAAACAAAAACAAACGGACAAAACAAAAUAAACCCACGAAACAACACAAUUUAAGAAACGUAAAUGAAAUCAAACGAACAAAAGCUUUGUAAAAUAGAGACACGUGGCGAAAUUUAGAUAUAUGAGUGCUGAGGUGGAGGCCUGAGGAGCCUUUCCAAGCUACUUUAUUAAUAUAGAUUUUCCCAAUUAAUUAUUUCUAACGAAAAUAUAAUGUAUAAAUAUCAAUGAAUAUAUUUUGAAAGUUGAAAAUGAGGAAGAAAUUUUUUUUUUUACCAAAAAGAAUAAUAAGGGAGAACUAUAGUGAAUGCUUCGAGUGGGCUUAAGCAAACGCAUUAUUGCCUGCGAAAAGUCAUUAUCGCUACAGACUAGAAAACUCACAUAUUUUCUUUUUAUUCAAAAUUAGAACCACAGAUGGCAGCCAAUAUAGACUGUUGAUAAGAUUGACUUGGAGUCUACUCUUUCAUUGCCACUCAUAUCUCUUCUUCCAAAGAACCUCUCUAAGCAAGUUGAAGAGCUGUUACAUGAAAGGUAAAUCAUGUUCUUGUAUCAUUAUUUGUCUGUUUAACUUGCUUUGAUCUGUCUUUUGGACUCUGUUGUGGUUGAAUCUGAAUUUAAAAACGAAAAUUCGUUAGAUUAUUACAAAUCUUGUUUUACGAAUUUAAAGCAUUUAAUCAUCAAAUCUUGUUAUAAAUUGUUUGAAUAAAAGUAAGUUAAGUAAAGUUCCUCUGACAUGUAUCAUAUUUUAUUAGAUAAACCAAGGAUUAUCACAGCGGUUUUAAAUCUUACUACAAGUUUGUACUUAUGUAUUGAUGGUGGAACAGGAGAAUAGUGAUGGCUGAGGGAGUUGUGUCGUUUGGAGUGGAGAAACUCUGGGAUCUCCUGAGUCGAGAAUCAGAGAGACUGCAGGGAGUUCAUGAGAAAGUUGAUGAUCUAAAAUGUCAGAUGAGAAUGUUACAGUCAUUGUUGGAAGAUGCAGAUGCCAAGAGAUAUGAGAGUAAAGUAGUGAGAAGCUUCUUGGAAGAUGUCAAAGACAUUGUUUUUGAUGCAGAAGAUAUAAUCGAAUCCUUUCUUUUGAAAGAACUUAGUGGAAACCAAAAAGGGAUCAAGAGGCGUGUGAAAAGACUUUCUUGUUUCUUAGUGGAUCGCCGAGAUAUUUCUAUGGAAAUUGAAGGCAUAACUACGAGAAUGUCUAAGCUUGUUGCGCAAAUGCAGAGCUUUGGAAUACAACAGAUCAUCUACAGAUCACCGUCUCUACAAGAGAGACAAAGACCAAGGGAGAACCGACAAACAUAUCCAAAGACAUCUCAAAAGGAUCUUGUGGGGGUGGAACAGAGUGUUAACGAAUUGGUUAGUCAUUUGGUGGAGAAUGAUAGCAUCCAAGUAGUUUCCAUAUCUGGGAUGGGUGGUAUUGGAAAAACCACUCUUGCGAGACAAGUUUUUCAUCAUGACAUUGUUCAAAGUCAUUUUGAUGGAUUCGCAUGGAUCUGCGUUUCGCAAGAUUUUAAGAAGAAGGAUAUUUGGCAAAAGUUAUUGCGAGACCUCAGACCACAUGAGAAGGGAAUCGAACAUAUGAAUGAGGAUACACUCCAGGCUAAGAUCUUUCAUUUGUUGGAAACAUCUAAAUACUUAAUUGUCAUGGAUGAUGUAUGGAAAAAAGAAGACUGGGAUGUAAUAAAAGACGUAUUCCCCCAAGCAAGAGGUGAGC
rnacentral:lncRNA from 1 species